rnacentral:lncRNA from 1 species
UGUCUUCGAGCGGGUCAGGCCCGUGCGGCUGCGGUCUUUAAAAUGGCUGACCAAACUCGUACCGCAAAACAUGUAGGCCUUUGCGAAUCGGCCUGCAUGACACAUAAUUACAAACAAACAUAUGGCUCUUGGACGCUUCAAGACAUGAUUUAUGACGCUUUAUCAGCUUCAUGACGCAUCAGUAAGUGAGUCUAGUCGAUGAUUGAACUGGAUAAGGCAAUACACUUGUUAGUUGAAGAUUUUAGUUGGAUCAAAACACUAGUUUAGUUACUUUUGUUACACUCCAAACAUAUUAAAAAUAAACAAUGCUUUAGUUGCUGAAUCCAAAUACUAUAACUCAUAAGUUCAUAACAAAUGUUUUAGUUUUCUGAAUUCGAAAUUAAAUAAAACCAAACACCAAAUCAAAGAUGCUAAUCCCAAAAUAAAUAAAAAGAAAACACAAAAUCACACUUCUUGUUCUUCAACUUUAUCACCAACAAGCGACAAAAAGAUGUGAAUUUCUCUUUUUCACCAUCAACUUCCUCUUCUGCAAAUAAGAAUAAUAGAAGUUAGUUAAAUAUAUAUUGAAACCUAAAACUCCAAAAUAUAUGAUAAUGUGAACAAAUACAUAUAGGAAAAACUGUGAAGAAUCCAUGGCGGGAACUAGAUCUUCUUCUUCGGUGGAAAGUGAGUUUUCAAACUUCUUAUGAUGGCUCGAAGAAGCUCCACUGGUGCAGAUCGAAGGCGCUUGGGAGACCGGAAGCAUCAUCAACCCUGAAACCACCAUCAUCAGAGCUCCAUAACAUUGAAUCACCCUCUCUCUCUCUCUCUCUCUCUCUCUCUCUCUCUCUCUCUCUCUCUCUCUCUCUCUCUCUCUCUCUCUCUCUCUCUCUCUCUUAGGUGAAAGAAGAAAUGGGGACUUAGGGUUGCAGGUCUUCAAAAUCCCGCAGGUUAAUCUGUAGCCCAUCCCGCUUUCGGUCCGUCCCGCUUUGAGCCCGUUCCGCGAGGCCCACAAUUUUGCGGGCUUACCAAAUGGUGGCCUAAUCCCGCCCCGCAGCAAGUUUUUACGGGUCAGACCCGCGGUCCAAGUCCUUGAUUGACAUCCCUACACAUAUAUAUAUAUAUAUGUUUAUACAAACUUAAUGUUUAUCUUAUGACCUAAGAACAUAAAUGGUAAUGAACUUUAUAAAUUCCAUAAUUUAACCAUAUAUUAUUCAUAAUAACCAAGUUUAUAAGAAGAUAUGCCCUUUUCAAAAAAAAAAGUUUAUAAAAGAAUGAUUUUGCUUUAAAUUCCUCAUUUUUUAAAAUGAGUCUUUUUGAGGAUUUGAUUAUGUUUUUACUAAGUUGGAGAGAUAGAAAUAUGUGAAUUGUGAAUAAUCUUACGAAGAACCAAAUAGGUGAAUUUUAGUGGUGGCAUUUCUUGACUUAGAUUUUAUUCUUUCAAAUAGAUUUGGUGUAAGAUUGAUUUGAAUUUUCCCACUAAAUCUCUAAAUAAAUAUUUCAUCAAUUCAUAUUUGGCUUUACUUUAAAACAUCUAUAAUAUAUAUUAGAAUGGAGUCGGCAGGUUAUAUAUUUAAUCAAUUGCGUGAUUAUAAGCUUUAAUUAAAGAUCCAACAUCAAAGGUUGGAAGCCCCUUUAGUUGUGUAACACAUGUCACUUCCGACACCAACGGAACUCCAUAUUGCUUAUGUGUGUACUAGAUGCUUAUCCCAUUUCAUUUAUACUUUCACUUAAUAUUUCGCAAAAAAGGUUUUCCUUUAUUGUCCAUUUCGUAUGUUUCCUAAUUUUGGUAAAAUGUUUUUGUUAAGUUCGGAACAUCGCAACUUGUAUAUAAGCAAACUAUACAUUCGUUUCAUUCAAGUUGGGAUUUUCCUUAAGCAGUUGUAACUUAGAUUAUCUUUGUCAUUCUCUUUUAUCUUAUAGAAAAGACUAGCUAUGUUUGGAUAUAUGAUUUUAAUGUAAAAUCUUGUUAUUUUUGUUAAUACGUUUCACUAAUCAUCAUUAACUAUAAAAUGCAAAUAUAUAUGCUAUUUAAUAAAUUGACAAACCAACCAUGCAUGACAUCCAUAAUGAAAAAAUGCAAACCCUAGCAUAACUGAUUUAACUAUUUACUAGAUUUUGUUUAAAAGGGCGGGUAUUUUUUUGUUUUAUAUUUUUGUAGAAAUUUAAUUUUUAUAUUUGUGUUUUUUUGUAUAAUAUUUUUUUUAAAUGAUUAAUAAAUUUUUUUAAUAAUUAUAUUAAAAUAUUUGGACCACACAUAUAUCAAUAGACCAUGUUCCUGAUGACGAUAGUAAGUGAAAUAUUGUUCAUUCUGUAUAUAUAGUAUUUGUUGUUUUUAUAGGAACUUGUAUUUGAAUGUAUACAGUAUACAGAUAUUCUAGUAAAUGAUGAUCAUGCAUAUACAGAGGAAUUUAAACUAAUUGGAUAUCUAUUCGCCAUGCCCUAAAAGUUCCUUUCAAACUGAUCAGGUCACCUAAUAAGUAUUUUUCUUUUGUGUUUUAUUAUCAUAACAGGCAACAUGUUAUCAUGGCAUAUGAAAUGUAAUCGUAAUAUGUAAUCGUAAUAUAUAGGAGAUAGCUACUAAACGAAAUAAAUUAAUUUUCAAUUUUAAAUGAAUUAUUAAGAAGAAGAGAUAAUGUUAUCUAGGUGUUGUGGGUGAUAAAGAUAUCCAAGCCAGGUAAGGUUAGCUUGUUGAUCAAAUUGAUUAAACAUUUCUUCAACAAGACUUCGACAUCUGUACCACCAAUCCUUGUUUCAAUUAUGGAUUAUAAAAUAUAAAAUGGCAUAUGCACCCAUUAUAAUUUUUUUUUAUCAAUACAUUAUUGGUUUCUUAAAGCAAGUCUAUUUUUUUUAAAAAAAACCUACUGAGUGGUUCAUCGUUACAUUUGACCAUCAAGGAAAUUAUAGUAUAUAUAUAAUGCAAUACAUAUAGUUUUCUAUUUUAAUUAUUAUUCAAGUGUAAUUCUUUGAAAGACUCGUUAUGCGUGUACUUGCGAAGUUAAUCUUUUAAAAGGACAGUCUAUUUUUCUACGUAAUAUAGGACAAGAAAUAUCGGUUACUUUAUUAGUUUGAAUGAUUCUUGAUUUAAUAAUUAAAAACAGUGGCGUUAGAUAUAAGUUAAAUCAAUAUUGAUUUAAAUUGAAUCAGUUGAUCUAGAAAAAUAAUUUGGUAGAGCACCAUCCCACCGAUCAGAUACUUCUUCGAAGAAGUUCUGAUUGCUGAAGACGUGUACUAAGUGACAAGUAAAUAUAAUUUCUCUUUAAUUUAGUGCGUAGUUGGCUAUUUGCGUGCAUCAUUAUUUGCUAAAUAGUAAAUAUUCGAUUCAUGUCGUGUGCAGGCAUCAAUCUCUUAGAAUAUGUAUAUUGUAUUCUCUAUGAAAAGAGCGUAUCACUCUAGUUCAGUGCUUGAUCAAUGCAAGAAGAAUUUAUAUAUUUUAAAUCAAGUUCAGACUCAGGCCCCAGAUGGUGACAAGCGGGAUAACUACGGAAUAAGUGCGAUAUGGUUCAAAAAAUAACAAAAAUAUAUAUUAGGUGCCGUAAAUAAUAAAUCAUAGGUAACCAUUUAUUGAAAGAUUUUUUUCAAAAAUCAUUAAUAUUUAAAUUAAAAGAGGAAAAAAAUAAUUUCAAUCUAUUAGAAUUCCUGAAAUCAAACUCUAAAAAUACAAAUACACAACAGUUAAUUGUUUUUGGGAUACAAUAUUUUCAAUGUCGCGCUAUAUAGCUAAAUUGUUUUUAGUUGCCCAAUGGGCUACAAGUUACAGCAAUUAUGGGCCCAAUGCGCGUCGAUAAACCGAUUUAAAAGCAAACCGUGUCGGAUCCCGGUUAUCAAGUGGAUACCCCGUGGGUUUUAGGGUUUUAACAUACGGUUUGGCUUAGGGCGCGCUUCUCUCUGCUUUGUUUACACACAAAGACUGUUUCUUUCCACCCUCCUCUGCUCGUUUCCGUCGCCAUCUUCAAUCUCCAGGUUCGUUCUCCGUCACACUCGUUACUAUUGAUCACGCUUAUUGGCUUCACAGCUGGGAAUCGAAAGCCGCUUGUGUGUUUUUUUUUUCCCGUUUUUUAUAAUUUCUGAGACUUUGCUUCGUUGAGUUUCUCAUAGAAAGUUUGAAACUUUUGAUUCGAAUUUGAAAUAGGAAAGUUUAUUUUCAAACGGGUUUAUGUCUUGAAACUCCAGAACUUAAAAAAGAACAUGGCUUUGUCUUAAUAUCUUUUGCACAAACAGCUCGAAACUGUGUUUCAUUGAGUUUUUUUUUUUUUUUUUUUUUUGGCAUAAGGUUAGGAAGCAAAAGAAGUUAGUGUGAGGAUGAGGAAGAAGGUAGACGAACGUAUCAGGACUCUGAUUGAAAACGGUGUUAAGCUUAGACACCGUUCCAUGUUUGUCAUCGUCGGUGACAAGUCUCGUGACCAGGUAAUAUCUUUUGUUCUUCUUAUAAAGAAUCUCUACUUUGCAUUUUCCUUAGAAUCUAAUUUUUGAAUUUUUGGAGAUUAAUUAAUAAAUACCUUUUCUGUUUCGUUGUGUAACAGAUAGUUAAUCUUCAUCACAUUUUGUCAAAAUCGGUGGUGAAGUCUAACACAAGUGUGCUAUGGUGCUACAAGAACAGACUCGACAUUAGCAGGUUCGAUUUCUCACCAUCCUUGUGUUUCAGAAAAUAAAGUAUUUGCCAGUUUUGAAACUUUAUAUUAACAAAAUGAAAUUGGUUUUGUGUGCAGUCACAAUAAGAAACGUUCUAAGCAGCUGAAGAAGAUGAAGGAGAGAGGACAGCUAGAUCCUGAAAAGCUUGACGCUUUCUCUCUUUUUCUUGAUGUUGGGGAAGUAACUCAUUGCAUGUACAAAGACUCUGAAAGAGUUCUCGGGAAUACUUAUGGCAUGUGCAUCCUACAGGUAUGCCGCCUGGUUAAUGAUGAUAUAAAGUAAUACAGUUGCUGCAACUUACUAAGACUUUUAUAUUUUAUUUUUGUAUGUUCAGGAUUUUGAAGCUCUAACCCCAAAUCUACUAGCAAGAACCAUUGAGACGGUGGAAGGGGGUGGGCUAGUUGUAUUGUUAUUGCAGUCUCUUGCUUCGCUUACUAGUCUAUGCACCAUGGUUAUGGUAUGUGCUUUUGGUAGUUUAUGUUGUUUGCUUAACUAGUUACUUGGAGUUUACAUGAUUGGUUCUGUUUUCGUAUCAGGAUGUGCAUGAUAGAUUCCGAACUGAGUCACACUCUGAAACUUCUGGACGUUUCAAUGAACGUUUUCUGUUAUCACUAGCGUCCUGCAAAGCGUGCGUUGUCAUGGAUGAUGAGUUGAAUAUAUUGCCGGUUUCGUCUCACAUCAGAUCUAUCACAAAAGUUCCUGCAAAGGAGGUAAGUUUUAGAAGAUUUGUUGAGAGAAACUAUGGUUCAUCAUGCCGCUUAGCAUCAUUAACGUUUACUUUCAUCUGUUUCUGGUAAAAGGAUCCGGAGGGACUUUCUGAGGCAGAACAAGACCUGAAGAGUUUGAAAGAUGCACUAAGUGAUGAUUUCCCAGUUGGUCCUUUGAUUAAGAAGUGCUGUACGUUGGAUCAGGUAUGUAGCUUUGUCACCUGUGUACAUUGGAUGAAGAAGUGUUGUACAUUGGAUCAUGAUUUUGAAUACAUGCUUUUUUUUUUUUGUAGGGUAAAGCUGUUGUCACAUUUUUCGAUGCAAUAUUGGAUAAGACCCUCAGGAGCAUAGUUGCUCUAAUUGCUAGUCGAGGGCGUGGAAAGUCUGCCGCACUUGGUCUUGCUGUUGCCGGAGCUGUAGCUGCUGGGUAGGCUUUGGGUUAAUGUACUCUUUUAUUCACUAAUAUUCUGAGAUUUUUUGUUAACUUAUCUUAUUUGCUGUUAGGUACUCUAAUAUCUACGUAACAGCACCAAGCCCGGAUAACUUGAAAACAUUCUUCGAGUUUGUUUGCAAAGGCUUCGAUGCUCUUGAAUACAAGGUAAUAUAAGCUUAUUCUGUAUCACAUAUUAAAUGCACUUUGAAAGAAAGAGUAACCUUUUUACAUUGUUUUUGAAAUAUCCAUUAAUGUCCUAAACAUUCUCUUCAACUAUAUGUUUUUGAAGGAACAUCUUGAAUAUGAUGUGGUCAGAAGUGUGAUUCCUGACUUUAAGAAAGCCAUCAUACGGAUAAAUAUCUUUAAGCAUCACAGACAAACUAUCCAGGUUUGUUCAUUCAUGUUUUUCUAAUUUGCUGUGGUUUGCAUGAUAAUGUUUGAUUUGUUUAGUGGUAAUUGCUUUCUUGUUCAGUAUAUACAACCUCAUGAACACGAGAAGCUCUCACAAGUUGAGCUGUUGGUUAUUGAUGAAGCAGCAGCGAUUCCUUUGCCAGUUGUGAAAUCGUUACUUGGACCUUACUUAGUUUUCUUAUCUUCCACCGUCAGUGGGUACGUGAGACAAUGAUUUUAUGCUUACACUACCAUUAUGAAUGUCGUGGUUAUAAUUUGAGCUAACUACUAAUUUCCUUUUCUUUAUUUUUCUUUAUCAAAGCUAUGAAGGCACUGGUAGAUCUUUGUCUCUGAAACUCCUUCAACAGUUAGAAGAACAAAGCCGAGCCCCUGCUACUGGUGUUGAAGGCUCCCUUUCUGGUACUUAACUGCUAUAUCUUGGUUUCGAUUUUGGCGUGUGAAAAUCAAGAGAAUUUUGUAGAGAUCCUAGUAUCUGGUAUCUGAUCGGUGUUCACAACUACUAGAGCUAAUGUUUCUUUCUUGGAGGGCCUAGUUUAAUGUCAUAGUAUUUAGUAUUAUAAAUCCUUUUUAUUCUUGGCUCUGUAUAUGAUGUUGAUUAUUACCUUGGGGAAUGAAUACUUUAACUGUCAGACGUUUCUUUGGAUUCAGGUUGCCUUUUCAAGAAGAUAGAACUUACUGAGUCAAUUAGAUACGCUUCUGGAGAUCCAAUUGAAUCCUGGCUCAAUGGUCUACUAUGCCUUGAUGUUGCUAAUUGUCUCCCCAGUCCUUCAUGGUAUGGAUAUUUCAAGGAAAAAUAAUACAACGUUUGCAUCCCUUUCUUCCUCUGUUUGAUUGUUCUCUUCUGUAUAUUGUAGCCAUCCUCUGCCAAGCCAGUGUGAUCUCUACUAUGUCAACCGAGACACACUAUUUUCUUAUCACAAAGACAGUGAGUUGUUUUUACAGGUAAUAAUAGUUGAUUUUACAAUCUAAUUUUUUUGCUUACUUUGUUUUGAUUAUAGUAACUUGACACUAAGUGGUAUUACCACAGCGAAUGAUGGCACUUUGUGUCUCUUCUCACUACAAGAAUUCUCCUAAUGAUCUUCAAUUGCUGGCGGAUGCUCCUGCUCAUCAUUUGUUUGUGCUGCUCGGUAUAUAACUGAUCCUAUUAUUUAAAGCUAGAUAUAAUCCACCAGAUUUAGAGUAUCGCCUUAAAAUUUUUAUUUGGUACAGGUCCUGUUGAUGAAUCCAAAAACCAGCUUCCUGAUAUACUCUGCGUUGUUCAGGUAUAGUUGAAAAAAUUGAAGAUCUGCUUUAUUUUUUGUUGCAGCAUUGUGACUGAUUCUGGAUGUAUUUUUUGCAGGUGUGUCUUGAAGGACAGAUAUCUGAGAAAUCAGCUAUCAGAAGUUUAAGAGAUGGCCAUUCACCACAUGGAGAUCAGAUACCAUGGAAGUUCUGUGAACAGUUCAGGGACCUUGUCUUCCCAACUCUUUCUGGUGCUCGUAUUGUACGCAUAGCAGUCCACCCCAACGCCAUGAAGGUUGAUUUUUUAUGGCUUCUCAUUUUUUUUAAUCUGUUAGGUUCCAUGAAAAAUUAACAAAUGUCUUAUUGCAUUCUAUGUAGAUGGGUUAUGGUUCUGCUGCGGUUGAACUAUUGACGAGGUAAAAUGCAUGAUAAUUUACAUACGUAAACACUAAGCUGUGAUCAAAGCUUGACGAUAAUGAUUUAAUUGAUUGAUGUGGACAGAUAUUUUGAGGGUCAGCUAGCUUCGAUAUCAGAAGGCGAUGAUGAACUCGAUGUGGAGGCUUCACCACUUAAAGUUACCGAAGCUGCUAAGAAGGUUCUUGGUUCUUCUAUCUAUCUGUAUGACUAUUUUUGUUUGGUUUAUGCAUUCAACUUCUUACUUGAUUGCUUUUCCAUAGGCUUCUUUGCUUGAGGAACAGAUAAAACCUCGCGCCAAUCUUCCACCUCUGCUGGUUCCUCUUCGUGAUCGACGACCUGAGAGACUCCACUACCUCGGUGUCUCUUUUGGUCUUACUUUGGAUCUUUUCCGUUUCUGGAGGAAACAUAAAUUUGCUCCCUUCUAUAUCAGUCAGAUACAAGUAAGCAUAUCUCUACUCCUUCUACUGAGUUUCUUCUUACCUAUGGCUUGUAUAGUAGUGGUUAAUAACGCAAUUUCUACAUUUGGUUUGAUCAGAGUUCUGUGACCGGUGAACACACAUGUAUGCUUCUGAAACCAUUAAACAAUGAAGAGUUCGAAGUUAGUGAGUCAGAUGAAUUGGGCUUCUUUGCUCCCUUCUAUAAAGGUUUGUUGAUUCUUAACAAGAACUAGACUUUGCCGUUCUUGGUUUUAAUUCUUUGGCCACUUCUUCUCUUUUGUUCAGAUUUCAGGAUAAGGUUCUCUAAGCUGUUGAGUGAUAAGUUCAAGAAGAUGGAUUAUAAACUUGCAAUGAGGUUAGCACUAAACCUUUUUUUUUGGUUCAUUCCAUUCUUGGGGGAUUUGAUCAUUUUCUCAUAUCACUUCUUUUUUUCUCUAGUGUCUUGAACCCUAAGAUCAACUUCACAGAAAUUGAUUCUUCAGGAAGUUCAGCAAAUGGAUAUUUGAAGAAACUCGACAGAGUGUUUUCUCCAUAUGAUAUGGAGAGACUCAGAGCGUACACUGACAAUCUUGUGGACUUCAAUCUGGUUAGUUACAUUUUUCUCAAGUAAACUUGUUUUAACUUAUAUUUGUUCCGUUUGGUGAUUAUUUGUUUUUCUUUUCUUAUCUUUUAAAAGGUUUAUGACCUAUGCAAAACUCUAGCACAUCACUAUUUUCAAGAGAAGCUCCCGGUCACGCUUUCAUAUGUUCAAGCAUCUGUACUCCUAUGCUUGGGCUUGCAGGAGUCUGAUUUCUCUACCAUCGAGGUAUAAAAUUUAUGUUUUGGACUUAUGUUUCAUUCGACAUUUAGAGAUAAACUUGUAGACACAUCUGAAUGUUCUAAACUGUAUCAUUACAUUGCACUUACAGAGACAAAUGCAGUUAGAGAGGGGGCAAAUACACUCUCUUCUAUUGAAGGUUGGUAAGAAGUUAUACAAAUAUCUGAAUGGAAUCGCAGCAUCAGAGAUCGAAGCCACCUUCCCUCGGUUGAAAGAAGUAAGUUCGGAUUUCAAAGCUAAAAGCUUACUUUUAUGUUCCUUUGCUCUGUAAUUUACAAUCCUUCAUAUUUGAAUAUAUGAUUCAUGAUGACUUUUGUUUGCAGAGAGUGCUUGAACCUCACAAUGUAUCUGUAGACGAAGAUCUCAGGGAAGGAGCAAAACAAGUCGAGGUAUGUACUUCUGUUCAAAUCUUAUAUUUUUGUUUUUGUUUCCAUGUUUGGUCGAGUAAAGUCAUUCACACUCGAAUGUUUUUGGAUUUAAAGGAACAAAUGAGGGCAAAGAUAGAAUUGGAUCCUGAGCUGCUUGAACAAUUUGCUAUUGGUGGCAAAGAAGCUGAAGCGUUGGAAAAGUCUAAGAUCUCUUCAAGUGGUAUCAUCAGUAUCGAGACCACCAAAUCUUCUGAAUACAAGCCAAAACCAAGUGGGUUUGAUAAAACCGCCAAAAAGAGAGGCAAUGAUAAGCACUCCUCAAAAUCCCACAAGAAGAGAAGAGCCUGAUCUGGAGCUAAUUAAUGUGUGAGAGACAGUGACCAGAAGAUUUUGAUUACUUGUUCUUUUUUUUUGCUUUCUGAAUUUGUAACCAGAACUUGAAUAUUUUUAUAAGCAUUUUGUUUUGAACAUCACCGAUGAAAAAUGCUUACAGUGUUUCUGAUUCAGUUGAGAAAUGCUACAACCAUAAUACACAAUGUUUUAUUAGCUACAAGUCUAUUAACUACAUAUGUUUUUACUGCAAUAAAGCUGUUUCACAUCUCAGCAGCAAAAGACUUCCCACAUCCACAGGUUUGUGUAGCGUUGGGGUUUGAGAAAGAGAAGCCUCCACCGAUCAAAGCGUCACUAUAAUCAAGCUGCAUUCCGAAAAGGAAGAGCAUGCUCUUCGGAUCACAAACUACAAAAAAAAAAAAAAGUGUGCACAAGAAAAACCUGAGCAUUCUUUUCCUUUCAGAGAUAUAUAAAAAGGCAGACUCAAGAGAACUGAAGUCUAACGAACACGGAUCAGUCUAAAUGACAAAUGUGCAGACCGUAAUACGACAGCUAAUGUCCUAACAACAUUCAGUCUAUAACUAUCAGGUAAACGAAUAUAGCCAAUGACAAUUCAUAUGUAACAUGGCGAGUCUACACUACAUAAACUAACUGAUCUCACCUCUUAGACCUUAUUGUAUCAGAAUAAAAGGGUUAUUCAAAAUAAACUUACCUAUAGCGAAGCCUUCAUAUUCAAUGGUGGAAUCAUCAGGCCUUGCGUUAGCUCUGUUCUCAAAGUCCAUCGUGUAAGACAUCCCCGAGCAUCCUCCCUGCUUCACACCAAUUCUCAAACACAAAUCUUCCCCACGCUCUGAUCUCAUCUUAUUCAGAUGCUUAAGCGCACUCUCCGUCAAGGAUAUCGCCGGCUUCAAUCCCUCCACUGCAGAUGCCACUGAGAAAUUCAAACAAGACUCUUCAAAUUCUCGUGAAACACGCAAACCAAACAAGAGCAGAACUCAGUACAUGUCUGAAUAUUCAAAAAACAACAAAAGAUCGAUACUUUUUUAUGGUAAUCAUAUUAAAAAUCGAUACUUUUCGAAUCAUUUUUAUGAGAAGAGAACUUUCGUGAUAUCAAUUCGAACCUGGAGCGGAGGAGGAGGAGGAUCGAACACAGAGACGGUUUCUCCGAUUGAGAUUCACGUAUGACGAACGAGGAAAUGAAAUCGAGUUACGUGGAGCCACAUGACGUAAGCUUGUGUUAGAGACCCUGAGCUGAAGAAACGUUGGAUUCGAAGUCGUGAUUCCAGCCAACGCCAUCAUCACCGAAUAGAAUCGCCGAGAGGAGGAGAACAAGACGAACAGAAAAAUAAUUAAAUUAAAUAUUUUUUUGAUCAAUUAUUAUCUAAGUCCACAUGUUUUGUGUUUUUCAUGUUACGAACCCAAAGUAGAAGGCCCGGGCACUCGGGACCUGUUGGUUUCGGUUCGAUUGAUUCGAAUUUUCGGAUUUUCGGUGUUAUGUUUAUAAGUCUCAUUCAGGUUUUAUUAGUUAUUGAUUCGGGUUUGGUCCGGUUUCUUCCGUGUUCGGUUCGGAUCGGAUUGUAAAAUCGUCCAAAAAUAUUUUUUUAAACCUCAGACAAUUUUUUUUUUUUAAAUAUAAACAUUAUUCACAAAUCUAACUAAAAAUUAGUCAAACUAUAUAAAUUAACUUAACUGAAAAGCAUUCAAAAUAACAAAUAAAACAAACUACAAACAAAUUUUCAAAUACUCUAAAAUAUCUAAAUCACUUUAACAAAGAUAAAAACAUUAACAUAUUUAACUAUUUUCAGAUCCUAGUUUCAAUUUCGGUUCGGUUCGGAUUAUAACCAAAUUCUAAAAUACUAAGCUUAUAAAUCCCGUUCGGAUAUUUUUGUAUAGCAGUUCAGAUUAGGUUUCGGUUUUUUCGGUUAGGGAUUAGAUAGGUACUCCUGGUUGGGGUAAAAAUGUCCAUGCCCAAUAGAAUAUACUUGAACAAUUAAACCCGAGACUAUCGGGUCAUAAAUUAAAACCCAGUUCGGAGUUGGGUUAAACCCGAACAUAAAAAGCACGCGCUUAGCGCGAAGGAGGAGAAGAAGACGAACAGAAAUAAAUAAAUAUAAUGUUAUGAACCAGAUUGUGGAUAGCUUAUAACUAAGAGAUUAUGAUUUGUAAUCUUUUCAUUUAUCUAUGACGGUAUAAUCUCCUAUAUAAGGAACCUCUAUGUGAAUAAAAAUAGACUUUUCCAUUACUUUUAUAAAACGUUAUCAGCACGAAACUCUAAAUCCCUAAGCUGAUACCCAAAUCAAAAAACCCUAAAACCCUAACCCUAGUCGGCGAUCCGACGAACCCUAAACCCCGAUCGCGCCUCUUGUUCCCGCAUUUAUUCCAGCUCGCGUCCCCGAUCAGCUUCAGCCCAAGGCAUUCCUUAAACCCUAAAUAAUAUAAGUAUCAGAAUUAAUUAUAUUAUAAUUAUCAAAUCACAUAUUAAAACCCUAUUCGAAUAUUUUGAAAUCAAAACUGUUUUCGGUUUUGAUCAUUGAGGUUUUAAAUCUGAUUGAAUCUGAUGCUAUGUUGCUAGAAUUGUUUGACCGUUAAAUUGAUAGAUUUAUUUUCUCAUCCUGCUUGGUUAAUUGUUCAUCUGAUUUAAAAUUGUUUAAACCGACCAGCCUGUUAAAACAUUGAUUGAAUCCGAUAGGUUGCUAGCUUGCUUUGCUUAUAUAAUCCGAUAGGUUGAUAGAUUGAUUGAGGUUUACUUGUUUAAAAUCCGAAUGAUCUGAUUGCAUGAUUCUUGAGGUUUAAUAUCAUCUGCUAGGAUUGAUAGUUUUGUAAUCUGAUCUGUUUUAAAUAGAAACCCUAAAUAAUCCGUAUGAUAGGUUAUAUUGAUCUGAUUUGGAUGUCUUUGAGAAUUGAGAAUCCGUAUGCUAGGUUGAUAGAUUCAUGAUAAAAUCUAAUGUCUUGAGGUUUAAGAUUGUAUGCUAAGUUCGAUUAAAUUGAUUGAUCUGAUUAUAUGUUUUUGAGGUUUGAUAAAUUCGGAUACUAGAUAAAUUAUUUACACAUGGUUUAUGCUAAAUACCAAUCAGCCUUGAAACUGAUUCAUUGAAAUUCAUGCUUGAAAUCUAUAUUCUAGUAUUGCUAAAAUCAGCCUUGAAACUGAUUGAGUGAUUAAUAAAUCUUUUAACUAGUCUUGCUAAAAUCCAUUGAUUGUUAAACCCUAAUUGCAUGAUUAAUUGAAUCUGUUUUUGCUAGUCUUGAUAAACCAUAAUAUUAUGAGCCCAUAAAAAUAGUAUUGCUGAGACUUGCUAGAAAUUGACUGAUUGAUUAAAUGCCUUUAAGAUUGAUAGUCUUAUUGUCCUCACAAGAUUGAAAUCUGAAUUGAUUGUUUUUAAGAGUAAGGCCGCUUGAAAAUUAUACCUAAAUAUUGAGUGAUAUAUGAUUUGAGAUGUCAAAAAUCAACCUGGAUUUUGUUGCCCUAAAUCUCUCUGGAGAUAAUUAUUUACGGUGGACAUUGAAUACAAAGAUUAUCCUAAAGUCAAAAAGACUUGGUGAAUGUAUCAUAGAAGGUAAUAAUGCCAAUGAGAAAUAUUGAUACAAGGCAAUAUUAAUUAUUUGCCAUCAUCUUAUUAAGAGUCUCAAAGAUCAGUAUCUGACUAUAGAGAAUCCUCUAGACCUUUGGAGAUAGUUAAGAAUCGAGAUAUGAUCACCAAAGAACGGUGUUAUUACCAAAUGCUCUAUUUGAUUGGAGGAAUCCCAGAAUCAAGAAAUAUAAGUCCGUGGAUAAGUCUAUUGCUAGCUGAGAAAAAUAAUGGAUUACUGAUGAGAAACAGUGAAUUGAGACCUCCUGGAUUAACUCCAUUACCUGAUACCAAUAAGGCCGCAGAAGAAAAAAAAGGGUAACCACGUCCAGAAUGAUAGACCACACGGUCAUGGCCGUGGAGGGUGGAAAGGACGUGGCCAUGGCCACUAUAACACAUUUGGCCGUGGGAAUCACUAUGGCAGAGGCCGUGGGUAUCAACCCAAUUUGAGCCAUGGUCAAGGCAGUGGCCGUGGUAUAUCCCUUAAACCACAAAGCUCGACCAAAUCAGUGUGCCAUAGAUGUGGAAUGGGGAACCAUUGGGCUAAGAUAUGAAGGACUCCCAAACAUUUUUGUCCCAAACAUUUUUGUGACCUCUAUCAAAGAGAGUCUGAAAGGAAAGAAUCCUGAAACCCACUUGGUCUAUAAAGAUGGUGAAAAUAAUUUCGAACAUGAUCAAGAUGAUCUUAUGGAAUAUGAGACUUAUGAUUGCCUAAAAGAAUCAAGUUGAUAAUCUGAUUUCGACAUCAAACUUGUGUGAUUGCUUUGCUUGUAUGCUUUCUCUGAUUUUUAUCUCCUUGAAUUUAUUUCUAUUACAUUGUCUGCUUAGAUUAAAUGAAUGAAUGAUUUUUCUAUAUGAGUACACUGAAAAACGCCAAUAUAAGUACUAAAGCAGGUAUCGCCAGUCUGAAAGAAGACUAUGGCUAGGCUAAUAUAUUAUUGCCUAAGGGUAUGCAUCUAGAAAUCAGUGAUGCCUUAUAUUCACCCAGCUCUAAGAGCAAGAGCAGCCUAUUGAGUUUUAAAGAUAUAAGAAUGAAUGGUUUCCAUAUUGAAACAAUAGGCGAAAGAAACAAAGAGUUCCUUCAGAUAUAUGUAUAAAAUAUCCUAAGGGCAUAAUAAGUCCUAAAGACUAUACAUGCAUUCUCUACUGACCUAGACUUUGCAUAGAUCAGUAUGAUAGAGGCUAAAAGCCUGCGAAAAUAUACACUUUAUGGCACAACCGGAUUGGCCAUCCUGGUCCAAUCAUGAUGCAAAAAUUGACAUUCAAAAGGCACACAUUAAAAUAUAAGAAGAGUUAUCCCAAAGAAUCUCACGUGUGUAGCAUGUACACAAGGGAAACUCAUUAGGCCAUCACCAGUAAAACGACUUUGAGCCACUUUUUCAUAAAUAAAGACUAUAUGUCUAGAUAAUACUGAUGAAUACAUGUCCCAAGCGUUUAAAUGAUUAUGGUAUGUCCAUGGGGGUAAGUGUGGACAAUUCUGUGAUACAUGUCCAUACCAAGAACGGCUUGGCCGAAAUCUUUUAAAACGCAAAUAGCUGAUUGAUAGACCAUAACUUAUGAGGUCAAAACUCCCAUUCACAGCUUGGGCCACACGAAAUUUACAUGCACCUAAGUUAAUACGCAUCAGGCCAUUUAGUGAGCAUAGAUAUCCCCUAUCACAAUUAUUAACGGGUCAAGAGCCAGACAUACCCCAUCAUAAGACAUUUGGAUGUGCUGUCUAUGUACUAAUUGCUCCACCACAGAGAACUAAGAUGAGACCUCAAAAGGAGGAUGAGGAUAUAUGUUGGAUAUGAUUCUCCCACAAUAAUAAAGUACUUUGAGCCAACUAUGGGUGAUUAUAUUUGAGGCCAGGUACACGGAUUAUUUUAAGACCAGGAGGAGAAAAAAAAAUAAAGCUGGUAAAAGAAUGGUAAAAGAAAUAGAAUGGAAUCAACCAUCAAUGUCUUGGCAAGAUCCUCAGACUAAAGAAUGUGAAAUAGACGUCCAAAGAUUAUACAUUUACAAAGCUAGCUAAUCAAAUGCCAGACACAUUUGCUGACCCGAAAAAGAAUGACUAAGUCAUAUAUAAACCAGCUUGUAAAGCACCAACGAAUUUGAUGUCCAAGAAGAGACACAGUCAAGUUGCUACAGAGUCUAGACAACGUAUGAAACGUGGUAGACCAAAUAGGUUCCAAAAGAUAAGAAUCCUCGGAAACAAAAGAAAGGUGCAGAGAAUGAUAAUCAAAAUCCAAAUCCGAGGUUACUAAGGAAACCAUCCCAGACAUGGAGAUAAGGCCGGCCGGCUCUAAGGUACAGGUACCAAACAAUGUAGCUUGGGACGCCAAGCUGCAAAGUAUUAAAGGUCCUGAUAAUAAUGAAUCUCAAUCGAUUAUAUCAUGUCUGGAACAUAAUGGAACCAAUAAGGAAUGUCGACAUAAGAUGAUUUAUUUGCAUACAAGGUAGCACUUGAAUUUAUGAAUAUAAGCGAGGAUCAUGAACCCACGUCAAUAUAAGAGUGCGCACUCGUAGAACAGAUUGGAUUGAAUGGAAACGUGGGGUUAAAUAGUUUAAGGAAGAAAGGCGUAUUUGGCCAUAUGAUUAAGACGCCAUAUGAUGUUAAAACCAGUGGAUAUAAAUGGGUCUUGUGAGGAAUAGAAAUCGUGAGAUAUAAAGCUGAUGUUGCACAAGGAUUCUCACAAAGACCAGUAAUAGAUUAUGAGGAGACAUACUCCCAUGUGGUGGAUGCAACUACUUUUAGAUUUCUCAUAAGUCUGGCUAUAUAAGAGAGAAAAUUAGACUUGCAGCAAGUUGAUGUAGUGACUGCAUAUUUAUAUGGUCCACUGGAUAAUGAAAGUACUAGAGGGUAUUGAGCUGAAAGUACAGCAAGUUCUCGAGAACAAUAUUGAUAAUCAUCAAAGUAUAUGAUCUGAAUAUCCUAGGAACCUCUGGAUACAAUUUCUCAAACAGUUGAAUAUCUCAAGAAAGAGUUUGAGAUGAAAGAUCUUGGAAAACAAAGUUUUGUUUGGGAUUACAGCUUGAGUACAUUAACAAUGAAAUCCUUGUGCAUCAAAUAGUAUAUACAGAAAAGGGUACUCAAGAGAUUUAAUAUGGACCAGUCUCACCCAUUAUCUAGUACAUGGGCGUGAGAUCACUUGUUUUGGACACUGAUCCAUUCAGUCCAAAGGUGGACGAUAAAGAAGUCCAUUUAGUCCUGAGAUGGACGAUGCAGAAGUCUUGUUUUAGACACUGAUCUGAUUGGUCCAUAAGAAGGACGAUGAAGAAGCCUUUGAUUUUGGUUUAUUUUAUACUAACCAGCCCAAAGAGGGGUUAUUUGGUUUUGUUGAUUUGUUUUCAGACAGGUUAUGUUUUACACAUGGUGGUACACGCAUAUCACAGCAACAUCAUCCAAGAUUUCGUGUGUGUGUAUUUGAGGUCGAUGACUCAAUAUGUUCGAUCAGAUUGUGGCAUGGCCGAUGGUAAAGAAGAACCAACUAUCAUGUUCGAGGACGAAGCAUAUUCUGCCCAAGAUCUUCAUCACCCACGGAUUGCAGAAAAUUGGAGAGGUCCAAGGGACCUUCAGUAAUGUCCAAAUCAGGGGGAGUAAUGUGUGUUGUACUCUUUUUCCUUCACCAUGGUUUUGUCCCAAUUGAGUUUUCCUGGUAAGGUUUUAAUGAGGCAACAUUAAAGCACAUUACAAGCUCUAAAUGGUUAUGGCAUCCAAGGGGGAGUGUUAUGAACCAGAUUGUGGAUGGCUCAUAACCAAGAGAUUAUGAUUUGUAAUCUUUUCAUUUAUCUAUGACGGUGUAAUCUCCUAUAUAAGGAACCUCUAUGUUAUGAAUAAAGAUAGACUUUUCCAUUACUUUUAUAACAAUUUAUCAGCACGAAACUCUAAAUCCCUAAGCUAAUACCCAAAUCGAAAAACCCUAAAACCCUAACCCUAGCCGGCGAUCCGACGAACCCUAAACCCCGAUCGCGUCUCUUGUUCCCGCAUCUGUUCCAGCUCGCGUCCCCGAUCAGCUUCAGCCCAAGGCGUUCCUGAUCCUAGCUCAGACGUUCGCGACCCGAGAGCAGCUCCAGCACGCGACCUCUUCCUCGUUCGCGACAGCAUCAGACAGCUCGCGUCCGACGAUCAAGGCGUUCCCGAUCAAGCAACAAAGGACGUCCGCGACCCGAUAGAAGCGACUCGAUCCAUUCCAGCUCGCGUCCCGUUCGUGUCCAGCUCGCGGCUCAACUCCUUUGGUGGUCCGAUUCAACAAUCAUCUAAGGUUAAAAGGUAAUUCAAAACCUAAGAACCCAUAAUCGAACAUGGAUUGAUUGAUAAAGAAUGAAACCCUAAAACCCUAAUCUUUAUGAAUCAAAACCAUAGGGUAAUAGAUCAAAAAUCCUAAUUGAGUAAAUCGAAGCUCUAAAAGUUCGAUACCCCAAACCCUAAAUCAUGUUCCUACAUGAUUAAAACCCCAAAUCGGUUUUUACAAGUUAAAAUCCGAUAAACCCUAACCCUAUAUCUAUAAACCCUAAAUAAUAUAAGUAUCAGAAUUAAUUAUACUAUAAUUAUCAAAUCACAUAUUAAAACCCUAAUCGAAUAUUUUGAAAUCAAAACUGUUUUCGGUUUUGAUCAUUGAGGUUUUAAAUCUGAUUGAAUCUGAUGCUAUGUUGCUAGAAUUGUUUGACCGUUAAAUUGAUAGAUUUAUUUUCUCAUCCUGCUUGGUUAAUUGUUCAUCUGAUUUAAAAUUGUUUAAACCGACCAGCCUGUUAAAACAUUGAUUGAAUCCGAUAGGUUGCUAGCUUGCUUUGCUUAUAUAAUCCGAUAGGUUGAUAGAUUGAUUGAGGUUUACUUGUUUAAAAUCCGAAUGAUCUGAUUGCAUGAUUCUUGAGGUUUAAUAUCAUCUGCUAGGAUUGAUAGUUUUGUAAUCUGAUCUGUUUUAAAUAGAAACCCUAAAUAAUCCGUAUGAUAGGUUAUAUUGAUCUGAUUUGGAUGUCUUUGAGAAUUGAGAAUCCGUAUGCUAGGUUGAUAGAUUCAUGAUAAAAUCUAAUGUCUUGAGGUUUAAGAUUGUAUGCUAAGUUCGAUUAAAUUGAUUGAUCUGAUUAUAUGUUUUUGAGGUUUGAUAAAUUCGGAUACUAGAUAAAUUAUUUACACAUGGUUUAUGCUAAAUACCAAUCAGCCUUGAAACUGAUUCAUUGAAAUUCAUGCUUGAAAUCUAUAUUCUAGUAUUGCUAAAAUCAGCCUUGAAACUGAUUCAUUGAAAUUCAUGCUUGAAAUCUAUAUUCUAGUAUUGCUAAAAUCAGCCUUGAAACUGAUUGAGUGAUUAAUAAAUCUUUUUACUAGUCUUGCUAAAAUUCAUUGAUUGUUAAACCCUAAUUGCAUGAUUAAUUGAAUCCGUUUUUGCUAGUCUUGAUAAACCAUAAUAUUAUGAGCACAUAGAAAUAGUAUUGCUGAGACUUGCUAGAAAUUGACUGAUUGAUUAAAUGCCUUUAAGAUUGAUAGUCUCAUUGUCCUCACAAGAUUGAAAUCCGAAUUGAUUGUUUUUAAGAGUAAGGCCGCAUGAAAAUUAUACCUAAAUAUUGAGUGAUAUAUGAUUUGAGAUGUCGAAAAUCAACCUGGAUUUUGCUGCCCUAAAUCUCUCUGGAGAUAAUUAUUUACGGUGGGCAUUGGAUACAAAGAUUAUCCUAAAGUCAAAAAGACUUGGUGAAUGUAUCAUAGAAGGCAAUAAUGCCAAUGAGAAAGAUUGAUACAUGGCAAUAUUAAUUAUUAGCCAUCAUCUUAUUAAGAGUCUCAAAGAUCAGUAUCUGACUAUAGAGAAUCCUCUAGACCUUUGGACAGAGUUAAAAAUCGAGAUAUGAUCACCAAAGAACGGUGUUAUUACCAAAGGCCCUAUUUGAUUGGAGGAAUCCCAGAAUCCAGGACUAUAAGUCCGUGGAUGAGUCUAUUGCUAGCUGGGCAAAAUAAUGGAUUACUGAUGAGAAACAGUGAAUUGAGACCUCCUGGAUUAACCCCAUUACCUGAUACCAAUAAGGCCGCAGAAGAAAAAAAAAGGAAACCACGUCCAGAAUGAUAGACCACACGGUCAUGGCCGUGGAGGGUGGAAAGGACGUGGCCAUGGCCACUAUAACACAUUUGGCCGUGGGAAUCACUAUGGCAGAGGCCGUGGGUAUCAACCCAAUUUGAGCCAUGGUCAAGGCAGUGGCCGUGGUAUAUCCUUUAAACCACAAAGCUCGACCAAAUCAGUGUGCCAUAGAUGUGGAAUGGGGAACCAUUGGGCUAAGAUAUGAAGGACUCCCAAACAUUUUUGUGACCUCUAUCAAAGAGAGUCUGAAAGGGAAGAAUCCUGAAACCCACUUGGUCUAUAAAGAUGGUGAAAAUAAUUUCGAACAUGAUCAAGAUGAUCUUAUGGAAUAUGAGACUUAUGAUUGCCUAAAAGAAUCAAGUUGAUAAUCUGAUUUCGACAUCAAACUUGUGUGAUUGCUUUGCUUGUAUGCUUUCUCUGAUUUUUAUCUCCUUGAAUUUAUUUCUAUUACAUUGUCUGCUUAGAUUAAAUGAAUGAAUGAUUUUUCUAUAUGAGUACACUGAAAAACGCCAAUAUAAGUACUAAAGCAGGUAUCAGCAGUCUGAAAUAAGACUAUGGCUAGGCUAAUAUAUUAUUGCCUAGGAGUAUGCAUUUAGAAAUCAGUGAUGCCUUAUAUUCACCCAGCUCUAAGAGCAAGAGCAGCCUAUUGAGUUUUAAAGAUAUAAGAAUGAAUGGUUUCCAUAUUGAAACAAUGGGCGAAGGAAACAAAGAGUUCCUUCAGAUAUAUGUAUAAAAUCGCCCAAGGCCAUAAUAAGUCCUAAAGACUAUACAUGCAUUCUCUACUGACCUAGACUAUGCAUAGAUCAGUAUGAUAGAGGCUAAAAGCCUGCGAAAAUAUACACUUUAUGGCACAACCGGAUUGGCCAUCCUGGUCCAAUCAUGAUGCAAAAAUUGACAUUCAAAAGGCACACAUUAAAAUAUAAGAAGAGUUAUCCCAAAGAAUCUCACGUGUGUAGCAUGUACACAAGGGAAACUCAUUAGGCCAUCACCAGUAAAACGGCUACGAGCCCCUUUUUCAUAAAUAAAGACUAUAUGUCUAGAUAAUACUGGUGAAUACAUGUCCCAAGCGUUUAAAUGAUUAUGGUAUGUCCAUGGGGGUAAGUGUGGACAAUUCUGUGAUACAUGUCCAUACCAAGAACGACUUGGCCGAAAUCUUUUAAAACGCAAAUAGCUGAUUGAUAGACCAUAACUUAUGAGGUCAAAACUCCCAUUCACAGCUUGGGCCACACGAAAUUUACAUGCACCUAAGUUAAUAUGCAUCAGGCCAUUUAGUGAGCAUAGAUAUCCCCUAUCACAAUUAUUAACGGGUCAAGAGCCAGACAUACCCCAUCAUAAGACAUUUGGAUGUGCUGUCUAUGUACUAAUUGCUCCACCACAGAGAACUAAGAUGGGACCUCAAAAGGAGGAUGGGGAUAUAUGUUGGAUAUGAUUCUCCCACAAUAAUAAAGUACUUUGAGCCAACUAUGGGUGAUUAUAUUUGAGGCCAGGUACACGGAUUAUUUUAAGACCAGGAGGAGAGAAAAAUAAUAAAGCUGGUAAAAGAAUGGUAAAAGAAAUAGAAUGGAAUCAACCAUCAAUGUCUUGGCAAGAUCCUCGGACUAAAGAAUGUGAAAUAGACGUCCAAAGAUUAUACAUUUACAAAGCUAGCUAAUCAAAUGCCAGACACAUUUGCUGACCCGAAAAAGAAUGACUAAGUCAUAUAUAAACCAGCUUGUAAAGCACCAACGAAUUUGAUGUCCAAGAAGAGACACAGUCAAGUUGCUACAGAGUCUAGACAACGUAUGAAACGUGGUAGACCAAUAGGUUCCAAAAGAUAAGAAUCCUCGGAAACAAAAGAAAGGUGCAGAGAAUGAUAAUCAAAAUCCAAAUCCGAGGUUACUAAGGAAACCAUCCCAGACAUGGAGAUAAGGCCGGCCGACUCUAAGGUACAAGUACCAAACAAUGUAACUUGAGACGCCAAGGUGCAAAGUAUUAAAGGUCCUAGUAAUAAUGAAUCUCAAUCGAUUAUAUCAUGUCUGGAACAUAAUGGAACCAAUAAGGAAUGUCGACAUAAGAUGAUUUAUUUGCAUACAAGUUAGCACUUGAAUUUAUGAAUAUAAGCGAGGAUCAUGAACCCACAUCAAUAUAAGAUGAGGAGAGUAAAAUAAUAAAGCUGGUAAAAGAAUGGUAAAAGAAAUAGAAUGGAAUCAACCAUCAAUGUAUUGGCAAGAUCCUCAGACUAAAGAAUGUGAAAUAGACGUCCAAAGAUUAUACAUUUACAAAGCUAGCUAAUCAAAUGCCAGACACAUUUGCUGACGCGAAAAAGAAUGACUAAGUCAUAUAUAAACCAGCUUGUAAAGCACCAACGAAUUUGAUGUCCAAGAAGAGACACAGUCAAGUUGCUACAGAGUCUAGACAACGUAUGAAACGUGGUAGACCAAUAGGUUCCAAAAGAUAAGAAUCCUCGGAAACAAAAGAAAGGUGCAGAGAAUGAUAAUCAAAAUCCAAAUCCGAGGUUACUAAGGAAACCAUCCCAGACAUGGAGAUAAGGCCGGCCGGCUCUAAGGUACAGGUACCAAACAAUGUAGCUUGGGACGCCAAGCUGCAAAGUAUUAAAGGUCCUGAUAAUAAUGAAUCUCAAUCGAUUAUAUCAUGUCUGGAACAUAAUGGAACCAAUAAGGAAUGUCGACAUAAGAUGAUUUAUUUGCAUACAAGGUAGCACUUGAAUUUAUGAAUAUAAGCGAGGAUCAUGAACCCACGUCAAUAUAAGAGUGCGCACUCGUAGAACAGAUUGGAUUGAAUGGAAACGUGGGGUUAAAUAGUUUAAGGAAGAAAGGCGUAUUUGGCCAUAUGAUUAAGACGCCAUAUGAUGUUAAAACCAGUGGAUAUAAAUGGGUCUUGUGAGGAAUAGAAAUCGUGAGAUAUAAAGCUGAUGUUGCACAAGGAUUCUCACAAAGACCAGUAAUAGAUUAUGAGGAGACAUACUCCCAUGUGGUGGAUGCAACUACUUUUAGAUUUCUCAUAAGUCUGGCUAUAUAAGAGAGAAAAUUAGACUUGCAGCAAGUUGAUGUAGUGACUGCAUAUUUAUAUGGUCCACUGGAUAAUGAAAGUACUAGAGGGUAUUGAGCUGAAAGUACAGCAAGUUCUCGAGAACAAUAUUGAUAAUCAUCAAAGUAUAUGAUCUGAAUAUCCUAGGAACCUCUAGAUACAAUUUCCCAAACAGUUGAAUAUCUCAAGAAAGAGUUUGAGAUGAAAGAUCUUGGAAAACAAAGUUUUGUUUGGGAUUACAGCUUGAGUACAUUAACAAUGAAAUCCUUGUGCAUCAAAUAGUAUAUACAGAAAAGGGUACUCAAGAGAUUUAAUAUGGACCAGUCUCACCCAUUAUCUAGUACAUGGGCGUGAGAUCACUUGUUUUGGACACUGAUCCAUUCAGUCCAAAGUGGACGAUAAAGAAGUCCAUUUAGUCCCGAGAUGGAUGAUGCAUAAGUCGUGUUUUAGACACUGAUCUGAUUGGUCCAUAAGAAGGACGAUGAAGAAGCCUUUGAUUUUGGUUUAUUUUAUACUAACCAGCCCAAAGAGGGGUUAUUUGGUUUUGUUGAUUUGUUUUCAGACAGGUUAUGUUUUACACAUGGUGGUACACACAUAUCACAGCAACAUCAUCCAAGAUUUCGUGUGUGUUUAUUUGAGGUCGAUGACUCAAUAUGUUCGAUCAGAUUGUGGCAUGNNNNNNNNNNNNNNNNNNNNNNNNNNNNNNNNNNNNNNNNNNNNNNNNNNNNNNNNNNNNNNNNNNNNNNNNNNNNNNNNNNNNNNNNNNNNNNAGACUCAAGGACCUUCAGUGAUGUCCAGAUCAGGGAGAGUAAUGUGUGUUGUACUCUUUUUCCUUCACCAUGGUUUUGUCCCAAUUGGGUUUUCCUGUUAAGGUUUUAAUGAGGCAACAUUAAAGCACAUUACAAGCUCUAAAUAGUUAUGACAUCCAAGGGGGAGUGUUAUGAACCAGAUUAUGGAUGGCUCAUAACCAAGAGAUUAUGAUUUGUAAUCUUUCCAUUUAUCUAUAACGGUGUAAUCUCCUAUAUAAGGAACCUCUAUGUUAUGAAUAAAGAUAGACUUUUCUAUUACUUUUAUAACAAAAUAAAUAUUUUUGCUCAAUUAUUAUAGGGUUGCCUGCAUAUUCCCACCCACAGACACACAAACCCUACUUAUUCCCCCCCAAAGUAUUUACCUCUUCAUAAGCCCACCUAAGCUUAUAAAUUCUCUUCAUAUCUCCCCCUAAUCUUUUUUUCUCCCCCUUUCUAAUUGAAUUUCCAAAUCGUGAUUAUAGAGUUAUUAAUCGCGUUUUAUAAACAAUGAUUACCCAUUAAAAACGGAACCCACCCGACAUUAAAAAAAACCCGACCCAGAUUUUUAAAUUGAAUUGGGGCUUUUCUGACUUACGACGACACAGAGAGAGAGACGAAGAACAGAGAAAAAAAGAGAGAGAGAGAACAGAGAACAGAGAAGAGAGAGACGAAGAACAGAGAGAGAGAGCAAAGAGAGAGAACAGAGAAUAGAGAACAGAGGGACACGAAGAACAGAGAGAGAGAGAGAGAGAGAGAGAGAGAGAGAGAGAGAGAGAGAGAGAGAGAGAGAGAGAGAGAGAGAGAGAGAGAGAGAGAGAGAGAGAGAGAGAGAGAGAGAGAGAGAGAGAGAGAGAGAGAGAGAGAGAGACGAAGAACAGAGGAGAGAGAGAGAUAAAAAAACAGAGAUAUAUGUUGUUGUGUCGCCAUUUUAAAUUUGCUUCUUCACAGGUUUUAAUGGAUAUAUGUUGUUUGUGUUUGAUUACAGAGAAAUAUGGAGACACAUCUUUUCAAAUGGGUAGAUGAAAUUGUCACAUAUGAGAUAUAAAAGAUUGUGAACUUGUGAACAAUGUGAAGGAUUUGCGACAGGGUAUAAUGGAACACUUUGACGUUCAAGAAACAAGGAUUGACAAGAUAGAAGAAGAAGUGAUGAGAAUUAAGAAUUAAGAUCAGCUUAUGUGUUUAGACUCAUGUAAGAUUAUGAUAGAAGUGAUGAGCUUUCUGUAUUUUGGUAUCUUAUGUGUUUAAACUUAUGUAAGCGAUGAGCUUUAUGUAUUUGUUUGUGAUAUUUUGAGUGUUGGACUCUUGAACAUGAGUAGUGUCAUGUAAGAAAAUGAUCAUGUUCUGAGUCUGAAACAAAAACAAGUCAUUACCAUUAAAGACAUUGCUUAAAUGAAGUCUGAAGCAGAAACAAGUUAUACAUAACCAUCCUCCUGCUCAUGACCAAAACAGAAACAAGAAACAAGUCUUACAUAAACAGAACAUAAAAUGCAGCCUCGAUUGAAACAGAAAACUCCACGGAAAGGCUAGCUUUGACUUUGUGUAGGCUGAGUAAGUCUCACUUUAUCCUGCUUCCCAUGAGAAGAAUUUCCCUAACGUUAUAACUAUGUGUUAGCAUUAUCAAGAUUGAAGUAAACAAAUGCUUUGAGAAAGAUAUCAUACCUCGAAUCAUCUCUUCACGUCUCAGUUUCGUCUGUGGUACCAUCCCUCACUGUCUCUCUCUCCUCUGCACUCUCUUCUCUCCUUUCUCUCUCUCUCCCUUUCUCUGUCAUCCUCGUCGUUUUUCUUUACGUGAAGGAGAUAGAAAAAAACCCUAACUUUAAUUAUAUCCUCCAAUUUAUUUUUUUUUUUUAAUUUUGGGUCGGGUCGAAUCUUGUGUUUAUGCCGGAUCUGGUUUUUUUUAAUUGGGUAAUCGCUGUUUACAAAACGUGAUUUUGGUUCCUUUAAUCACAACUUGGGAAUUUAAUUAGAGAGGGGGAUUAAAAAAGAUUAGGGGGGAGAAAUGAAGAGAAUCUAUAAGUUUGGGUGGGAUUAUGAAGAAGUAAAUCGAACCCAAAGUAGAAUAUAGGCCCGAGAGUUCGGGGACCUGUUGGUUUCGGUUCGGUUGAUUCGAAUUUUUGGUGUUAUGUUUAUAAGUUCCAUUCAGGUUUUAUUAGUUAUCGAUUCGGGUUCGGUUCGGUUCUUUCCAUAUCCGGUUCGGAUCGUAUUGUAACCAAUGAAGUCGUCCAAAAAUAUUAUUUUUAAACCUUAAAAAUCGACAAUUUUUUUUUUCAAAAUAUAAAAAUUAUUUACAAAUCUACCUAAAAAUUAGUUAUUAAACUAUCUAAAUUAAAGGAAAAACAUUCAAAAUAAAAAAUAAUAAAACAAACUACAAAAAAUAUUUCGAAUACUCUAAAAUAUCUAAAUUACUUUAACAAAGAUAAAAACAGUAACAUAUUUAACUAAUUUCGAAUAUCUUCAGAUCCUAAUUUGAAUUUUGGUUCGAUUCGAGUUAUAACCAAAUUCUAAAAUAAUAAACUUAUAAGUCCCGUUUGGAUAUUUUUGUAUAGCACUUCGGAUCCGGUUUUCGGGUUUCGGCAGGUACUCCCGGUGGGCGUAAAAACGCCCAAACCGGGUAGAAUAUACUUGAACAAUUAAACCCGAGACUAUCGGGUCAUAAAUUAAAACCCGGUUCGGAGUUGGGUUAAACCCGAACCUAAAAGCACGCGCUUAGCUCGAAGGAAACACACUUCGUCUUCAUCCUCUAUUCUCUUCUCUUCUUCUCCAAUUCGCCGAUUCAGUCUCAUCCUUGUGAUUUUCGCGCCUCUUGAUGGCGUCAUCUUCCACCAGCUCUCUCUACCUCCACUCUCUCCCCAAGGUAACACCUCCACUUAGCAAUCCAUUUUUCUCCUUCAAUCACUUUUAGCUUCUGAUUCAAUCUUUUGAAACUUUGAAAGGCUUCUUCCGGUUUGCGAUUCAAGUUUCGAGGCGUCUCAGCUUCUUCUAGCCACCGGCUGUUCCUUUCUCCGGUGGUGUUUCUUCGACAAAGUCCGAGACUUUCUGCGAUCAGAGCUUCAGCGGAAGGAAGCUCGAGGCGUAAGGCUUACAAGGAGUCACAAGCGGUUAGUGGGUUCCCUAAUGCUGAAGUUCAGCAGAUUGCGUCUAACGUUUUGCCCGUUGGCUCAUUCGUUGUCGUCACCUUCGGUAGGCUGAUUGUGUUGGCAUUGAAGCUUUGAAAGUUGCUUUCUUUCUUAGUGCUAAUUUGUUUUAUUCAGCUGACAGUUUUGUGGAAAGUGGUGGAGAAGUUCAUGUCGCCAAAGUCUCCAAAGACUUCUUCAUCUGGAGAUAGCAAGUCUUCUCCACAAGGAGUGAAGUGGUCAAUCGGUGCUGGUACUAAUCUGUUACAAGGGUUUGCUGCUAAGGUUGAUAGGGAGAACAAGCAGAGGCUUAAUGAGUUUGCAAAAGAACUCAGGUCCUUCAGAAGUGUUGACAUGUCAGGUGCGGUUUAAUAUGGUUGGAGUUCAUGAUAUUGGAUGUAGCUUACCUUUUGAGUGUUAUGUUGCAGGAUGCAACUUUGGUGAUGAAGGACUGUUUUUUCUUGCUGAAAGCCUUGGGUAUAAUCAGGUUUAUAGCUCUCUCCCUCUCUUUAACAUCUGUUGUCUGCCAACUUCGUUACUAUUCUGAUCUUCUUGUGUUGAUUGAGUGACCAUAUCCAUAUUGUGUGUUUCAGACUGUAGAGGAAGUCAGUUUUUCUGCAAAUGGAAUUACAGCUGCGGGAGUUAAAGCCUUUGAUGGUGUUCUUCAGUCAAAUAUUGUGUUGAAGGUUCUUAACCUCUCUGGAAACCCUAUCGGUGAUGAAGGAGCUAAGGUUAGUGGAAAUGCUAUCACUAAACUUCUUUUCCGGAUGUCUUAUGGUUAUCAGACAGAGCUUAUUCUCUAGGUGUACAUGUCUUUAUGAGAUAUGGUUUUACUUUGUAAUGACAGACUUUAUGUGCUACAUUGAUGGAAAAUUCUAGCAUCGAGAUACUUCAGCUGAACAGUACGGAUUUAGGAGACGAGGUUUGUCUACAGAUGCUGUAUCUUUCAAGCCCCUUAGCUAGACAUAAUUCAUUUGAUGCAUCCAAGUUCUUCCAAUGUGCAGGGUGCAAAAGAAAUUGCUGAGUUGUUGAAGAGAAAUUCAACCUUGAGGGUUAUUGAGCUGAAUAAUAACAUGAUUGACUAUUCUGUAAGUUCUUUCUUUAUAUAUGUGCCGUACCUCUAUAUCGCAGAAAUAAGCACCCAGGUGUAUGAAUUGAAUCUAUUGUGUUGUGUCUUCUUCACCCCCUUUCUUUUGAAAUGGAGGUAGGGAUUCACAAGUCUUGCUGGAGCUCUUCUUGAGAAUAAUACAAUACGAAAUUUACAUCUCAAGUGAGUUUAGGAUCGUAGAUGGAUCUUCUGUUUUAGUCUUGCUUUUAUUUGUUUAUAUUUCAUAUCCCUGACAUGCUGAUCUGUUACAGUGGAAACUAUGGUGGUGCUUUGGGUGCCAAUGCUUUAUCUAAAGGGCUAGAGGGUAAUAAGUCUUUACGGGUACAUAAACUUCCUCAUGUCCCAUUCUAUGUACUUAUCAUGUCUUCAAGAGUUAAAUCCCACUAAGCCAUUGGCCAUUCUACUUGCAGGAGCUUCAUUUGCAUGGAAACUCCAUUGGAGAUGAAGGGAUUCGUGCUUUGAUGGCUGGUCUUUCUUCCCACAAAGGUUUGUAUUUAAGCAAAUUCGAUAGAACUCUCUUCAUACCUCAAGACUAACUCUUUUCUUACCUCUACUUGUGUACAGGGAAACUGGCUCUGCUAGACCUCGGUAACAACUCAAUCACCGCAAAGGGCGCCUUCUAUGUAGCAGAAUACAUCAAGAGAAGCAAGUGCCUGGUUUGGUUGAACCUGUACAUGAAUGACAUAGGCGAUGAGGUACUUUUACUUUAUAACAAUGGGGCUAGAACGUCUGCGUUUGACUGUCUGAAUGUUUCUAAUGACUUCAGGGAGCUGAGAAGGUUGCAGAUGCUCUGAAGCAGAACCGUUCAAUUGCAACCAUUGACAUUGUGAGUAGUGGCCAUUUUCUUGUCCGGUCUCCUCCCUAACUCGAGCUAUCUGUGGAUGUUAACGCGUUUGUUGUUGUAAAACAGGGCGGAAACAACAUCCGCGCAGAGGGAGUUAAUGCUAUAGCCCAAGCUCUGAAAGAUAAUGCAAUUAUAACGACGGUCAGCGCCAAAAAAAAAAACUCUUUCUCAUCUUUGUUUCCUUGUUUACUUAUAAGUGCUGGUUUCAUUGUUUCUUCAGUUAGAGGUUGGUUAUAAUCCCAUAGGACCUGAUGGAGCAAAAGCAUUAUCAGAAAUUCUCAAGUUCCAUGGCAAUGUGAAGACGCUCAAACUUGGUUGGUGCCAGGUAAAGCCUGUCUACAGCUAUUUAUUCACAAGCUUGUUUUGUUUGAUCAUUCAUUCUAAUGUCGUGCAGAUAGCAGCUAAGGGUGCUGAAUACGUUGCAGACAUGUUGAGAUAUAACAACACGAUCUCGGUUUUGGACUUGCGAGCAAAUGGACUUAGAGAUGAGGUACUUGCAGACAGAUUUUAUCAGCAUAUUUCAGUUUUUUUUUUUAAAAUAUUCGAAUUGUUUUUUUUCAGGGAGCUUCUUGUUUAGCUCGGAGCUUAAAAGUAGUUAAUGAAGCUCUGACGUCCGUGGAUCUAGGAUUCAAUGAGAUUCGGGUAAAAAAAGAAGACUUUGUUGUUCAACACUGUCUUUUGUAAGCCACUCCGACGAUCUUAUUGUUGUGUCUCAUAUACAGGAUGAUGGUGCAUUCGCCAUUGCUCAAGCUCUAAAGGCCAACGAAGAUGUAACGGUUACAUCAAUAAACCUGGGGAACAACUUCAUCACCAAGUUUGGACAGGUAAAAGAACAUAUCCGCUACCACCAGGUCUUUUGUUAAAAGGUUCUGGUUACUGAGACAUUGCCCUUUGUUUCUUGUAAUCCAGAGUGCUCUUACGGACGCUCGAGACCAUGUUCUUGAGAUGACUGAAAAGGAAGUAGAGAUUUUCUUCUAGAGAGAGAGUCAAUAAUUUUGCACCUUUAGUUGUUGUCGCAUUCUUUAUGAGAGGUGUUGAAUGGGCUUCAAGCCGAAAAUAAAACUUGUUCCUUUGUUGGUUUCCGGUUAAAAAAAAAAUCAAUUUUUAUUUUCAAAGAAGAGCUUCCAUUAACCGGGUAGUUAAUCUGGUUUAUCUCCGGUUUUGAAUUGGUUUUCGGUUAUCAAUCUGGUUAUGUUUCAAUACGCAAAAUAAAAUAAGGAAAAGUGAAAUAAACCACCAAGUAACAAGGUUAGUUCUAGUGUUGUCGUGUCACACUGUGAUUAACUAUAAAACCCGGUUUACAACAGAUUUUCCCGGUCUGAUUUCGAUUCGAUUCGGUUCAUUGAAACAAGGGUAACUCUUGCUUUGAACGGCACAGUAGUUCACAAAAAUUUGCCGUUCGGUGCUUCUGAUUGGGAACACGGAGCAAAUUAGCGAGUGAAGGAGCAAUAAAAUGGCGCCAAAGCGAGGAAGAAACCGGUCGCCUUCUCCGGACCGGAACGGGAUGUUCGCCGGAAUGGUAGUUUUCAUGGUGGACACCGGAGUCCAGCGCCGUCGAUUGCAGGUUUGUGCUCGGAGAGAGAGAUAAUCAAAAUUUUCUCAACUUUUUUUUAAAAAGAGCUCGUCACAUCACAUUCAAAUAUCCCAUUAUUUGCCUAUUUGAAUUGAAGAUAUGGAAGCAGAAGCUGGUUCAAAUGGGAGGAGCAGUGAUCGAGGAAGGUUCGUUGACGAAGAAAGUCACUCAUGUUCUCGCCAUGACUCCCGAAGCUCUUGUCGGAAAAUUCCAGAAAGAACCUCUCUCUCGUUUUAAAGGAGUAAGUUUUUUUUUUUUUUUUAAAUUGUUUGAUAUUUAUGUAUGGAAGAGACUUCAGGUCAAAAAGUAGAGAGUUUUUUUUUUUUUUCUUUUCUUGCAGCGCCUUCUGCGUUACCAGUGGUUAGAAGAUAGUCUAACUUCAGGAGAGAAGGCUAAUGAAGACUUGUAUCUUCUCAAAUUUGGCUCUGAAGAGAUUGAAGAUCCAAACAAAAAGUCUUUGCCUGCAAGGAGUGGUAGUGAGGAUCAACCAUCAACUCCAAAACGAGCUAGGGACUCCCCUGAUUCUUCUGAUACCGUAGGCUUAGAUACCCAAAACAAUACACAGGGAUCACCUACUAGUUGCAGUGUCCCCUCUACUAGUGCUAGCCCUGGAGAAGGCAUUUCAGAGACUCCCUCUACUAGUCCACAAUCAGAGGUUGACUCUUUUGGUGAUGAAUCUUUUUGGCUUUGUUGCUAUUGGAAGUUCUUAUUAAUCUUGUUUUGAUUUAUAGCCCACAUCCGUUUACAAACCACCCGAUUUGAACAGAAACAUCACUGAGAUAUUUGGGAAGCUAAUAAACAUAUAUAGAUGUAAGAUUGUUACUGGUGUUAAUUUUUUUUUUAUAUAUUGCUCUCUUAUAGGAUCUUAACUCUUUUUCUCUCUUUCAAAAGCUUUGGGUGAUGAUAGGAGGUCCUUUAGCUAUUACAAAGCUAUACCCGUCAUUGAAAAGUUUCCCACCAAGAUUGAAAGCGUUGAUCAGCUCAAACACCUCCCUGGGAUUGGAAAGUCGUUGACAGAUCAUGUGAGUGAAAAAAUGUGUUCAACAUUGCAUACUCUUACCCUUUAAUGCAUGUGGUACUUCCAAGUUUUUCUGCUGCUCUAGUUCUAAGCUUUUGUAUCAUUAAUAGCUUCACUAUGAAUUUGUUUGAUAAGCUUUUGGCAAGCACUAUAUACACUGAUGCAUUGUCUUUUUGACCUUUGUUUUGUGUUUCUGUGAGAACUUAACAUUAUUCUUCUACAUGAGUUUGGCAGAUUCAAGAAAUCGUGACAACAGGGAAGUUAUCCAAGUUAGAACACUUUGAAACAGAUGAGAAGGUAAAUUUGAAGUCCUCAACUAAAGUUAUCAUUUUUCAUUUUCAGUAAAAUAUAAAAUCACAUCAUUUGCUUCUUUUUUUUCUUGAUCUAAAUUCAUUUAAGAAAUUACUGUGCAUGACCUGGAGCUAGAGAACCAUGUCUAAUACCCUUUUUCUUUUGCUAUUUGGAAUGUUUCCUUACUUUGAUUGAAGGUACGUACGAUCAGCUUGUUUGGGGAAGUUUGGGGGAUUGGUCCUGCUACUGCACUCAAGCUAUACGAGAAAGGACACCGCACGUUAGAAGACUUGAAGAACGAGGAUUCACUAACGCAUGCGCAGAGGCUGGGGUUGAAAUAUUUUGAUGAUAUCAGAACAAGGAUUCCACGCCAAGAGGUGUGAUUCCUAGACUUCCGACUUGAAUUGUGCUUGCCUUUUAUAUCCUUGGUUUAGCUUUCUCCUUAUAUUUUCACACUUUCUGUGUUGUAGGUUCAAGAGAUGGAACAACUUCUACAGAGAGUGGGCGAGGAAGUCUUACCUAGAGUAAUGAACUUUUCAGUUUAUCGGUUUACUCUUCUUUUGGAUGUAGAAAAUCCUCUCAACGUAAUACAUCUAUCUUUUCUGCAGGUGGAUAUUGUAUGUGGAGGAUCAUAUAGACGUGGGAAAGCUACUUGCGGAGAUCUAGAUAUCGUUAUCACACAUCCUGAUGGACAAAGGUAUGUACAAUCUUGUUUCCUCUUGUCCUGUGUUUUCUUUUCUAAAACGUUUUUGCAUCUUCUGAAACUUGUCUUUGCUUUUAUUGUCCUGGCUCCUGGCUUAGUCACAAGGGAUUCUUGACAAAGUUUGUAAAGCGUUUGAAGGAAAUAAACUUUCUUAGAGAAGAUCUCAUCUUCAGUACCCACAGCGAAGAGGUAGCUUCGACAUUAUGUUCCAGUUUCUUGUGCAUUUGGUUUGUUAAAUUCUAUCUUUCAGCAUUUGAUAUAAGAUUCUUUUCAAUAGGGUACUGGUUCAGGCGUCGACACGUAUUUUGGUCUGUGCACUUAUCCUGGUCAGGAGCUGAGGCGCCGUAUUGAUCUCAAGGUAACACUGAAAACUCCUCAAGCCACGCUCAUUGCAAAAGAUAAUCUAAUUUGGGUUUAUCAAACAAACAAAAAAAGAACAAGAUGCGUUGAUUCAUCACCAUGUCUGACUCUGCAUUGCUUUUUCUAACAGGUUUAUCCGAGGGAUAUACAUGCAUUCGGACUAAUAGCCUGGACAGGGAACGACGUGCUGAACAGAAGGUAUGAACAUAAUAAUAGUCCAUUAUGCAUCUCACCAAAGAUAGUGUUGCUAAAAUAAUAAAGAUCACACACACACAUCCUUAGAUAUAUUUGCUAUGCCAUGGAAAAUGCAGGCUGAGAUUGCUAGCGGAAUCCAAAGGAUAUAGACUCGAUGACACUGGACUGUUCCCAGCUACUCACAGCUCAAGUGGUAACCGGGUAAGGGGAACAACAGUGUGAAUGAUUAAAAUGAUUUUAUUAUUGUUUGAGCAUUGUGAUAAUGUUUCCUUGUCAGGGUGGUAGAGCAAGUGCCAGCAUGAAACUCUCCACAGAGAAACAAGUUUUCGAUUUCUUAGGGUUUCCUUUGCUCGAGCCACACGAGAGGAAUCUUUAAGUAACUCACUAAGCCUUUUGGUUCUUGUUUAAGUUAUGUUCUUCUGUAAGGAAUCAGUUGUUUUUGUAAAUUGCAUAUCUAUGGGCAAAGUUAUGAUGUUAAUGCUCUGUAAUAUUUCCUCUAAUGUUAAAAACUACUAGGUUUUAAUUUAACUUUCUGGACGUCUUUAUGUAUUCGACGUGUUGUGAGUUGUGACCAUAUUAAUUUACCAUUUUUCUAAACAAACUAAUCACACGUCUCUCAUAAAGCGUUAUGAGUGAGAAAAGAAACGUCCCACAUCGGAGACAGAGGAGAUAUGACUUGUUUAUAUUACUCUAGAAAGCAUCAGGGGUCACGACCUUGCAUAUCCUUGAUUUCUAAGGGGACAGUCCUUUAACCCUGGUUGAUGACUCAUUGCCGUGUGAUCAGAGCGUGAUUAGCGGCUAGGUUUGUCUUCGGACUCUCCGUGUUGUAAAGGAUCGUUACCUAGCCUAGCCUGGUCUUGACCACGGUUAGGGUGGUUGCACGGUUGUCUGACGGUUCCCCUUUUUUCAUUAUUCGUUUCUUCACAUCCUUUUUUGUCUUCUCAUUUCCACCCUUAAUUUUUUUACCAACACAAAAUCUGAUUUAAACACUUCCGUUUUUUUGGUACUGCACAAACAUACGUUUUUACACAGAAAUUCAGAGGACCAUAUAACAAAAAAAACUAUCAAAAUAAAAUUUAGUCACUUUCAUACAUGCAUUGAUGAUGCAUGUCAAUGCGAAAUUAAAUUUGUUUUAGCAUUGUUCUGUUCUAUCUAGUCACUGAAUUUUAACAUUAUAACAUUUUUCAUUUUUUCACCACAUCCAUUUUUGUCUUUUUAUUUCCACCCUCAACUUUUUAAUUACCAACACAAAAUUUCACUUAAACACUCCAACUUUUUGGUACUGUACAAACAAAUGUUAUCACACAUAAAUUCAGGAGACCAUAUGAAAAAAAAAACUAUCAAAAUAAAACCUCUUUUUCAUUUUUUUCACCACAUCCAUUUUAUCUUCUUAUUUCCACCGUCAACUUUUUAACUACCAACACAAAAUCUCACUCAAACACUCGCUUUUUUUAAACUGCACAAACAACAUUAUUACACAGAAAUUUAGGGGACCAUAUGGCAAAAAAUAUAUCAAAAUGAAAUUUAGUAACUUUCAUACAUGCAUUGAUGAUGCAUGUCAAUGUGAAAUUAUAUUUGUUUUAACAUUGUUCCAUUCCGACCUAGUCAUUGAAUUUUAACAUUGUAACAAUUUUCAUUUUUUCACCACAUUCAUUUUUUGUCUUCUUAUUUCCACUCUCAACUUUUUAACUACCAACACAAAAUUUCACUCAAACGCUCCAGCUUUUUUGGUACUGCACAAACAGACGUUAUUACACAGAAAUUCAUGGGAUCAUAUGGCAAAGAAACUAUCAAAAUGAAAUUUAGUCACUUUCAUACGUGCAUUGAUGAUGCAUGUCAAUGUAAAUUUAUAUUUGUUUUAACAUUGUUCCAUUUCGACUUAGUCACUGAAUUUUUAUAUAUGCUUGCAGUAAGUUGAUAGUGGUGUUUUUUUUAGUCUCAGCUUCUGUGUUUUUCUUGACAUGUGAUGUUUGUACGCAGCUACGAAUUAUAUGGAAAGAUUAAGAGAACGGUAAUGCUUCAAAUCUCCUUAUGCUUUUCUGAACUAAAACUCGGUUAGUUAGGAUGGUUUAUUCUUAGUAAUGAUCCACAGAAAAACCUUGGUGAGAUAUAAAAAUGUGAAUUUGGUUUCAAAUUUUUCGUUUCUUCGGAGUUAUUGGCUUCUCAAGACUGUUUUAUUUUCUUAGCAAAACUCUAAGAAGUUGACAGUUUUUGUUUUGCACCAUUGUGAUUUUUUGACAGAUCUCCGGAACGUUUUUGUGUAGCGAGUAUGGAGGACCUGAAACACUGUUUGUCAUACCCUUCAUCGACAUGUCAAUGGAGGUGAAACAAGAAGAAUGGUGAAUGAAGAAAAAGAUGAUGAGUUGAAUUUAAUAUUCACUACAAAAAAUAAUAAUUAAGGAGCUAUUUGUUUAUUUAUGUUUUAAGUUGUCUCGUAAAAAGUGGGUUAAAAUGUUUUUUAUCCACAUUUCCAGCCUGUAAAAAAAUAAAAAUACCAAGAUAUUUUAUGUUUAUAAUUAGAAGAAGAAUAAGAUGUAUUUUAUGCUAUUAAUUUUAAUGAAGAAGAUGCAAAAAAUUUUAUCCACAUUUCAAUCAAAUAAAAAACUUUGGUAUGAAAAAUUUAGUCACACUGUUAUUUUCUAACUGAACUAUCUAAACCAAUCGAGAUAACAUCAUCAACCAAUGAUGUACAAAAAUUGCUUACUUUUUACUCAAAAGGCAAAAUACAUGUAAAGUCUUAAGAUAUACAAUUUUCGAAAAUCGUUUUCGCUUUAUUGUAUUUUCUAGUUUUGUUUGUUGUUAAUGAUUUGAAAGUGAAGAAAGAUGUGAGACUAGUACAAUGCAUAGUUUAUGCUGAAACUAUUUAAUCUUUCAAUUGGAGACUAGUACAAUGCAUAGUUUAUGCUGAAACUAUUUAAUUUGAAAAUUAUAAAUUAUGUGAUUAAAUGGGUUCUUUUAUCUUUUGUAGUUAAGAGAUAUGAAGAGAAUAAAGUAGAGAAAGUGAGGAAUAGAGAAAAAUGUAAUAAACUAACAUUGAAAUUCAAAAGAAGAUAAAAAUGAUUUGAAGAUAGGAAUGGAUUCGAAGAAACCAAAGAUUUAUGAAGAGGACUGCGAUGAAGAAACAGAAUAUGAUGAACAGAAAGAUAUUAAGAAAGUUGAGUGAAUUAAGUUUAGUUCCAUGAUGGUUUUUUGUGGAGGUUUUAAUUAUAAAGUCGUUCGUCUUUUGGAUGUUUUGUUUUUAGAUAAUAUCCUUUUCUCACGCGUUUCUCCUUUCAAUUGGAGACUAGUACAAUGCAUAGUUUAUGCUGAAACUAUUUAAUCUUCUAUUAUUUUUUUUGAAAAAUGGCUAACUAUUUAAUCUUAUAUGUUCUCAAUUAUAUACAAUAUUUCUUAUUAAUUAAUGGUGCUGUUUGUUUGGGGAGCCUAAAACUUUACUUUUGUUACAUAUUUUAUUUUGAUUAGAAAAAUAAAUUUAAAACAUUAAUUAAUUUAAGUUCGUUGAUGUAGACCAUUGAUAUGUAACGUCACCCAGCAAAGCCGCAAUAUACAUUGUUUCUAAAGAGAUCAUAAUACCAGGUAAAAUAAUGAUAAAUAAGUUAUUUUUUAUUUUAUUUUAUGACCAAGACACAUCGUUUAUUUAACACAAAAAUGUUAUUCAGCUUUUCAGCCUUCAUUUCUUCUUGAAUAACCAGAUAAACCAAAUGUGUAGUGUAGUAAGAUUACCAUUCAGACUUCUUUCUUUUUUGUGAUUAAGCAAAAUGGCUUAAUUGGAUCAAAGACUGUGGUUGUUAACCUAGGUUUCUUGAGAAUGCUCGGUCAAAGAAGAGAUUGAUAAGUAUAAGUUCUUAAAACGAGUUAAGCAGGAUUGCAAGUUGUUAUCGGAAGUAAAGAGCGAUAAGAGCAGCCUUAUCAUCAAAGUUUCUCAACUUGAUAUCUCAACUACAUAAUAUUAAUAUUUUUACAUAAAUUAGUUGUUUGAUUAAAAUUUAUUAUCUAAAACAAAUUCAAAGCAUCUAUUUGCCAAUACAUAGCAAAAAAAAGUUCUCAAGAGUAUUCAUUUUUUAAUCAAAUUCUCAAGAGUAUCUAAAAGUGUCUUUUUAGAUAUUUUCUCUCCUCUUUCCUAAUUAUUAUAAUUUUUUCUGUUUUUUGUAAUUAGUUAGAUACUCAUUAAGCACCUCCUGUAAGAGAGAGCUUAUUGACAUCUUGAAACAAAACUGAACAGCUAAUAUCGUAAGUAAAAUUAUAUUUUUUAAAAAAAUAAUAAUAACAGCUGAACUCAGCAGUCAGCAGACAUGGCUCUUUAUGUCGACUUAUCAUCUAUGUUAUUAAAAUUCAAACAUAAAUUAGAUUUGUUUGGAAACAUAGAUAACAAUUUUUUUUUAAAAAAAAAUUAUUUGGAAACGUAGAUUGCAGUUAGAGAUGGCAAUCAUGGACUUGGACCGCGGGUCUGGCCCGUAAAAGACUAUCGCGGGACGGUAUUGAGACAAGGUUUUCAAGGCCCGUAAAUUUGUGGGCCUCGCGGGACGGGUCUUUGCGGGAUUGGGCCUUUUACGGGAUGAGCCGAAACGGAUCAUGCGGGAUUACAUGGACCCGCAUUUUUUUUUCAUUUCUUAUUUUACCUGAAAAAAAUGAGAGAGAGAGUGAGAAGAAAGCGAUUCUUGUGACUUUUCCCCCAGAAAACAUAAGGAGUUCGGAUGAUGAUGAUUCGAGCUCCGGUGAUGAUGAUUCGAGAUUCGGUGAUGACGACUCCAGCUCCAGCGAUGAGGAUUCGAGCUCUGGUGGUGUUUUGAUUUGGUUUUCUCUUUUUAUUACACACAAAUAUGAAUUGCUUUAUUACAAUGUGAGAUUUCUUGUUUAAGUUGGUUGGUUUUGUUUUCAAUAUUGUAAAAUUGUGUUUUUCUUAAAUUAAAUUUAGUUACAAUGAUGUUGUUUAAGAGAAAAGUUAGUUGUAUAUCAUGUUACUUGUAUAAUUUGACAAAGUGAUUCACAAUUUUUUUUUGAAAUCCAAAGAAUUACAAAGAGAGAUGGUUUGAUGAAGACAUACAACACUUGAGCCAAGUUAUUACAAAGACAACAACUCAAGUAGAUUUAAAUUUAAUAAAAUCUUAUGCUGAUAACAAAAAAAAUGCUUUUAACUCAAGAACGCAAGCACAAACAGAGCUUUAUGGCAUUGAUUUUGAUAAGGCUUUAGUGAAGCUUAAUGAGCUCUCUUCAACUCUCUUACAAAACUCUUCCACUUGAACAUUCAUGAAGGAAGCUGUAGUAGGCAGUUUGAUAAGGAGGCAUCCCGAGGGAUGGCUCGCAAAUUCGUAUAUGUUUUGCGGUACGGGUUUGGGCCGGCAUUCUGAGGACCGCUGCCCGUGCGGGACAGACCCGCUGUGACCCGCUCGAUGACUAACCCGCCGCGGUACAGGACGGGAUGGGUAAACAUGUUUGACAUCUCUAAUUGCAGUUUAAAAAAAAAUUGUUUGGAAACAUGGAUUGCAGUUUCAAAAAAGAGGUUUGUUUGAAAACAUAGAUUGCAGUUUAAAAAAAAUAUGUUUGUUUGGAAACAUGUAGGAGUAUAUUAAGAAAAAAAGUAAUGGACUUAUAUUUUUAAGAAAAAUUUGAAGUCCAUUAUAUUAUGAGAAACUAUCUAUCUGAUACCUAUUCGGGUUUCCGGGAUCAAAGAUUUCAGCGUCAUUCUAAUAUUUCUAAAUUUCAGUCCGGGUUCGCUUCAGAUUUUUGUGGGUUCGGUUCGAGUUCGGAUAACCCAUUUACAUUACUUUUAAAAUUUUAAAAUUCAUUAUAUUCAGGGCCGGCUCACUAGGGGGGACAAGCGGUGCUACUGCGCCGGGCCCAAGCAUGUGUCCCCCGUAUAAUAAUAAUUAAGGAGCCCAAAUUUUUUAUAAAUCUAUAUUUUUAUAUAUAGAAAAAUUAUAAAUAAAAUUGAAACGGACCCAAAAUUAUUAGAUAUGUAUAUAUUUUUAUUUUUAUUACACUAUAUACAACAUAUUAGUAAUUAAAUUUUAAAAAUAUUUUAAACAUUAUCUGCAUAUAAAUUUUAUAGGGUAAAAAAUGUUUUUGCCCUAGAGCCCCUAACAGUGUUGAGUUGACCCUAAUAUAUACUUUAAAUUUCUCAAAAACUAUAAACAAAAUAAUAUAUUAAAUAUUAAUUUGAAUAACAUAUGUCAGAAUAUCUAGACUUAACAUAUAAAUUAGUUUAGUUCAAAUAUUUGGAUAGAGAAUCAAUAAUAAUUUUAAGUAUUUUUGGUGUUUUAAGUAUACUUUUACUAUUUUAUAUAUUUACUAUUGAUUAUUUGUAUAUAUUUUUAAGUAUUUAAACCAGCUUAAAAAUAUCGUAUAUAUUCUAUAUGUUUUUAUAUAUAUUUAAUAUAAAAAAAUAAUAUAUAUAUAAGUAUAUAAAUAUAUUUCGGAUACAUUCGGAUAUAGGUUUUAAUUUAAUUUUUUGAACGUCUUUAUGUAUUCGAGGUGUGAUGAUCAUAUUACUUUACCAUUUUUCUAAACAAAAUUAACCACACGUCUCAUAGAUAGCGUUAGUAAAUGAGAAAAGAAAUAAGAAACGUCCCACAUCGGAGACACAGAGGAGAUAUGACUUGUUUAUAUAACUCUAGAAAGCAACAGGGGUCACGACCUUACUUGAACAGGAUCUGUUCUAUAGGAAGUACCUUUGUAUCCUUGAUUUCUAAGGAGACAGUCCCUUAACCCUGGUUGAUGACUCAUUACCGUGUGAUCUGAGCGUGAUUAACGGCUAGGCUUAUCUUCGGACUCUCCAUGCUGUAGAGGAUCGUUACCUAGUAUGGUCAAGACCAUGCUUAGGGUGGUCGCACGGUUGUCUGACAGGUCUCUUUUUUUCAUUUCACUACAUCCAUUUGUUUCACCCUCAACUUUUUUUCUACAAUAACGAAAUCUCGCUACAACACAUUGUCUUUUUCGUAGUACCCAAACAGACAUUACAGAGAGAUUUAGGGACCAUAUGGAAAAUAAACUAAUCAAAGAGGGAACUUUGAGAAGACUCUGUUGAUGAAAUUGUCGGAGUAUGCACUGAGGGUAUCUCAAAAGUUCUCACUUCCAUACAUGCAUUGAUGAUGCAUCAUCGUGUCACUGUGAAAUUAUUUUAUGACAGUUGAUAAAAAAAAGUUAUGAUGUUUUGGUCUGAUCUUAGUAAUGAUCUACAGAAGAACCUUGGUGAGACUUGAGAGAUAUCAAAUGUUAAUAUGGUUUCAAUAGAAAGUUUAUUUGUUCUUAGUUAUAAGCUUCGUAAGUCUGUUGGUUUCAAAACUGUUUUAUUGAGUAACAACAACAAUCGUUUUGGUUCACAUCGACUGGAUUCAAGAAUAUUAAGUGAGGCUAACCUGUGGCGAAGAUAAAAGCUGAGCAUCGUGAUUACUGAACCGUGAAUGGAGAAGAGAACAAAAUAAACUUUCCAGAAGUAACCAACGGUCAUAUGGCAUGGACAGAGUUCUAUUUUCAAUGCAGCCAACCUAGGAGCAAGACUUUCUAUUAGCUAAGGGGAGCAUCAGACAUUUCCAAAUCUACAAGAAGAACAUACAUAUUGGAACGUAUUGUUGUAAACAUUGAGUCAGUGUACGUUAAUUAUCAUCAAGGUCUUCUUCGGGGUCAAGAGCGAAAUCCAACCAAGUUGAGUCAGUGACACUGGACACUGACUCAGUGCAUGUUACCAAAAACAUUCAUAUUCAAAAGAAAGAAAAAAAGUUACGUAGAAGGGAAUGUUACUAUAUGUUUUACCAAAGAAAAAUGUUCUUGUAUGGCAUUUCAGUUGGUAUUCUCAAAAGACUUAUGAUUAUGAAUGUGUUUUUUGGUUAUUGAAUUUCAAACAUCUCUAACGACCAUGCUCAGCGUAGUCAUCGCAGGCUUGUAAUAGAAAAGUAUCAUUUUAUGUGAUUUUUUUGGGUGUAAAUGUGAUUUUUAUUAUUAUUUUCUAAAGAAAUCGAUGAUAAAAACUGUAGUAACUGAAGGGAACUAAAUUAUGAUACUAUGAUAAAAAAUUGAUAAUAAGCACACGCAAGUUUAUAAGAAUAUUAUCCUCAGAAUAAUAACUUACAUAGAGAUUAAAUCAACUUAAUUUUUAUAACUUGUAUGAAAACAAUAAUAUUAGAUAUAAAACUUAGUAUUUAACUUCUGUUAUUUUUUUUCAGAUUCUUUUUUAUUUUUCUUAAUCUUUUUAGAUUUGGUAGCUCGCUUCUUCGAUCUUGCAAUUUUUCUCUCCUCUUCCCAGUCGAGAGAAGAUAAAAAAUCGCUAUAGAUGAGGCUCUCACUCUGGUCCAUAAACAUGACGUCAACACGUACCUCAGCUCCUUCGUCCAUAUUAAACCAUCGGUCUGGUAUACCUUCGAUCUCAAUCUUUCUCAUAUCAUUGCUUCGAAGAUCAUAAGAGAGAAUGUGAAAAGGAGAAAUAAAAUCUUCUGGUAUCAGGAGAACGUUGCCAUUUUGAGUUGUACCUUGAACCUUGAACAGAGCCGGUCUUGGAGGGAAGCCAAUGAAGCUUGUGCUUCCAGCCACCAAAUAUUAUCAUCCUAAACGGCCACAUUUGAACAGAAAGUUCUUAGUAGCCCAGCGGUUGGGUGGUUGUUGUAACCUGUUACAGGUUGCGGGUUCGAGGGACUUCAGCCACAUUUUUUAAAUUGGCUUCUAGCCAUAUAAUAACUAGGACCGGCUCUGACCUUGAAGCUAUUAACCAAAGGCAGCUGAGAAGGCUUCAAAACCAAACUCUUGCACGACCAUUUCUCGCUCCCGACAUCUUCCACAGUCCAUAAAGCCAAGACACCCUUGUCUCUAAGAUUGAUUUGGUCAAAUAGAGUUGCUUUUCCACCACACUCCAAAAGAGUGAGAUCAUCUUUCAAGAUACUUUCAUCUAGCUUGGGUACAUGGAUCAUGUUGAACUCUUCGGAUCUAAUGUCGAAACUCACAACAACAAGUCUAUAAAGAUCAAGCCAAGCCAAGUAAUAUAUAACCCCAUCGAUAGAGAUUCCUCCUUUGGAAGGCACGUGAGGACAAAAGUCCGUUGGAGUUAGAGCAGCCUUUCUCCAAGAACCUCGUCCAUGUUUCAAGACAAGGACUCGAUUCUCUGAACUUAUGACUACCCUAGUUUCUUCUAAGAAUACGCUUACAAGGGAGAUCACUUUGUACUUAUUGCUAAUAGGGUCGUAUCCGAAAAAAUAGGCCACGUUUUUUUCUCCUCCUGGAGGUACGACCAUGUGCUUGGAUUUGCUGAAGGGUAAGGUGAUAAAUUGUCCGGUGGCAGGGUUAUGGAUGCGAGGUUUUUUCCAAUAGACGUAGAACAUGAAGCCACCAAGAUUUUGCAAGAUGUAACCUCCCAUCUGUGUGUCGUUCUGACUGUGGUCAACUACAAAGGUAGACGUAGCGGGCCCAGUGUCUUGAGGAGCCAGUGUGAGUAGGACAUAGUCAUCGUAGGUGGUUUGAUCCCGUAAACACAUGUAAAGACGAGGGGAUGGGACGGUGAGGAAACGGUUACAGAAAUAACGUGAGCGGAUGAGUGAUAACCAGGGCUUUGAAACGCACAUGAAUCCCAUCAGGGAUUUCGAAGGCAAUCUCGUGAGAAUCUCAUCCGUCACUAAAUGCAUAGGAAGCUCCGGUGUAACGGUAGACAAACUCAUCGUCAAGCUCAAUCUUGGAGAGAAAGUUAUCUCAGUGAUAUAGGGUUUAUAAAUUUAUGGAGGAAGUGUUAAAAGCUGUACUUGCUUCCUUUUUCUUCUUCUCAAUGGUUAAUUUCCUUUUAUUUUGAUUUUCUUUCGAGUCUUAGUUUACUUUUUUAGCCGUUUGAUCCUAGCAUAUUCUUUUAUUUCAUAAUUAAACCUUUUCUUGAAAAUAAAUUCGAUAUUCUUCAAGAAGCGAGUAAUUUAGUUUCUAGUUUAUGUAUAUGUUAUGCUUCCACAGUGAGAAAUAAGGAAACUUUCUAUGAAACAAGGGAUGAGUAUUUGGUAUUUUUCUUCUUUACACCCCAAACGAGAGAAUCAAACAUCCAAAAGAUUUUAUUUUCUUUUUCUUGGAAAUCAUUUUACAAAAAAAAAAGAUUUCUAUAUUUCUACCAUCACUCGGAGACGAGGUAGAUAGGUACAUAUGGCAGAGGACAGCAUGGGAAGAGAAAAUACAAAGGACAGCAUGAGUACGUGGCAGUAGCAGAGUAGAUGGGGAGAACUAUUGAGUAAACCGCCACGUGGCUGCUUGUGAUUGGAAAAAGAAGUUUGAUACAAGAUAAAAAAACGCCAUGCAUCGUCUUCUUCUUUUUCUUUUUUUUCUUCUUUUUUUUUAUAAUAAUUAUAUAUUAAUAUUUCAUCCCAAAAUGGCAAAUCGGAGCAAUACAUAGAUCCCGGCUACAAAGUAAACGCCAUGCAUCGUCUUCUUCGUUAAUCAAGAAAAUUGUAUCGUGAGUUUGUUAGAGUCAUCUCCUCAUCUUUUCUCUGAGUUAUUGACACUUAUUUAAUGGAGUUUCUCUCUAUGUUGUUCUAGAGUUGUUUCUUCAAUCUUCACUCUUCACACAUUGAGAUUGGAUCCUUGUUUUAUGAACAUCGAUUCAAGGUUACAAUUCAUCUUUUUCUUCGAUACAGUUUCUCUGUAUCAAAGAAGAAGUAUUAUUUAAUUGCUUGAUUAGCAAGCUAAAGCGUCCGUGUUGAUUGUUCCGCGCACAUUCAAACUUUUUUUCUUUCCCUUUGUGAUUAAGUCAAUGGAUUGAUUGAUCAGAUGAAAUAGUUAUUACUACCCCAAUUUCCUUGGCAUAUCGCAACAUGCGGACAUCAUCUCCUUCAGAAUUAUACAAUGUAUGUUUUCCUGUAUUGUGCGCAAACAUAAUAACUUUUAAAAAUUAAUUUUAUUACAUUAAUUUUAUUUAAUUAAUUUUAUUCUGUUUUAAAAAUAUAAAGUAAUCAUUUAAAUUGAGAUUCCACUUUUUUUUUUUUUUGACAGCAAGACAUUCACAGAUUCAUAGAGAUUCCACUUAGUUUAUGAAAUUUUAACCUACACUGGCAUUUAGCUUAAAUAAAUAAAAGUUAUUUUGUUUUUCAGAAAUAAUAAUUUUUAUACAUCUUUUUAUUGUUUAUAACGAUCAAUAGAUAUAUCACAUUUUUUAAAUAAUUUAUGUCAUCAAUUUCUUCUUAUAGUGGUUAUAAACUUAAACAGUUGAUUGGUAAAUAAUAUUUUUUUUGUCACAGAAAUAAUAUNNNNNNNNNNNNNNNNNNNNNNNNNNNNNNNNNNNNNNNNNNNNNUAUAUAUAUAUAUGUCAUUAUUAAAAAGGAAUGAUAUAAUUAUUUAAGAGAAAUAGUAUAUAUUCUAAAAAUAUUUUUGUAAAAGUAGAUAAAACUAGCAGAUAUAAAGCAUAAGUAGUUUAUAUAAAAAAAUUAUUUGUAGAAUAAAAAAUACUAUAAAAACUAUUUACAUAUGUUUAUCUAUAUUUUAUUAUUUUAUAUCUUAAACAUGAAAUAUAAUAUUAUGUUUAUAUAUUAUAUUGAAAAUAAUUGAAAAUUCCAAUAAACAAAUGAAUAUUAUUGGUUUUUGUUAUGAAUUUGUUUAUUUUGCAGGUUUAUGAUAAAUCACUAUAUAUUUAUUACCUUAUAUUUUUUUCUAUAACUGAACUAUGUCAUAAUUAAUUUUAUAUUAUGUCAUAGUUAAGAUCCAUGCCAAAUUUUUGUUAGUCAUGUCAUAUUUUUUUAGAAUAAUUGUAGUGAUGACACAUGUACAAAUUAUUUGAUAAAUAAUGUCUAGAAAAUGGUAUAUAUUUGUUGUUAAACAAAAAUAAAAUUGCCUCAAGCAGUCUGCUCUUAGCGAUUCUCAAAUUUCACACCGUUCAAAGCUAGAAGCCUAGAACUUAAUUAAUACUAUUAACUCAUAAAAAAUCAUAUAUAUGAAAGGAAAUAAUUUUAUAGACCACUCAAUAGUAAUAACCAACUUUCUUUAUAUUGGUUAUUCUUUACACUUUUACCUUCUUAAUAAGAAUUAUGCUCAACAUAUUAUCUCAUAAACGUUUCUCCUGUUUAUUAUUUUUUAUGUAUCCACGGUGAACGAGCGACUUUCUUUUUUUGGCAAUCAUUGCGAAACUCAUAUUACAUCAAACCAUUUUAUUAGGAAAAAGAUGAUAACACUGUGCUGAUAACAUUUAGCAUAUCGAAAAGUCCCGCUAAGAAAAUCUUCGAGGCAACUAGAGGCAACAGAAGAAACAGAGACACUGAAAAACUGAUUACCUGAAUCUGAAUUCCCAAGCCCAUAGUAUACGGUAGUGAGUUCCAUCGGGAACCUUUGAUAAUUGAUCUGCUCCUUUUUCAUAUAGUUCCAUUAGCUUUUCAUUUAACUAAACUGGUCCAAUCUUAGACUAGACGAAAAACACAACCAAUGGGGGGCAGGGGCGGACACAGCGAUAGUAAAAGCAACUUAAACGGAAAAGUCCAACACACAAGUGAACCCAACGAAAAAGAGAGAGAGAGAGAGAGAGAGAGAGAGAGAGAGAGAGAGAGACAGUAGCCUUGACGGAAUUUGAUGAUCAUGGACACGUUGCGAAAUAUAUAUCCAACCAUAUGAUAGAUGUCUUGAUUUAGUAACAUUCAACGCGCUCGUCUUAAUUAAUUUUUUUUGUUAACGCGCUCGUCUUAGUUAGAACAUUUCCGUAACCAAAUCUAUUUGGGAGGUUAAUCCGAACAUUUUACAAUUUUUAAUCUUAUAGUUAAAUGUUGGGUUUCCCUCAUUAGCCCAAUAUUAAUCAAAGACCAAAGAGGAAAAAAAAUCUAGAGAAAGAAGAAGAGUGUAGAUUAAAAAGUGUGUAGAUUAAGAAGUGCGUAAAAUAUGUUUAGAAUAAAAUCAAAAGAAAAAUCUAGAAGUAACUUGUACUUACCCCUCACUAGUAUAAAUAUGGGUGUUUAGUUCACUUGUAUGAUCAUCCAAGAAUCAAGAAAACAAAGAGAGAAAACAUUUGUAAGAGAGAGUUCUCAAAACAAAAUCUUUGUAAACCUUUUCCUAAAUAUAAAGAGUCUUCUUCUUAAAUCUUUUAGUUGUCUAAUCCCAUCUUCAUCUCAUCGAUAUUGGGUAAUAUUCCCAACAAGUGGUAUCAGAGCUAGGCUCAAACAUAACAUCAAGACCCGUGAGAUUCAAGAUGGAGGCUACCGUUACCGUUGAAGGUGACAUGUUCAAACUCACGACAGACAACUACUCUUAUUGGAAACCGAUGAUGGAAGAUCACCUUUAUUGUAAGGAUUUGCAUGAACCCAUCAUCAUGAAGGAGAAGCCGGAAGGAAAGGAUGACAAAACAUGGGAAAUACUAAACCGAAAGGCGGUUGCUGUAAUCCGUAAGUACAUUGACCGAUCUCUUUUUGAACAUGUUUCUACCUACACAAAUGCUUUUGAAUUAUGGACAAAACUUGAAUCCAUGAUUCAAAAGAAAACACCUCGAAACAAAGCUCUUCUUGUUCGACGGUUGGUAAAGUUGGAGUACAAGGAUGGCCAGAGCAUGAUGGAGCACUUGAACAAUUUCAAGGGGAUUGUAAAUCAGCUUAACAAAGUUGAUAUGAAGGUUGAAGACGAAAUGCAAGCCCUUUUACUCCUUAGUUCACUACCGGAGAGUUGGGACACACUAGUUGUCACUCUAAGCAAUUCAGCACCGGAGGGAAAGCUUACCAUGGACACCGUCACUGAUAGUCUUCUAAACGAAGAAGUUCGCAGGAAGGAGCGAGGUUCGAGUUCUUAUUCAGAAGCUAACAUUGUUGAUAGACGAGGUAGAGAAGAGACUCGUGGCCAAAACAGAAGCAGAGGACGAGACCAAUAUCGAGGAAGAUCUAAGUCACGUCCGAGAGUUACUUGCUAUUACUGUGGCAAACCGGGUCACAUGAAGUCGGAAUGUCGGUUUCUCAAGAAAGACAAACAAGCCGGUAAUAUCAAACCAGACCGGUUCAAUCCUACAAAGAAGCAUGAAGACAAGACUACCACCAUUGUGGAAGACCAGAGCGAAGAAUUAUAUCUCGUUGGAGAAUGUAAUCUUAGCUCUGAUGAUAGCUCAUGGAUCGUUGAUUCUGGUGCUUCUUUUCACGUCACCCCUCAUGGAAGCUUCUUCACAACCUAUCAAAGUGGUCACUUUGGUAAUGUUCAAAUGGGAAAUCAAGGAAGAAGCAAAAUCAUUGGAAAGGGGGAUGUUAUUCUUACAUCAAACACUGGAUGUAAGAUAGUUCUCAAGAAUGUGAGACAUGUUCCCGACAUGCGACUCAAUCUCAUAUCAACCGGAAAGCUCAAUGAUGUUGGCUUGGACAGUCAUUUUGGUGGUGGCAAAUGGAAGUUAACCAAAGGAAGUUUGAUCAUGGCUCGAGGAAGAAAAGAAGGCUCAUUAUACGUUACUCAAGCCAAGCUUUGCAAGGAAGAAGUAAACAUUGCGAGUGAUGACAUGGAUAUAUGGCACCGAAGACUUGGGCAUAUGAGUGAGAAAGGUUUAAAUAUACUUUCUCGCAAGAAACUUCUUCCUGAUAUGAAAGGUACGCAUCUUUCACCAUGUCAUGAUUGCUUAGAUGGAAAACAACAUAGGGUCGCUUUCCAAAGAUCGUUUACACCUAUGAGAAGAAAGCAUAUUCUUGAUCUUGUGCAUACUGACGUAUGCUCCAUGUCUGAGAAAUCCAAUGGAGGGGCAUCAUAUUUCGUCACCUUUAUUGAUGACCACUCAAGAAAAGUAUGGGUAUACCUUUUGAAGUCAAAAGAUCAAGUUCUUGAUGCUUUCAAGGAAUUUGUAGCCCAAGCAGAGCGAAGUACGGGUAAAAAACUCAAGUGUGUUCGAUCUGACAAUGGUAGAGAGUACCGAGGUCCCUUUGAAGCAUUUUGCAAAGCUCAUGGAAUCAGGAUGGAGAAGACACAACCAAAGACGCCACAACUGAAUGGGCUAGCAGAAAGAAUGAAUCGAACGAUUACAGAAAGAGUUCGGUGCAUGCUCUCUCACGCUAAACUACCCAAGCCAUUUUGGGGAGAAGCCAUAAAAACUGCAGUGGACGUCAUAAAUCUUACACCAUCAUUUCCUUUGGAAGGCGAUGUCCCGGAGGAAGUUUGGUCGGGUAAGAAGGUCUCUUACAACCAUUUGAAGGUGUUCGGUUGCAGAGCAUUCGUCCAUAUCCCUAAAGAUGAACGAUCCAAGAUAGACUCUAAGACUAAAGAGUGCAUUUAUCUUGGAUCACCAAAAGACGAAUUCGGCUAUCGGCUUUGGGAUCCGGUUAACAGAAAAGUUAUCCGGAGCAGAGAUGUUGUUUUCUUCGAAGAUCAAAUAAUCGAAGACAUCAACAAUUCAAAGAGACCAAAGCUAAGGGUUGUAAGGAAAGAAGAAGCUCAUAAUCCCCAAGAUCAUGAACAAGCGAUUGGAGAUGGCGCUAAUCCAGAACAAGAGAUUCCUAUCAUGGAUCCAAAUGGUGAUGAAAGUGAAGAAGAAGAUCAAGUGGAGCCUGAUGAAGAACAUGAACCAAGAAGGUCUGGAAGAGAGACAAGACCAUCUGUAAGAUAUUAUCGAGAUGAGUAUGUUAAUCUUACAGAUGAGGGGGAGCCUCAAAGCUAUGAGGAGGCCAUAAGAGACACUCAUAGAGAUGAGUGGGUUGAAGCUAUGCAAGAAGAAAUGCAAUCCUUGCAUGAUAAUCACACUUAUGAGCUGAUGAAGCUACCAAAAGGAAAGAGAGCCUUGAAGAACAAAUGGGUGUACAGGUUGAAGUAUGAAGAGAAAAGCUCAAAUCCAAGAUACAAAGCUCGAUUGGUUGUGAAAGGAUUCAACCAAAAGAAAGGCAUAGAUUUUGAAGAAAUAUUCUCUCCAGUGGUGAAGAUGUCCUCUAUCCGAGUGGUUCUUGGUCUAGCAGCGGUUCUAGACUUGGAGAUUGAACAACUCGAUGUCAAGACGGCAUUUCUACAUGGUGAACUCGAGGAGGAGAUCUAUAUGGAGCAACCUGAAGGAUUCAAGGUUCCAGGAAAAGAAGACUUGGUGUGCCGAUUAAAGAAGAGUCUUUACGGUCUCAAGCAAGCUCCAAGACAAUGGUACAAGAAGUUUGACUCCUUCAUGGUGGAUCAUAACUUCAAGAAAACCAAGAAUGAUCAUUGCGUUUUUAUAAAGAGGUACGAAAGCGGCGACUUUCUCAUAUUAUUGCUCUAUGUUGAUGAUAUGUUAAUUGUGGGUCAAGAUCGCAACAAGAUAGCCGCAUUAAAGAAAGAUUUGGGAAGGUGUUUUGCGAUGAAAGAUCUGGGGCAAGCGAGACAGAUUCUUGGAAUGAAGAUCACUCGGGAUAGGCCAAAGAAGCUUUUAUGGUUGUCCCAAGAACGAUAUGUUGAAAGGGUGUUGGAGAGAUUCAACAUGCACAAAGCAAAGCCGGUGAGCACUCCACUUGGUGGACAUUUCAAGCUAAGUUCGAAGCAAAGUCCAACAAGUGAGAAGGAGAAAGAGGAAAUGAAGACUACCCCAUAUGCAUCAGCAGUGGGCAGUCUCAUGUAUGCUAUGGUGUGCACCAGACCCGACAUUGCCUAUGCUGUAGGAGUUGUGAGUCGCUUUCUAGCGAAUCCAGGAAAGGAGCAUUGGAAAGCAGUUAAGUGGAUCCUACGCUAUCUACGAGGCACAACGAAGAAGUGUAUAUGUUUUGGCAAUAGAAAAUUGGAGUUAAACGGUUACACCGAUGCAGAUUGGGCUGGUGAUAAAGACUCAAGAAAGUCAAUAUCAGGAUUUGUGACUACCUUUGCAGGGGGAGCUGUUUCCUGGCAAUCGAAGUUACAAAAGUGUGUUGCCUUAUCCACCACAGAAGCGGAGUACAUCGCAGCAACGGAAGCGUGCAAGGAGAUGAUAUGGAUGAAGAACUUCCUGCUUGAGCUUGGAGUAAAUCAAGACAAGUAUGUUGUGCUAUGCGACAAUCAAAGCACCAUUCACCUAGCAAAGAAUCCAAGUUUUCACUCUCGCUCAAAGCAUAUCGACAUUCGACAUCAUUGGAUCCGAGAAGUUCUUGAAGAGAAGCUCCUACAUCUCAACAAGGUACACACCGAUGAAAACUGGUCAGACUUUAUGACCAAAGUAUUACCGAUAAAGAAGUUUGAAGAUUGUUGUCAAGGCGUUGGCAUGGUGACGGUUUCGGGCUAAAUCGGGAAGGGGGAGAUUUGUUGGGUUUUUCUCAUUAGCCCAAUAUUAAUCAAAGCCCAAAGAGGAAGAAAAAUCUAGAGAAAGAAGAAGAGUGUAGAUUAAGAAGUGUGUAGAUUAAGAAGUGUGUAGAAUAUGUUUAGAAUAAAAUCAAAAGAAAAAUCUAGAAGUAACUUGUACUUACCCCUCAUUAGUAUAAAUAUGGGUGUUUAGUUCACUUGUAUGAUCAUCCAAGAAUCAAGAAAACAAAGAGAGAAAACAUUUGUAAGAAAGAGUUCGCAAAACAAAAUCUUUGUAAACCUUUUCCUAAAUAUAAAGAAUUUUCCUCUUAAAUCUUUUAGUUGUCUAAUCUUAUCUUCAUCUCAUCGAUAUUGGGUAAUAUUCCCAACAUUAAAUUAUAUAAAAGCAGAUAAAAUAAUUAUUUUAAAACAAAAAUAUUCUUAAAAGAAAUUCAAGUAUUAGUUGUUUAGGUGGACCCGAAACCGAAACGGUGUCCUUGUUUUGUAACGGAAAUGAACAAAAGAAAGAUUUUAUCAAGAGGAAUGUUGCACCAAAAAGGCCCACCACAUCCAAUCCGAAACGAAAAUCCGAAACAUCAUUAAGUUUACUAGUUUAUACUAGAAACAUUGUAGUGUGUUGUGCAGGUGAUUUUUGUUCGUCCAUUGGUCUACUAAGGUCAAAUAUUUUCAUAAAGUGGUUUUCAGUCUUACAAUAUCGCAUGACUACCCACGUGAAUGCAUGGUCUACGUGCAAGUUAAGUUUUUUUUUUUUAACACUGAGUUUUCAUUAAUUUGAAAGACCAAAAAGACAAUGUUACUGCAAAGACAAUGAAAUAUAAAAAAAGCUGAGAAAAAUUCAAGUACCAGUAAGUACCACAGCACUCUUAUAAAAGAGCUAUAGAAAAUGGGGACAACUUAAAAACCACCAGAGAACGGAAGAAAAAAACUUAAUUCCCUGCCUCUUGCUGAAUAAGUUGCUGCAGCCACAAAGGGCCCCCAGACCCAACAUACGAUUGUGAGUGAGCCCCUGUAACCACGUUUUCUGCAAUUGCUUGUGCUACACUGUUAUUCUGAUCAGAUACAUAGCAUAUAUACCAUACCUCAAAACAGUGUAAGAGAGCUAGGAUUCGUUGGAUAAGGGGUAGAAGAUCCAUAUAGUGAUAGGGGUGUAAGAGGGACUGCCUAACCUCGAAAGAAGAAGCUUCAAAGAUAACUUUCUUGACCCGCAAGCUAUCCAUCGCUUCUAUAGCCCAAAGAAGAGAUUUAAGAUCUGACUCCCGUUUAUAGGCAGAGGAACAGAAAGUUCGACGACUAUGAUGAAUAGGACGCCCACAGCAAUCUCUUGUGAUCCAGCUUGCUCCCGUAAACGGUCCCAAACUACUCCAAGCCAUUCCAAUGUUACGUUUGAUGGAACCCAAGGGAGGCUUAGUCCAUAUAUUUUGAACAGUAGGAGGUUGAACCUGAACUUCCUCGCAUGCCAGAACAUUCAAGUUAACCUUAUUCCAAAUCUCUGCUUCUUCUAGAGCUUUAGUAACCAUUGAAGAAGCUAAUAUACGGGUCUUUUCAAACAUUAGAGCAUUCCUCCCCUUCCAGAGAUUCCAAAGUAUCCAGGGGAAAGAUUUAAUGUUGCUCUGCCUCCAACUCUGUUUUUUUGUACCCGCCACAAGGUAAUGAAGGUUGAGGAAAAUCGAUGUAGUGGAGAAUCAUGUGGGAGGGGGCUCAAUACGUGCUAGUCUCCAGGCCUCUACUGCUGUAGGACAGAGGAACAAUACAUGACAAAUCGUUUCAGAUGCCUGACCACAGGCUAGGCAAGUCGAAUCUACGUGUAUACCCCUGGACUGAAGACGUUCUGACACCGCCAACGCACCAGACAAAGCUCUCCAGAGAAAAUGUUGGUUCUUUGGGGAAGUCUUGAGUUUCCAGAUGCUUUUCCAUAAUUGCUUCUCCACAGGAGGGAGAGGACGAGGAGACGGGUUGUUAGAGUUAUGGAUCACAGACAGCAUUUUGUAGCCACUUCUCGUCGUAUACACACCAUCUUUUGUAAAACCCCACACAUCUGUAUCUUGCUUAUCCAAGGAGAGUUUGAUUCUAAGGAUACGAGCCGCGUCCUCUUCAGUAAAGGUAUCAAACACUUUUUGAAUAUCCCAAGCAGAAGAGUUAGGGAGCCUCAAGUCACUGACCAAUAAUGUGAGGUCUACGAUACUAUUUUGGCGGUACAUGGGGGACCUCGACUCGUCAUCCAGCAACCAGUUAGAGGUCCACACAUUAGUCUGUUCCCCUGACCCAAUAGUCCUUAGCAUACCUGAUUUUAAAGCUUCUCUACCAUGGAGUAUGCUCCUCCAAAUGAAAGACGGACGGGAACCAAUACUAGCUUCCAGGAAAGACCCAUUUUUGAAAUAUAUGCUCUUUAAGGCUCUAGCCAUUAGGGAAUCAGGUCUCGAGAAAACUCUCCACGCUUGCUUACCAAGUAAAGCUUGAUUAAAGCGUCCCAAAUCAUGAAAAUCCAGACCACCCUCUUCCUUGCCCUUACACAUAGUGUCCCAAGAAACCCAAGGUAAUUUCCUUCUUGAGCCUCCAUUGCCCCACCAGAAGUCUCUCAUUGCCGAAGUAAGCUUAGCACACAAAUCUUUAGGCAAUUUAAAGACUGACAUGGCAUAAACUGGUAGUGCCAUACCUAUAGACUUCAAAAGAAUUUCCUUGCCUCCUUGAGAUAGUGUGCGAGCAAACCAUCCAUGUAAUCUAUGCUGCAGUUUUUCACGGAUGUAAUUAAGUAUAUUCUUCUUAGAGCCUUUAAAGACUUCGGGUAGAACAAGAUAUGUGCCUUCUCCACCUUCUUUCUCAAUCUUGAGGACCUGUUUAAUAUCUUCACGCAAACCCAGGUCAACCAAAUCCCCAAAAAUGAUAGAAGAUUUAGACGGAUUGAUUUGUUGACCUGACGCAUCCCCAUAUAAUUUCAGACAUCUGAGGACCUCAAGACUCUCCAUCAUGUUGGCUCGACACAUCAGUAAGCUGUCAUCGGCAAACAAUAAAUGAUGCACCGCCGAGCCUUGCUUAUCUAGUUUGAUCCCUUGGAGACGUCCCUUGGCUUCUGCCUGAUUAAGAAUACUAACCAAAGCUUCUGCGACGAUGAUAAAUAGGAAAGGCGACAUGGGAUCACCUUGUCUAAUCCCCCGCUCAGGCUUGAUGAAGCCAUGCGUUCUUCCAUUCAAGAGGACUGUAUAUGACACUGUACUUACACAUGCCAUCACCCAACAGACCCAUUGACGAGCAAAACCCAUUCUCUCCAUCAAAGUCUCUAAGAAACUCCACUCUACACGAUCAUAAGCCUUUGACAUAUCAGUUUUUAUGGCCAUAAACUGCUCACUUAUUGACUUCUUAGUCCUCAAGCCAUGGACCAUUUCAUGCGCGACCACUAUGUUAUCAGAGAUGAGCCUCCCUCCAACGAAAGCGCCUUGAGUAUCUGAGAUGAUGGAGUCCAUGAUCGGCUUGAGUCUUUCAGAUAAUAACUUAGAGACUAUCUUAUACUGCACGGAACAAAGGCUAAUAGGUCUCAUAUCCUUCAUCGUUUCCGGUUUAGUUAUCUUGGGGAGGAGGCAAAGUUGAGUGUGAUUCCAGCCAACAGGUAAGGAGGAGGUGCGAAAGAAACUCCGUACUUCUUCAGUGACCUGAGGACCCACAAUCUGCCAGUAGUUGCGGUAAAAAACGCCAGUAAGUCCAUCCUCUCCUGGGGCACUACUACCUUUAACAGAGAAAGCAGCUAGUCUGAUCUCCUCAUCAGUUAUCUCCUUUAGCAACGCCUCAUUCAUCUCCGGAGUUACACGUCUUUGAAAGCCUUCAAACAGGGUCUCAAGGUCUGAAGGGUUAGUACUCAUAAAGAGGUCCUCGAAAUACUCCACAGCUAAGUGGCCUUUAGCACCUUCAGAAAAGUGUUCAACGCCUCUUUCAUCUUUCAGCAUUAGAAUGUUGUUUCUGAUUUUCUUUCCUUUAACAACAUUAUGGAAGUAAGAUGUGUUUUUAUCACCUUCUCUAAGCCACUGCUCUCUACUUCUUUGUCUCCAGUAUCUUUCCUCCUCCUUGUACGCUUCAGCCAGCUCAAAUCUUAACAGCUUCAUCUUCCUAGCACUUGGCCAGACCUUAGCGAUCUCAAACUCCAGUUCCUUCUGUAGCCGUUGGAUUUUAGUCAAAGAGUUGAACUGAGAACUCUUUUUCCAUCGGGAAAGCUCCCUUAUACAUCUUGAUAGCCUAUCCAUUACAGAGGAUGUCACACCAGAAGCGUCACCACUCCACCCUCUUGUGAUAGCUUCUUCAAUUCCCACUUUACCGACCAUUCUAUUAUCAAAAUAAAAACGACCAAAACCUCUAUCUUCCGGCUCCAGAGAGAACGAUAGUAGAAUAGGUCGAUGAUCAGAUGGCCACAUUUCCAAAUACUCUAGAUUGGCUCGGGGGAAGAGUUGGAACCAUUCGUCGUUCCCAAAGCUUUGAUCUAAGCGGCAUUGUAUCCAUAUAUUAUCGCGCCAUCCCGCCCAAGACAGAACGUUACCAAUCGAUCUAACUUCUUUGAUCUUACAGUUCUCCACCAUAUUGCGGAAAUCCCAAAAAGUUGACUCAUUGCGCAGAGAACCUCCAAGCUUUUCUGAGUUGUCCAGAAGCUCAUUGAAAUCACCAAUAAGUAUCCAAGCAUUGUUUCUAGACAGACCGAUGCUCUCAAGUUUUUCCCAGACGGUGUGUCGACGCUCCCUUACAGGGUCUCCAUAGACACAGGUCAAGAAAAAAAUAACCAAACCAAACUUCACAUUAAGGUCAAUGAUCCUCUUAUCAGCAGACAGGACCUCAACCUUAUAACAAUCUUUCCAAAACACUGCUAAGCCUCCACUCAAACCAAUAGGCGCCACAGUGAACAUCUUAUCGUAACACAAAUCUUUUUGUAAACCAAGCAUGUAAGUAUCUUGUUGCUUAGUUUCCGUGAGAAACAAGAAAUCCGGAAAAUACUUUUUACGCAUUUCCGUCAAACGACGAACUGUUUCGGUGUUUCCCGCCCCGCGACAGUUCCAACUCAAAAUGUUCAUUGGAAUGGCAGCGGCCUCAAAAUAGAGGCCACUGUAUCUUCUUUGGUUUUAGAUGUCUUGUUUCCCUUCUCAAUCUGAACUCCCUCUGCUUUCCUUUUGGAGGAAGGCACCACUUCAUCUGACUGCUUAUGAACCGGUGUGGACUUGGACUGCGCAUUCUUCGCUAGUCUGAUAUGUCUUACCCAAGCUGGAGGCCGGUUCCUUCCAUUUCUCCUACCCCUCGACGACCCGGUUUGAGAAAACCCAGAGGCUCCUAUAGUAAAGACUGCCGGACGUUUUGGUGCAGAAGCAGGACUUAUACCAAUCUGUUAAUGUGAGCUUCUUUACAUAAACUUAACUUGGUAUUUUACAACUAUUUAAUUCAUGUUAAAUUAACAGAUUUGGUAGUUAUAUAUAUUUUAUUAGGAACCUUAUUGAUGAAGUGGUUGACAGCUCAGAUGGUUACUAACUUACUGUUCCGAUUUUUUUUCUGAAUGAAACUAUUCCAAAAUUUAACAACUGAAACAUUGAUGUUGUUCUUAGGGCUCCCUUGUUCUUAUUGGUCACAUAAAAAAAAACUGAUGUUCUUUGGAGGUAGAAGACCUUAACCUGUUUUGGUCACGUGAUCAUCUUGAUCAUUACAUUUGGUCCCACCAGAUAUUCUGUUUCAGAACUGGCUUCAUCAUACCGACUUAGGGCAUCAUUAUCGGUAGCAACUUUUCAGGGUUCUUAAAAUUUUUUUUUUUUCUGAUUUAAAAUAAAAAAACCAAUCGUGGACCGUUACGGAUCAGUGGAGUCUGCAAACAGUACAAAGACCAAAUAAAAAUAUCUCUUAAUUAAAAAACUUCUUUCCUCGGUUUUACAAUUUUUGUGGUCUCCCCUUAAGAUCUCAUCUAAGAUACACCAAUAAUCUUGCUCUUAGACAUGCCAUUAAUUCAUAUAUACAUGUUUUAUACUAGUUUUUAUCGUAAUUAAUUAUUCUCUUUGGUAUACUUUUGUAUGUCACUUGAAUAAUAUUAGGAAUAAGAAAAUGAAAAUUUAGAAAACUACAUAUAAUAUAUAUUGAGAAUGAUUUAUACAGUUAAUGGUGACAAAAAUAUAAAAAAUAAAACUUUUGUUAUUUUUAUGUAUAUAUUUUUAAAAUUNNNNNNNNNNNNNNNNNNNNNNNNNNNNNNNNNNNNNNNNNNNNNNNNNNNNNNNNNUGUAUAUAUUUUUAAAAUUAUUCAUAUAUAUUAUAAAAACAACAUGAAAAUUAUAUGAGUUUAAUAUGUAUCAAAUUUUGUUCCUAAAUGGCCAAAAGAGUUUAGAAAUAAAAUGUAAUAUUUAUAACAUCACUUUUUCAUAAUGGUUAUUAUUUAGAAUCACAACAAAUAAUAAUACAAGGAUAAAUGAUAUUACAGGAGAGUUUGGGCAUGAAAUUUACAUUCCUAUAUGUAGCAUGCUGUUUCAGUUGGUUAGUUUGGUUUGCACACAAAUUACCAAAUUGAAUUAAAAAUUGGUUUGAUUUAGUAUUUGGUUGGUUCGAUUUAUUAAAAAAAUAAAAAAUUCAACAUAAUUAAGUUUCAAUUUUGGUUAUAUUUCAGUUUAGUUUAGUUACAAAAAUUGAAUAGUUUCGGCUACUUAGGUUAAGGCGAUAGAUUCAGUUUCGGCCGGGUCAAAACUCAAACCAAAUUUCAUGAGAGCUACUGUUUUGAAAUAUUAGUAUAUUUGAAAAUGAUUUAAGUGGACCCUAAGGGUUGAUGUUUUGGAAUGGAAAUGUACAAAAAGGAGAAUUUAAGAAAAAAACGUUGGACCAAAAAGGCCACACCAGGCCACCACAUCUCAACUGAAACGAAAAUGCCUCGGGAAACAUUAUAAAGUUCUAUUAGUUUGUACUUUGUACUAAAAUCGUUAUGAGAAUCUGACUUGGAAGCGGGUGAGCUGGACGUGCCCUAAACAUGAAAAUUAAGCUAUUUGCUUAAUUUAAGGUAGAUGUUCAUGUACUUAGAGCUAGAGGUUUUCGAAUUUGUAUCAUAUGCAUAAGUUCUAUUGGAGUGUUUAAAACUAUAGAUAAAAUUCAUCUGUUCCGUGGACAGACAAAAAAGGAUAAGAUUCAGUUCGAUUACUUUCGAAUUUGGUUCAGCUGGAAUUUAACAAAUAUCUUUAAUCACCAAAAAUCAAAAAAACAAAAAAAAAAAUCUAGAAUAUUUAAGUUAUUUAAUAAUUCAAUAAAAACUAUUNNNNNNNNNNNNNNNNNNNNNNNNNNNNNNNNNNNNNNNNNNNNNNNNNNNNNNNAAUUCAAUAAAAACUAUUCAAACUAUAUAAAUUAUCUGAAAAUGAACCAGAACCCCUAUAUAAAAAACUGCAUAAGCUCCCUGAAAAUAUUAGAAAAUAUUUAAAUUAUUUAAACUAUAUAAAAAUUAUUUUUGGAUUUUUGGUAUAGGUUGGCUUGGAUAUUACCCCAAAUUUGAAAUUUCUAUUCGCAAACCACUUUCGAAUAUUUUUUAUAAAAAUAUGAUCGAAAUCAGGUUUUUGGUGGGUUCAAAUUUUUUUUUCGAGCCCUAUGUUUGACCAUUAAAAAGAGAACUUGCACUUAGAGCAAGUCCAUCCGAGUAUAUAGUGAAGGGUUCUAAAUGAAAAAAGGGAAAAAAAUAAAUGAGAAAUGAAAUAAAGAGAGAGAACCGGUCCCAAAUGUGGAGGUUGUAGAAGUGGUAAUAACCCCAUACGUGGCAAUAUGGUAUUGGCUUGUUGGUUUCACACGAAGGGAAAUUUUUUUUGUGUUUCUUUCUUCAGUCGGUUCUCUAUUUCUUCGAUAUUGUCGAAGUCUUUUGAUCUUCUUGCCAUGGAAGUUCAUCCACAUGACGAAUCCUUCGAUCUUCAAGAGAUUCACAGGUUUUUAUCUCUCCUCUCUCUUUCUCUUCUUGUUCAUUCCUUGAUUUUUUUUGCCAUUCUCAGCCGCGUGAAAGAGCUCGAGUACGUCACCAUAAUUGCAUAGACGAAUCUGGAGAAUCGAUUCCUUGCGGUUUCGAGGCUUUGGCCCAAGAUUAUGCUCUUCAGCUUGAGGUAACUGCGAGUUUGAAAACUCUUUUAGAUUUGUUUCUUCACUGAAUCUCUGUAGAAUAAUUGUUUAUGGCGUGACAACCCAAGCCACACUUGUUUCUUACCAGAGCUUCCUUCUUAUGUCAUUUUCUGUGUUCUGUACGACAAUUAAAAAGAAAAACAGUUUUUAAUCAAUAACUCGAAAGCAAGAUAAAGCUGUUAACUUUAUCUUAUUUUAAGCUUUAUUCUAUGGUGACAAUUCUUGGUUAAACAAUAUGCUGAGUUGUAUUCGGAUUUAGAUUAAUGGAAAGUUGUUUGUUGAACCAAGAACAAAAGAAACAAAGAGAAAAGUCAAUGCUAAUUUUUGUUAUGGAAUUUUUGCAUAGACAAAGGUGAAAGAGAUUGUUGAAGAUUAUUGCCAUGUUGAUUCAAUGGAUGUUGAAGAGUCAGGUAUGCUUCUUUUACUUUGUUGUUUAAUGACUAGACGUGUGGCUGUUGAUGUAUUGUCUCUCGUGUGAUCACACUUGAACGUGUUCAUCAAACCUUUGGUUAAGUAUUGUCUAGUCGUCAGCAGUUGAUGUAUUGUCUCCGGUCAUAUGGUGGUUUAUCCGGGCAGAUGUGUGGCUGUUGGCGUCACUCGUGGUUAUGAGAUUCUUGCUCCUCCUCGAGGUGACGACCAUCCCGUCUCUGAUGUUUUCUGGAGACUUCGAGAAAGGCUCUCUCAUGUGUUAGUGUUCUAUAUCGGCGGUAUUCUUUCUUUUUGCUGGUGUUUGGAGAUGUGAAGCACUCCGUUGUUGCUCUCGCUUUGUUUCAGUCCGUGGUGGACAGAGGCGGUGAUGUCUUCGUUGUGGUCAGUUCCUUGUGUGACAGUUUAAGCUGUUGUGUGUCGUGUUAAGGGAGUUCUGCUUAAUAGGAGUGUUCUAUCUUGGUUUUUGGUGUAACGGUUCAGCUGAUAGUUUCUAAUCACAGGUUUUUGGCUGAGUUUUUCCGGCUCCAGUCCAAUGAUUUAGAGUUUUGAAACUCAUGUUCUUUAGUUCGUGGGAAGUCGCAAGAUGAAAUUGUUUCUCUUCUCAUCUUUCUUGGUUCUUGGUUGAUUUCCAAGCUUUUGAUCUCUUCACAAAUUAAAAGGUUUCUUCUCGUUUACGAUUUGUAUUUGUAUUUUUAAUAUGUUUUUAUGUCAUUUUUAUUUUAAUUUUUAUGUAUGCUUUUCUUUAAUGUUAUGAUAUCCAAUCUUUCAAAUUUAAAAAGAAAAAAAAUUUUAAGAACCUCACCAAGGUUCUUCCAAUGGACCAUCCGAAAAUUAAUUAGACUAAAAAGUGUUCUAAACUUGUCAAAUCAUACAAUCAAAGACUAAUUUAUUCAUUAGAACCUAAAUGGGAUUCUAACCAAUGGAGAUGGUCUUAAUCGUCAUAGUUAUAAUUACAUGGGCCCUACAAGGGAUUUGGUUUUGCAGGGAAAUCAUUUAUUUGAUGAUCCCCAAGGUUUCACUUUCGUUAUAUAUACUAUGCUUUCUUCACAUUAAUGGUUUUCACACAAGAAAGAAGAAAAAAAGCAAGAAAACAGAAGCAAAGAACAUGGACUCGAACAAGAAGAUGGGUAAAUUUUUAUAAAUUUUUAGUUGUCACUUUCACGUUCUUUUCUAAUGUGUGUUUUGUAUAUUUUGUAGUUGAGGUGAAGAAAGUGAGAGCAUCUUUAUCGGGCGUAUGUAGGGGGUUUCCUAUGUUUUAAAAAAAAUCAAAAAUACAAAUAAAUGGAAAACACGUCUCUUAUUUUGGCUUAACAAGAGACGUUUCUAGGAAACACGUGUAGGCAAAAUGAGAGGAGAGAGGGGGGGCGUGUUCUCGUUUCGUCAUUUCUCUUUCUCGAAACGUCUCCAUUUUCGUAUUGGAGGAGAUCAGAGAAGACGAUUGGCGAGUCAACACUCCUCGAAAGCGGAAGCUGAGAUCCGAUUCCGCCGCGGAGGUUGCAGUAACCGAGGUCUCGACGCGAUGAAAUGGAAAUCUCAUCGACUAUGUGCUGUUUCAAGCCCAAGGACGCCUAUAACGGUAAUUUCUAGCGAUUAAGACUUGUUUAGUUACGAAUGGAAUCAAUCCGAUUGAAGUUCUUAUUGGAUGUAUCAUCAUCAUUAGAUCGAAUUAUUGCUGGAAUUUUAUAAUUUGAUUUAUUACUGAUUAUACGAUUGCAGGAGGUUGAGAAAGAAUCUAAUGGAAAGCUAUUUGAUUGUUUAGAUGUUAAAUCGAAGUGGAAACCUAGAGGUAUACAUGAAACUUCAGUGUCGUAAUUAUUUCAAUGCUCUCAGUUUUGUUGAUGUACAAGUGUAAUGCACAAAUGAUGAUCAAAUGAAAGCUGUGAAGGAGGCAUUGCACGUUUCCAAGGCACCAUCAACUGUUGUUUUCCGUGAGGACGAGCAAAGACUGUUUUAGAGUUUGUAAAAGCUUGCACGGAACAUAAGAAGGCUGGGAGUUUGUACAUAUGUGGCUGCCUUGGAACUGGGAAGUCAUUGUCGAUGGAGAAAGUUAGACAACAGACUCAAGACUGGGCAAAGCAGGUGAUCAAUCUUGUCUCUUUAUCUUAUGGACUUGUGAAUCUAUAUAUCAACAUAAAAGACUGAUGUUCGUUUAUGAGUUAUUUUAGGAAGGCUUGCCUUGCUUGGAAACAGUGUCUGUUAAUUGCACGUCAUUGACCAAAACAAUAGAUAUAUUCUCCAAGGUAAGACCUUAUGCAAUUGAUUUACAUCCAAGUUCUUGGUUCCAUAUCGGUAUAGUUGUUUAUUGGGUUGUUUUGGAUUCAGAUACUUGGUGAAAACGAGACAGGGAAGAAAGCUAUUGCCUCCUCUUCACCUCUACAACAACUUCAGAUUAUGUUUUCUCAAAAGCAACAAUCACCUAGCUCAAAGAUGAUGUAGGUUCUUUUUCAUUCAUGUGGUUGCUGCGAUCUGAUCACCUGCUCAGAUUGUUGUUUUUGCUGUUCUAUAAUUUUUUUUUAAGAACCCAUAGUUAAGAAACUUGCAAUAAACCACCUAAAUAUUCAAAUCUCUUUCUAAGUCUGUUAACUCACAUUUACACUUUAAAAACUAUUAAAAAUUAACUAAGAGACCCUUUAAAGGGUUUAGGAUAAUGAUGCUCUGAGGAAGGGAGCAAAAGGUGGGAAAACGUACAUAGAAAUUCAGAGGAAAAUGAAGAAUGAUAUGAAAAUUGGCAUGGAUCUGAAGAAAGAAGACACAGAAGAAGAUGAUGAUGAAGAAGAGGGGUCUGAAGAAGAAGAUGAUGAAGAAGAGGGGUCUGAAGAAGAAGAAGAAAAAGAAGAAGAAGAAGAAGAAGAAGAGACCACUUCUGACGAAGAAGACAAGGAAGUGAAAGAUCUGAAGAUUGUGAAGUAAGGUUACUUAUCAAAGAAGUUUUUAGUUUAAGAUGGUUUGCUAGUGGAUGUUUAGACUUCUUAGACAAUAUCACUUAAAUUAGACGUUUUAUUUUAACGGGAAACUAGUCCAGUUUACUUGUUUUAUCCUCUAUCUAAUCAUAUGUAGACCAAUUUAGAUUAUGAACUGAUAUUAUAUUUAAGGGAAGUUUCUGACUAUCUAUAUAUGAUGUUACAUAUGAUUUCAACAUUCUCGGGUUAUUUGUGUGAACCUCUCUUUUCAAGACAACUUAGAGAAACUAGUGAUUACAAAACCGAAGAUACUCUCAAAGUUUUCCCCGUCGAGAAAACAAUAAAAAAAAUUAAAUUCUCUCUUUUUUCUCUCCUCUGAACACCUUCCUCUCGCCGUCGUUCUUGUGGCCGACGGUGCGACGGGUCGCUGCCCCUUCUCCUCCGGCCUGUCGCUGCCUCCUCUGCUUCCCCUGUCUCCUGCUUCAGUGCUCAUCUAAGAACUUCCCAUCUUGGUCCCUCUUGUCCGAAAUGAAAAAGGCGUGAAUGCGUGAUUUAGGAUCUCGUUGGGGACUUCUUCCCGUUCUGUCGUCGAACAGCGCUGUUUCGUUUAUGCCUUAAUCCUCUUCUGCCUGCUGAUAGGAGUCUAUGUCUCCUCUGCUUCUCAAGUUUCAGAAAAAAGACGACCACAGUUACAUGCUGUCUCGAUGUUCUGUAGCCUGUCUUCUUUGUAAGAUGCUUAGCUUGCGCGAUGAGAUCAAAGCUGGAGUAGUUGACAAAUUAGGUUUUGAUAUUCUUCUUUCUUAUUCAUAUGGCGUUAACUAGCCCUCACAUAUAUACUCAUACAAUCCCGACCUUAUAGGAAACUUUACAUAACCGAAGAUAUGGCCAAAUCAUAUUUAUAGGAUCUUAACAUAUCCCAAUACCCCCCUCAAGUUGGAGCAUAUAAGUUUUGAAUGCCUAACUUGAGAAGAAAAGCAUCAAACUCCUUUCGUCACAAUGCCUUCAUUAGUAUAUCUGCCAACUGCUCCUUUGUAGAGACAUGAAACAGUUUGACAAUGCCUCGAACAAUAUCAUCACGAACAAAAUGACAUUCCGACUCCACAUGCUUGGUUCUCUCAUGAAAAACUGGAUUGUUGCUAAUAUGGAUAGCUGGUUUACUAUCACACCUGAUCGUCAUUGGCUCGUCAUGCCGUAUUCCGAAAUCAAGUAACAAAGUUUUGAGUCCUCGAAGUUCUGCAGUUACCUCAGCCAUUGCCAUGUACUCUGCUUCCGCGGAAGACCGAGAAACUGAAUCUUGUUUCUGUGUUCUCCAUGAUAUUGGCGAUUCUCCAAACUGCACGAACCAUCCCGUAAGUGAUCUUCUCGACAAUGGACAUCCUCCCCAAUCUGAGUCACACCAUCCAGUGAUAUGUUUUUGUGAGUCAGCUCGCAGCAAAAUUCCUUGCCCCAACGUCCCUUUAAGAUAUCGAACCAACUUGAGUGCAGCCAACCAAUGUUCCUCUCGCGGUUUAUUCAUAAACUGUGAUUAAACAUGUAUAGAGUAUGUAAGAUCAGGACGUGUCGCAGCUAGAUAAAUGAGACGUCCCACCAGACGCCUAUAGGUUCCCGGAUCAGCUAACAAGGCUCCAUCAGCCUUCACAAGCUUAUGGUUUUGAUCAAUGGGAGACCCAGCCGGUUUACAACCAAGUAGACCAACUUCAUUAACAAUAUUUGUCGCAUAUUUUCUCUGGCAAAGAUAAAAUCCAGUCUUGCUUCGUGCUACCUCGAUACCCAAAAAAUACUUAACUGCUCCAAGGUCUUUUAUCUUAAAACAAGUAGCCAAGUAAUCCUUGAACACUUUGAUCGCUUGAGACGACAUUCCAGUUAUAAUCAAAUCAUCAACAUAAAUCAAUAUGCACAAUCGAAUCCCUUUCUUAGAGUACACGAAAAGAGAAUGAUCAGACCGUGACUGCGUAAACCCAUAUGCUUGGAGGGCAUGUGACAACUUAGCAAACCAACAACGAGGAGCUUGCUUAAGACCAUAUAAUGAUUUUUGUAAUCGACAAACACGAGUUUCUCCUUUAUCUCUGAAACCUGGUGGCAAUUUCAUAUACACUUCUUCAUUUAAAUUCCCAUGAAGAAACGCAUUGUGAACAUCCAUCUGAUGAACUUUUUGGUUCUCUUUAGCCGCAAUAUCAAGAAAUAGUCUCAUUGUUGUCAUGUGUGCAACUGGCGCAAAUGUUUCUUCGUAAUCAAUCCCUUCUUCUUGAUGAUUUCCUAACACCACCAGACACCAGACGAGCCUUGUAUCUCUCUAUUGAACCAUCAGCUUUGUACUUAAUUGUAAAGAUCCAUUUACAUCCAAGCGCUUUCUUUCCUGGAGGUAGAUGCUCUAGUCGCCAAGUAUUUGCUGCUUCCAAAGAUGUAAUUUCACAAUCAACUGCAACUCCCCAUCAUUCAUCUUUCAUAGCUUCAGCGUAUGAUCUCGGUUCCAUAUUAGCCAACAUUGCCACGACAAAGUCGAAAUGUUUCUGUGAAAAACGGUCACAUGAAACAAAGUUACAAAUUGGAUAUUUCGUACCUGAGGAUGGCUGAGGGGCGGGUGUCGUUGCAGAGAGAGAGAGGAGGGUUGUGAAGUAGCAGCCGUUUGAACAACAUAGUCCUUGAGUCUUGUAGAAGUGUACUUUUGUCGAUGUCCUCUACCAAGAGGUUCGCUAGAGUAUGUUACCGGAGCUUGCGAAGUCUCACUACUCGGGGAUGAUUCAGUAUUAUUCUGAAUUUGCGUCUCCUCCUCACCAUCACUAUCCAAAACUUCUCCUGUAGGUGGAACACCUAACUCUCCAUUGGAUACAGGAGCUACAUCACUGACCGCAAACGGGAAUGUGGUUUCCUGAAACACGACAUCACGUGAGACAAAGACACUAUGGCUUUCUAAAUCAUACAAUUUCCAUCCCUUUUUCCCAUAGGGAUAUCCUAGGAAGACACACCGCCGACUGCGAGUCGCAAACUUAUCACCUUUAUGAUUCAAAUUAUGCGCAUACGCUAAGCAUCCCAAGACUCGUAAAUGCUUAAAUCCUGGAGCAUGACCAAACAACAACUCAAACGGAAUUUUAUUUUUCAGCAAUACAGACGGAGUGCGAUUAAUCAAAUAAGCAGCCGUGAGUACACAUUCCCCCCAGUAUUCGAUCGGANNNNNNNNNNNNNNNNNNNNNNNNNNNNNNNNNNNNNNNNNNNNNNNNNNNNNNNNNNNNNNNNNNNNNNNCUAGCCUGAAACCGUAAGGCUCUCACGAUAUUAAAAAUAUGUCUAUGCUUGCGUUCCACUCGUCCAUUUUGUUGUGGAGUAUGAACACAAGAAGUCUCAUGUAUGAUACCUUGCUCCUGAAAAAAUCGCGUAAGACAUGUAAACUCAGUCCCAUUAUCACUUCGAAUCCUUUUAACCUUCUGAGAAAACUGUCUUUCGAUCAUUGUGAUGAAGUUUCGAAUUUGCAGUGGCGCCAUUGCUUUAUCAGCCAGAAGAUACAACCAUACAGCUCGAGAAUGAUCAUCUACGAUUGUUAGAAAAUAUUUGGAUUCACUGAAAGUUGUUGUGCGAUAUAGACCCCAUAAAUCACAGUGAAUCAAAUCAAAAUUAUCUUUUGCAUUAUUCAAACUGUCUGGAAAACACUGCCGAGUUUGCUUAGCUCGAAAACAGACAUCACAAUUCUUAAUAGAAAGCUCAUUAUUACUACUACUAGAUGAUCUCCGAACCCCAGGUAUGCAUUCUGUUACUUGAAGAGACGGAUGACCCAUACUACUAUGCCAUAAAACCAAAUCCUUGCAAACUUCAGUAUGUAGGGAAGUCGCGAUCUCCACUCCUUGAAACCGGUACAACCCCUUUCCCUCUCAUUCACCCGCCCCAAUCAGCAUCCUCAUUGCUCGGUCCUGCAAAACCAUGAGUUUAUCAGUCACUUGUCUGACCAAAUAAUUGUCUGUCACGAGUUGUCCAAGCGAAAUCAAAUUUGUAUGAAAUCCAUCGACAUAGUAAACAUUCUGUAAUGACAGUUGAGAUGUCAAUCGAACUGUUCCCUGUUUGAGGGUCAUGACAUCGGCUCCUGCAGGUAACAUAACUGACACUGGCGUAAUGUCACGAAUGUCCUCGAGCAAGUCUAACCGGCCAGUCAUGUGGUGAGUCGCUCCAGUAUCAAGUAUCCAAAAUAUAUCAUUACUCUUACCACUCAAGUUCGUUGCGGAUUGUCCCGCACUGAUGAGUUUUUGAAUUGCAGCCCACUGGUCGUCUGAAAUUCCUAUCAAUCCCUGAUGAUCACGGUCCAUUAUUUCACUAGUCGAACCAGAAGUAGCCAUGUUCACUUGUGCUGCAUUAGCUCUGGAAGAACCACCACGACCCUGACCAGCUGAUGAAGGAGCACGAUCGUCCGACUGGUUUUUGUUCCUUUCUCCCCACCAUUCAGGAAACCCAAUCACUUUAAAACAUGCAGAAGUUUCAUGUCCUGCUUUUCCACACAUCGAGCACUGUUUGGACCAGUCCCGACUUCCUUGUCCUCCACGAUUCGUAGAUGAAUCACUCGUGCUCGGUUUCGAGAGCUCCCUGCUGUAUACUGUCCCGGGUCUCCGAUUGAAAGCAGUCUGAGCCGCGAAGCUCAUCACCGGAUUAUCAGCUGUAGUGUUCGAGUGCAAGGUUUCAUUCUGAGACACUGUCUGAUAUACGCUGUCUAGGUCCGGGAGAGGAGUGAUCGCACAUAUCUGUGAGCGGAUCACCCCAUGAACAGAGUCAUCUAAUCCUGACAGGAUAUCAUGUACGCGCAAUAUCUCUCUCUCCUUCUCAUGCGCCGAAUUCAGAUCACAUUCACACUUGUUACAUGUGCAAACUUUAGACUUCAUACACUCUGCAAUACCAUCCCAUAACUUAGUUAGACGACCGAAGUAGUCGUCCACAGUCGAUCCGUUUUGGUUACAUGUAGCAAGCGAGUUUCAAAGUUGAUGUAGUCUUGCUCCGCUCUUGAGAGAGAAUCUCUUCUUGAUUAUGUCCCACAGAUCUUUAGCUAUCUCUCGUGUGGAUAUGGAAGAUCUCAACUUGGGAUCAAUAGUUUGCUUGAUCCACCCUACCAAGAGAUGGUUAUUUGCAGUCCAAUCGUCAAGAUAAGGUGAGUCAGCAGCUGGUUUCGGGAGACUUCCAUCAAGGAAGCCAAACUUCUUUCUGGAACUAAGUGCCAUAUAGAUUCACAUCCCACUCAUCAUAGUUGAGACCGUUGAGCAGAGAGUGAGAUAUGACUGCACCCGGGUUGUCGUUUGCACUUAGAUCAUAUGGAGUUAUAGUCUUGUACUUCGGGUUGUUAUUUGUUGUGAGCGCCAUUACUCUGUUUUGUUGAGUGAAAACAGAGCACGAGAGUUUUCAAUCGUCGGUUACGUCUCCCUUGCGAUUGCAAGAAGAUUCGGUCAAGAUCGGAAUCGAAAAACUAAAGAGAAUUUGUGUUUCUAGGUCCAAGCUCUGAUACCAUGACAAAUUAGGUUUUGAUAUUCUUCUUUCUUAUUCAUAUGGUGUUAACUAUCCCUCACAUAUAUACUCAUACAAUCCCGACCUUAUAGGAAACUUUACAUAACCGAAGAUAUGGCCAAAUCAUAUUUAUGGGAUCUUAACAUAUCCCAAUAGUAGUAGAACCUCUGCUUCCGUGGCCUUGCACCUCACCAGUUCUUCAUUUUCGGGCUUCUCCGGAGUGGACAACGUCUGAAGUAAACUUCACCGGGUUCUGAUGGCCGGACCAAGCCUUUGCCAACAUUGCUUCGCCGGAAUUGCCUUCGGGGGAUGGUCUGCGGGUCCUCCAAUGAUCUUUGUUGCUUUGAUGCAGGUCACGGCAUCUAGGCUAUUCGGAGAUCUACUAAGCUAAUUGGUUGUUCAAGAUAACUCACUCUAGCUAAGUUUUAACCAUGUUUAAACCUUCAUUGCUCUAGGAAAGUCUUUUUUUACCUUUUUUGUGGCUUCUCUAAGACAUUUAUGCUUUGAUUAGCUUUCUUAGAUGCACUAGGAUUUGAUUUCAUCAUACCUUAUUGUGUAUCUCUUAUGCCAUUACAAGCUAAUGAAAAUUCACAUACUUAACAAAAAAAAAAAUGAUUACAAAACCUAAUACGAGGGGACGACCAGCGUGGUCGCAUACCAACGUAAUUGUGGCGCAUUAAAGAUAUCAGAAGUGGGAAUAACAAAACAAGAACAUCUUGAUAAUACUUUAAUUUGCACGUUUCAGUAUAAUUUUAGAAGAAAGUAAGGGUAUAUCAGUUUUAGCUAUGUAAAUUUAGGUGCAAUCGUAUCUGAACUGCGAAUGAAUGGAGAGUUUGACAAUACAAAGUUUAUUUUGAUAAAGGAAAUAAUAAUGCUAACAUUAAUUGAAGUUUCUGUUGAUAUAUUUUCAAACAAAUGAGUUCCUUUGAGGUUGAGAAAAGAACAUUAACCUGUAACAAUAUGCAAUAUGAUCUCAAGCAAUUAGUACUAUUAUUUAUGCAUAAGUUAAAUAGCUAAACCCAAGCCAGAAAGGUUUCGUUUUAUCUCUCUAACUUCACGUUUCUCUCAAGUAAUUUUCUCUAACAACUCUCCUUUCAACAUUCUUUGGUUUGUCAUUCUUUCUCUUAUAUCUGAUCUGAUCUUCACAAAUAUUUUGUCCAUUGUGACCGUUUAAAUUUUUUAUUACAUAAAGAUAACAUUCGAGAAAAAUAUAUAUAUUAAGGGAAGGAAAUAAACCGAUGAAACAUUACAUUCAAAUUCAACGGCUACCAUCCUAAGUGAGAUUAUAUUUUUUUAUAGAAAAUUAUAACAGCUGAACUCAGCACUCAGCAGGCAUGACUUUGUAUCUCGACUUAUCAUUACAAUAAGAGUAAAACAUUAGCUUUCUCCUAGCCCAAUCCAUGGCUGCGAUCUGAUUCUUUGAUAAUGUGGCAAAAUCUUGACCGUCAACAGGGUCCAGACUGGAAACCGACCCGCCCGACUUGGUGCAUGGGCCAGGCCCAGUAGAGGAGCCGUUAUUAACGGAGCAGCCGCUUAACUUUACGUCAGCUAUGGAAGCCAUGAAGGGACCAUACUUGUAGUUGACUGGAUACUUACCGCCGUGAGUGGCCCAUUCUGAACCGUCCCAAACGGUGACGUAAAGAGACAUCGGUUUAGAUGGAUAUGCGCUCAUGAAAGCUCCUCGGUUCGGAAAUUCUCUAACCGGAAUGUUGUCUACCAAAAAUCUGUAAAGUCAUUCACCGGUUCAGUUAAAUUAAUAUAACAAUUGGUGAACGUGGUAUGAAAUAUAAAUCAUUGAAUCCUGACUAGUUUGUUACUAUAGUGUUUAAAAUAACUAUUGAAUUCACAAAAGAAAAACUUAUUAAUUCUAAAAUAUAAUUACUAAAUAUGUUGGACUAGUCUUGGAAUAUCAAGUUGUAUCUUUAGUAGAUGACAAAUACUCAUUUUGAUGUUUAGUGUUGUACUGUUAUAUAACAAUUCAAACAACUGUACAGAAAAAGACAUUCUAGAUUUUAUUGUUAAUGAAGCAUUGCCUAAGGGAUUCAUGAACAUAUAUAAUAGUAUUUUUUUUAUUGCAUGGCUUUUCUUGGCUUUUCAUCAACGCGCCUAUUAUUGGCUUAUUUUGCAAAUAAAUAUAAACAAUACUAUUUCUUUAAGAAAAGAAGAAGAGGAAGAUCAAACAUAGUCAACGGACGUGUUGCUUACACAAUAUGGUGGGAGUUCCAAAUGAGAGUAUAGUCGUGAAAGGCUUGAGUUGGAUCAAACCAAUAAUAGAACUUCUCUUCUCUUCCUGUUUUCAAACUCCCAUUUGCAUACACAUUCGUUUGGAUCGACCAAUCGUCUCUCCUGCUUCUACCCAACAAUUCUAUGUCUAUCUCGUCGUGGUUCUUCGGAUAACUCUCUGCGUUUGACAACUGCACGUAGAGAAUAUACAUUAGUAUACCUUCCAAAAUACUAUAUUUGACAAUUCAACACUUCAUAUAAAAAAUAUAAUAUAUGCUAUACUACGUUAUAUGUCUACACGAGACAUUAAAUCAUAAUAUACUUACAUAGAAAGCAACCACAACACCAGAGGCAAAUCCAGCGGGAAGCUUGAGUCUUGCACUGAAAAAUCCAUAAUGAUACGUGUUCUUUGUCACCAACCCAGCUCCUACAAAUAUAUUACAUCAAUAUUAAUUUUUUUUGCAGAAUAUGACUAUAUGAGCCUAACCAUUUAUAUAUUUUUUUUUGUCUCUCUAACAACAAUUGUACAUAUGUAUUAAAAGUAUAUGGGUCAGUAAUCAAUUUCGCCUGUAAUGUGACCCCCAAGCAAUUAAUAAUGUUUUCAAUGUAUAUCUAUUAUGGAAGUUUAUCAAAAAAUAUAUACUUAAAAGGAAAAACAGAGUAAACAAAGUCUAGACUCUAGAACGUAACAGAGGAAACGAAAACAGAACAGAAGUGUGUAGAGUUUAACUAGUUACCAGAGGAUUUGUCGAGAGUGAGUUUGGCGAGAGAGUCAUUGAUGAUAAUAUUGUGAUCCCCAAAACGUUUGGAGAAGCCGCUUUCAAUGGCGAUUCUACUGAACUGAUCUGUGAGACGUGUCACGUUUGGUGUUGUGAAUUUUCUGCUGUGUGAACAAACCAAAGAAAAUGAACAAAGACAAAACACAACUGCUGUUUCCCACAUAAUCUUCAUGUUGUUGUUCUUCAAAGACGCCAUUUUUUGCUUCUCUUUGAAAAAUGGUUACUGAUAUGUGUGUGUUAUGUUACUUAUGUAGAAAAUGCCUCUCUGAAUAUAUAGAGAAGUGUUGCGGAAAGGUGCGAGGGGUAAAAUGGGUAUUUUAGAAAAUGGGUUGUUCAUAAGCUGGCACUUUUGCUCUGAUUUUCAUAAGAACAGAAUCCACCAUCAUGGAUUUCUUUAUGUCUUGUUACUGAGAAUGUUCGCAUAUAAAUGUCUUUAACACAUAAAAGGUUAGGAACAUCUUUAUAAAAGUAUUCAUGUAACGAUGUUGGCUCCGUGAAUUCAUUAGUAAUUUUUUUUCGUUUAUCAUAUUCACCAUUUGUGACACACCAAAAAUAAUAUAAUACACAUAUUAUAUAACCAUAUAAUUUAUAUAUUUUCAUUUAAGUCAAUACUCAAAUGUUUUUUUAUCACAGCAUAUGAAUCUUAUUUGUUUAUUUCGCAUUGAUCGCUUGUAUAUUCACAAUCCACAUUAUAGGACCAUAAUGAGAAAAAGAAAACAUUGUAUUAAUAUAUGCACAUGUCAGACUAAUAAAAAAAUUCUAUCAAUUUGUGAAGGAAACAUAUGCAUGUGAGAACUCACUAUAAUUAGAAUACAGUUCUUAUUUGAUACUAUAAAGUUUUUGCUAAUCGGUUGAGUUUAUUUGAUUAAACCUUACUUUUAUGUAUACCAUGCUUUGACUUCUCCGUUCCUCUUUUGCCUUUGUUGCCUUUGCUGUAUAAAGCAUAUUUCUUCUCUCUUUCUUAUCUUUGUUAAUUGUUUUUCUGAAAACUGCAUUAGAACAUCUUAAUAGUUAAGACACCGAAUAAAACAUUGGAAUUAUUUGGCAGUAUUGUAUGGAGAUCAAAUAUUUUGAAAAUAAUUAAAAGAAAUAUAUAUAAGGGGAUCGUAUAAAUUUAAGUAUAUAUUAAACUGUUUUUGUUUUGGUUGGUCCUAUUGGUAUAUAUCAAACAAUUUCAUUAAAUAAAUGAAUACAAAUCGGUGUAUUAAAUAUAAAAAAUAAACUUAAUAAAAGAUGAGGUGAUGGAAAAAAAUGGAAAAGAGGAGAAAAGACAAGAGAGUUUAUGAUGUAAACAUAAACAAGUUGGUAUGCAAUUCAUUACAGCGGCAUUCAAGCUGGCAAAUUACAGAUGGUUCAUAUCAAACCUUAACCAACCAAUCAAAUCUGCAGUCUUAACAUUUAUUUAUAACUGAUAUUGUAUAUAUUAGUGUCUUUUUUUUUUUGAACUGGUAUAUAUUGGUGUCUUGUUAUUAUUGUUUUCUUCUUGAUUUUUAUUUUUAUUAUCAUCGUUUAAUACUAGCUUAGAUUCGGUAGACAAUAUUACGUAUCCUCUCACCUUGAUCAUGUCACCCUAACUAACUUCACAGCACACAAUCAUACCUUUAUAUAUAUAUGUAUACAAAGAUUACUAAAUCUCAUUAUUUGAAAAUAAUUAAUGAUAUUUCAUGCUGAUUUCAAUCACUACCUUAAUAUUCUCUUCAUUUCAUUUUAAUUAUCGUUUUAGAAUUAGACACACAGAUUAAGAAAAAUAUCAUGAAAUAUAAAAAUAUCAUGAAAUAUAAAAUCAAUAAAUUUUGCAUUGAAAUUAUAAAACAACAAUUAUUUUGAAACGAAAAUUUUACUCUACAACGACAAUUAAAUCAAAACAGAAGGAGUACUUAAAGGAAUCCGUUGGCUAGUAAUCUGAAUAAAGCAAGCCAGUUUGAACCAAAAAAAUCAUAUUACACCUGAUAAACCAGGUUUAGAAUUGAACCAAAACGUUCAAGUCUGAUGAAAGCAUACAGUCGAGCAUUUAAAAUUGUUUUGGUCGUGUCUCUCCCUCGACACAAUCCAUUAAACCAAGAGUGCUAGAAGCCUAAAACACUGUAGAAUCUAAAAGGGUUCUGUAUCCAAAAGAUGCAAGCAUUCUCUAUAGCCCCAGCCUAGGCCGGUCAUUUCUGCGCCUUCUACUACACUCUCUAUCUCUCUUUCUCCUUAUUGCCUCUGUCUUGUCUUUCUCCAAAUGCGCAACAAAACAUCAGCAUCAAACGGUAUUGACUUUACUUAUUUAGUCACGAGUUUAGGGAAAUCAUGACCUUCUAUAGUGCAACAUAGGUGGAAAUCUUUUGUUACCGUUUUUUAACAUAUGUACUAAUGAAUCCAUCAGAAGUUGAUUCUGUAAAUUAUAUCUUAAUUGGAAACACAAGCCAGAGAAUACGAUUAUAAGAUAUCUGAUUCCAAAAGAUUUAAAGACGCAUCCUAAUGCAAGGCUACUCAAACUAAAACUCAGUUUUGGCUACAAUUAUUUACACCCGCAACCAUGCAACACAAGAGGCACGUACCAUGACAAUAUAACAAAAAAGAUCAGAAGAAAGUUUACUUACCAGUACAUAAUCAAACCGUCCCAACCACAAGUACCGAUUUUACUCUGUUCCAAAGGAUGCCAUUCACCUCCAAUGCAUACUCCAUUGUGACAUUUAAGUGUCCUGAAGACGUUACAGCUCUUCCAGUCCCAAAACCAGCAACAAUGUGCCCUGCAAACCUCUUCUUCUUAUUCAGCUGAAACCUUUCCCUCGUACCAUAGAUCAGAAUCUGGGUAUUCAAACUCUGUGCCGCAAGCCAGUUUCCACUAGGGUGAACAGAUACGGCAGGCAUAGAGUGCAUAUGAGGCUCACUGAUAUACUUGAUAACCACAGGUAUCCCAAACUCCCACACACGUAGAGACUUAUCAUCACCUUGACAUGACAAACCUUCUGUUAUUAUCCACAAAAGUGAUUGUAUUAACCGCACCCAAAUGCUGUUCAUACUCUUGCGUAAUCUCCCCUGUUUUUCAUUUUUUUUUGAAAAAAAUAUGUAUUUUUAAAGAACACAUAAAUUUCGAGAAAAAUUCAAAAAUAUGGCAAUGCAUAGUUGCAUCGUGCACUAACAUAUGAUGAAUGUCAAAGAGUUUUGAAACAUUUGUUGUCUCCGUUUCUCAAAAGAAUAGUGAUAUUAUAGUAGUUACGCCACCAAUAUAGGGAGUAUUAUGAAGUUUUACUAAAUUAAUUGAUAAAAAAAUUAAAAAGAUGCUCAUGUACGAUGAAAGAGAGUUUAAUAUAUAUUAAUACAAAUAUAUAAUGUGUUUAGAAAUUUUUAAACAACGCUAAAGAUCAUAUACUUCAGUAUAUAGAUCAUUUACCGAAAAACUCAAUAUUUUCGUAGGGACACAUAGAUUUUGAAAAAAAUUCAAAAAUAUGACAAUAUUUUUUUAAUGCAUAGUUGCAAACUGGACUAACAUAUGAUGAAUGCCAAAGAGGUUUGGAACUUUUGUUGUCUCCGUUUCUCUAGACAAUAGCGAUUUUAUAGUGGUUAGUCAACCAAUUUAGGGAGUAUUACAAAGUUUUACUAAAUUAAUUGAUAAAAAAUUAAAAGGAUACCCAUGUACCAUUAAAAAGAGUUUAAUAUACAUUAAUACAAAUGUACAAUGUGUUUAUAAAUUUUAAAACAACACUAAAGAUCAUAGGCUUCAGUGUAUAGAGCAUUUACCGAAAAACUCAAUAUUUUCGUAGGGGUAAGUAAACACACAGAUUUUGAGAAAAAUUCAAAAAUAUGAUAAUAUCAUUUUAAUGCAUAGUUGUAUCUUACACUGACAUAUGAUGAAGGUCAAAGAGGUUUGAAACCUUUGUCGUCUACUUUUCUCUAGAGAAUAGCGAUUUUAUAUUGGUUAGUCCACCAAUUUAUGGACUAUUACGAAGUUUUACUAAAUUAAUUGAUAAAAAAUUAAAGCGAGUCCCAUGUACUCUGAAAGAGAGUUCAAUAUACAUUAAUACAAAUGUAGAAUGUGUUUUGAAAUUUUAAAACAACACUAAAGAUCAAAGGCUUCAGUAUAUAGAGCAUUUACCGAAAACCUCAAUAUUUUCUUAGGGUAACACAUAGAUUUUGAGAAAAAUUCAAAAAUAUACUGUUUUAAUGCAUAGUUUCAUCCUGCAGUAACAUAUUAUGAAGGUCUAAGAGAUUUUGAACCUUUGUUUUCUCUGUUUCUCUAAAGAAUAGUGCUAUUAUAAUGGUUAGUCCACCAAUAUAUGGAGUAUUAUGAAGUUUUACUAAAUUAAUUGAUAAAAAAUUAAAACGAUGCCCAUGUACCAUGAAAGAGAGUUUAAUAUACAUUAAUACAAAAGUAGAAUGUGUUUAGAAAUUUUAAAACAAGACUAAAGAUCAUAUGCUUCAGUAUAUAGAGCAUUUACCGAAAACUCAAUAUUUUCGUAGGGAGUUUAACACAUAGAUUUUGAGAAAAAUUCAAAAAUAUGAUAAUAUUGUUUUAAUGCAUAGUUGUAUCCUGCACUAACAUACGAUGAAUGUCAAAUAGGUUUGGAACUUUUGCUAUCUCCGUUUCUCUAGAGAAUAACGAUUUUAUAGUGGUUAGUCCACCAAUUUAGAGAGUAUUAUGAAGUUUUACUAAAUUAAUUGAUCAAAAAUUAAAAUGAUUCCCAUGUACGAUGAAAGAGAGUUUAAUAUACAUUAACACAAAUGUAGAAUAUGUUUAGAAAUUUUGAAACAACACUAAAGAUCAUAGGCUUCAUUAUACAGAGAAUUUACCGAAAAACUCAAUAUUUUCGUAGGAGUUAACACAUAGAUCUUGAGAAAAAUUGAAAAAUAUGACAAUACUGUUUUAAUACAUAGUUGAAUCCUUCACUAACAUAUGAUGAAAGUCAAAGAGGUUUGAACUUUUUUUGUCUCUGUUUCUCUAGAGAAUAAUGAUUUUAUAGUGGUUAGUUUAACAUAUGAUGAAGGUCAAAGAGGUUCAGAAUAUUUGUUGUCUCCGUUUCUCUAGAGAAUAGCGAUAUUAUAGUGGUUAGUCCGCCAAUUUAUGGAGUAUUAUGAAGUUUUACUAAAUUAAUUGAUAAAAAAUUAAAACGAUGCCCAUGUACAAUGAAAAACAGUUUAAUAUAAAUUAAUACAAAGGUAUAAUAUAUUUAAAAAUAUUAAAACAACUCUAAAGAUCAUGGGCUUCAGUAUAUAGACAUUUACCGAAAACUCAAUACUUUCGUAGGGGGUUUAACACAUAGAUUUUGAAAAAAAUUCAAAAAUAUGACAAUACUGUUUUAAUGCAUAGUUGCAUCCUACACUAACAUAUGAUAAAUCUCAAAGAGGUUUGUAACAUUUGUUGUCUCCGUUUCUCUAGAAAAUAGCGAAAAACUCAAAUAUAAAAAUAUGACAAUACUAUUUUAAUGCAUAGUUGCAUCCUACACUAACAGUAUAUAGACAUUUACCGAAAACUCAAUACUUUCGUAGGGGGUUUAACACAUAGAUUUUGAGAAAAAUUUAAAAAUAUGACAAUAUUGUUUUACUGCAUAGUUGGAUCCUGCACUAAAAUAUGAUGAAUGCCAAAGAUGUUUGGAACCUUUGUUGUCUCUUUUUCUCUAGAGAAUGGUGAUAUUAUAGUGGUUAGUCCAACAAUAUAUGGAGUAUUAUGAAGUUUUACUAAAUUAAUGGAUAAAAAAUUAAAAGGAUGCCCAUGUACCAUGAAAGAGAGUUUAUAAUACAAAAAUAAAAAUGUAGAAUGUGUUUAGAAAUUUUAAAACAACACUAAAGAUCAUAGGCUUCAAUAUAUAGAGCAUUUACCGAAAAUUCAAUAUUUUCGAUGGGGGAGUUAACCCAUAGAUUUUGAGAAAAAUUCAAAAAUCUGAUACUGUUUUAAUGCAUAGUUACAUCAUGCACAAACAUAUACUGAGUCUCAAAGAGGUUUGAAACUUUUAUUGUCUCCGUUUCUCUAGAGAAUAGCAAUUUUAAAUGUGGUUAGUCUACAAAUUUAGGGAGUAUUAUGAAGUUUUACUAAAUUAAUUGAUAAAAAAUUAAAACGAUUCCCAUGUAUGAUGAAAGAGAGUUUAAUAUACAUUAAUACAAAUAUAGAAUUUGUUUAAAAAUUUUAAAACAACACUAUAGAUCAUAGGCUUCAGUAAAUAGAGCAUUUACCGAAAAACUCAAUAUUUUAGUAGGGGUUGUUAACACAUAGAUUUUGAGAAAAAUUAAAAAAUAUGACAAUACCGUGUUAAUGCAUAGUUGUAUCCUGCACUGACAUAAGAUGAAGGUCAAAUUGGUUUGGAACUUUUGUUGUCUCUGUUUCUCUAGAGAAUAGUGAUAUUAUAGUGGUUAGUCCACCAAUAUCGGGAGUAUUAUGAAGUUUUACUAAAUUAAUUGAUAAGAAAUUAAAAGGAUACCCAAGUACCAUUAAAAAGAGUUUAAUAUACAUUAAUAUAAAUGUAAAAUGUGUUUAUAAAUUUUAAAACAACACUAAAGAUCAUAGGCUUCAGUGUAUUGAGCAUUUACCGAAAAACUCAUUAUUUUCGUAAGGGUAAAUACAUAGAUUUUGAGAAAAAUUCAAAACUAUGAUAAUAUCGUUUUAAGGCAUAGUUUUAUCUUGCAUUAACAUAUGAUGAAGGUCAAAGACGUUUGAAACCUUUGUUGUCUCCUUUUCUAUAGAGAAUAGCGAUUUUAUAGUGGUUAGUCCACUAAUUUGUGAAGUAUUAUGAAGUUUUACUAAAUUAAUUGAUAAAUAUUUAAAACAAGGCCCAUGAACCCUGAAAGAGAGUUCAAUAUAUAUUAAUACAAAUGUAGAAUGUGUUUUGAAAUUUUAAAAUAACACUAAAGAUCACAGGCUUCAGUAUAUAGAGAAUUUACCGAAAACCUCAAUAUUUUCGUAGGGGGUAACACAUAGAUUUUGUGAAAAAUUAAAAAAUAUGACAAUACUGUUUCAAUGGAUAGUUGCAUACUGCACUAACAUAUUAUGAAAGUCAAAGAGGUUUGAACCUUUUUUGUCUCCGUUUCUCAAGAGAAUACUGAUUUUAUAGUGGUUAGUCCUCCAAAUUAUGGAGUAUUAUGAAGUUUUACUAAAUUAAUUGAUAAAAAAUUAAAAUGAUGCCCUUGUACGAUUAAAGAUAGUUUAAUAUACAUUAAUAAAAAUAUAGAAUAUGUUUAUAAAUUUUUAAAAAACACUAAAGAUCGUAGGAUUCAAUAUAUAAAGCAUUUACCGAAAACUCAAUAUUUUCGUAGGGGUUAACACAUAGAUUUUGAGAAAAAAAAUUCAAAAAUAUGACUAUACUAUUUUAUUGCAUAAUUGCAUUAUGCACUAACAUAUGACGAAGGUCAAAGAGGUUUGAAACCUUUGUUGUCUCCGUUUCUCUAGAAAAUAGCGAUUUUAUAGUGGUUAAUUCACCAAUUUAUGAGUAUUAUGAAGUUUUAUUAAAUUAAUUAAUAAAAAAUUAUAAUGUGGCCCAUGUACACUGAAAAAGAGUUUAAUAUACAUUAAUACAAAUGUAGAAUAUUUUUGAAAAUUUUAAAACAACACUAAAGAUCAGAGGCUUCAGUAUAUAAAGCAUUUACCGAAAACUUCAUAUUUUCAAAAAUAUGAAAAUAUUGUUUUAAUUCAUAGUUGCAUCAUGCACUAACAUAUGAUGAAUGUCAAAGAGGUUUGGAACCUUUGCUGUCUUCGUUUCUCUAGAGAAUAGCAGUUUUAUAGUGGUUAGUCAACCAAUUUAGGGAGUAUUAUGAAAUUUUACUAAAUGAAUUCAUAAAAAAAUUAAAAGGACUUCCAUAUACCUUUAAUGAGAGUUUAAAAUAUAGUUUUAUACAAACGUAGAAUGUGUUUAGAAAUUUUAAAACAAUAGUAAAGAUCAUAGGCUUCAGUAUAUAGAGCAUUUACCAAAAAACUCAAUAUUUUCUUAAGGGUUUAACACAUAGAUUUUGAGAAAAAUUCAAAAAAAAAGAUAAUAUUGUUUUAAUGCAUAGUUGUAUCUCGUACUAACAUAUGAUGAAUGUCAAAGAGGUUUAGAAUCUUUGUUGUCUCCGUUUCUCUAGAGAAUAACGAUUUUAUAGUGGUUAGUCCGCCAAUUUAUGAAGUAUUAUGAAGUUUUACUAAAUUAAUUGAUAAAACAUUAAAUGGAUGCCCAUGUACCAUGAAAAAAAGUUUAAUAUACAUUAAUAAAAAUGUAGAAUGUGUUUAGAAAUUUUCAAACAACACUAAAGAUCAUAGGCUUUAGUAUAUAGAACAUUUACCGAAAACUCAAUAUUUUUGUAACACAUAGAUUUUGAAAAAAUUUCAAAAAAAUGACAAUGAUGUUUUAAUGCAUAGUUACAUCCUGCACUAACAUAUGAUGAAGGUCAAAGAGGUUUGGAACCAUUGUUGUCUUCAUUUCUCUAGAGAAUAGCGAUUUUAUAGUGCUUAGUCAACCAAUUUAUGAAGUAUUAUGAAGUUUUACUAAAUUAAUUGAUAAAAAAUUAAAACGAUACCCAUGAACGUAGAAACAGAGUUUAAUAUACACUAAUAAAAAAGAGUUUAAUAUAUAAUUUAAUACAAAUGUAGAAUGUGUUUAGAAAUUUUAAAAUAAUAUUAAAGAUCAUAGACUUCAGUAUAUAGACCAUUUACCGAAAAACUUUAUAUUUUCGUAUGGGUUAAACACAUAGAUUUUGAAAAAAAUUCAAAAAAAAAAGUAAUAUUGUUUUAAUGCAUAGUUAUAUCUUGUACUAACAUAUGAUGAAGGUCAAAGAGGUUCAGAAUAUUUGUUGUCUCCGUUUCUCUAGAGAAUAGCGAUAUUAUAGUGGUUAGUCCGCCAAUUUAUGGAGUAUUAUGAAGCUUUACUAAAUUAAUUGAUAAAAAAUUAAAUAGAUGCCCAUGUAUCAUGAAAGAGAGUUUAAUAUACAUUAAUAAAAAUGUAGAAUGUGUUUAGAAAUUUUCAAACAACACUAAAGAUCAUAGGCUUCAGUAUAUAGAGCAUUUACCGAAAACUCAAUAUUUUCAAACAACACUAAAUAUUGUUUUUAUGCAUAGUUGCAUCAUGCACUAACAUAUGAUGAAUGUCAAAGAGGUUUGGAACCUUUGUUGUCUCCGUUUCUCUAGUGAAUAGCAAUUUUAUAGUGGUUAGUCAACCAAUUUAGGGAGUAUUAUGAAGUUUUACUAAAUGAAUUGAAAAAAAAUUAAAAGGAUGCCCAUGUACCGUUAAAGAGAGUUUCAUAUAUAGUUUAAUACAAACGUAGAAUGUGUUUCGAGAUUUUAAAAAAUAGUAUAUGCAUCAGAAUAUAGAGCAUUUACCGCAAAACUCAAUAUUUUCGUAGUAGUUAACACAUAGAUUUUUAGAAAAAUUCAAAAAAAGCUAAUAUUGUUUUAAUGCAUAGUUGUAUCUUGUACUAACAUAUGAUGAAGGUCAAAGAGGUUUAGAAUCUUUGUUGUCUUUCUCUAGAGAAUAACGAUUUUAUAAUGGUUAGUCCGCCAAUUUAUGGAGUAUUAUGAAGUUUUACUAAAUUAAUUGAUAAAAAAUUAAAUGGAUGCCCAUGUACCAUGAAAGAGAGUUUAAUAUACAUUAAUAAAAAUGUAGAAUGUGUUUAGAAAUUUUCAAACAACACUAAAGACCAUAGACUUCAUUAUAUAGAACAUUUCCGGAAACUCAAUAUUUUGGUAGGGAUUAACACAUAGAUUUUGAAAAAAUUUAAAAAAUAUGACAAUAUUGUUUUAAUGCAUAGUUGCAUGCUGCACUAACAUAUGAUGAAAGUAAAAGAUGUAUUGAACCAUUGUUAUCUUCGUUUCUCUAGAGAAUAACGAUUUUAUAGUGCUUAGUCAACCAAUUUGGGGAGUAUUAUGAACUUUUACUAAAUUAAUUGAUAAAAAAUUAAAACGAUGCCCAUGUACGAUGAAAGAGAGUUUAAUAUACAUUAAUAAAAAUAUAAAAUGUGUUAACAAAUAUAAAAACAACACUAUAGAUCAUAGGCUUCAGUAUAUAAAGCAUUUACCGAAAACACAAUAUUUUCGUGGGGGAGUUAACCCAUAUAUUUUGAGAAAAAUUCAAAAAUAUGACAAUACGGUUUUAAUGCAUAGUUGCAUCCUGCACUAACAUAUGAUGAAUGUCAAAGAGGUUUGGAACCUUUGUUGUUUCCGUUUCUCUAGAGAAUAGCAAUUUUAUAGUGAUUAGUCCACCAAUUUAUGGAGUAUUAUGAAGUUUUACUAAAUUAAUUGAUAAAAAAUUAAAACGAUGCCCAUGUACAAUGAAAGAGAGUUUAAUAUACAUUAAUACAAAUAUAGAAUUUGUUUAAAAAUUUAAAACAACGCUAAAGAUCAUAGUCUUCAGUAUAUAGAGCAUUUAGCGAAAAACUCAAUAUUUUAGUAGGGGUUGUUAACACAUAGAUUUUGAGAAUAAUUAAAAAUAUGACAAUACCGUUUUGAUGCGUAGUUGCAUCCUGCAAUAUGAUGAAGGUCAAAGAGGUUUGAAACCUUUGUUGUCUCUGUUUCUCUAGAGAAUAGUAAUAUUAGAGUGGUUAGUCCACCAAUAUAGGGAGUAUUACAAAGUUUUACUAAAUUAAUUGAUAAAAAAUUAAAAGGAUACCCAUGUACCAUUAAAAAGAGUUUAAUAUACAUUAAUACAAAUGUACAAUAUGUUUAUAAAUUUUAAAACAACACUAAAGACAUAGGCUUCAGUGUAUAGAACAUUUACCGAAAAACUCAAUAUUUUCGUAGGGAUAAACACAUAGAUUUUGAGAAAAGUUCAAAACAAAAAAGAUAAUAUUGUUUUAAUGCAUAGUUGUAUCUUGUACUAACAUAUGAUGAAGGUCAAAGAGGUUUAGAAUCUUUGUUGUCUCCGUUUGUCUAGAGAAUAACGAUUUUAUAGUGGUUAGUCCGCCAAUUUAUGAAGUAUUAUGAAGUUUUACCAAAUUAAUUGAUAAAAAAAUUAAAUGGAUGCCCAUGUACCAUGAAAGAGAGUUUAAUAUACAUUAGUAAAAAUGUAGAAUGUGUUUAGAAAUUUCCAAACAACACUAAAGAUCAUAGGCUUCAGUAUAUAGAACAUUUAACGAAAACUCAAUAUUUUUGUAGGGGUUAAUACAUAUUUUUUGUAAGAAUUUCAAAAAUAUGACAAUAUUGUUUUAAUGCAUAGGUUCAUCCUGAACUAACAUAUGAUGAAGGUCAAAGAGGUUUGUUGUCUUCUUUUCUCUAGAGAAUAGCGAUUUUAUAGUGCUUAGUCAACUAAUUUAGGGAGUAUUAUGAAGUUUUACUAAAUUAAUUGGUAAAAAAUUAAGACGAUGCCCAUGUACGACGAAAGAGAGUUUAAUAUACAUUAGUAAAAAUAUAGAAUGUGUUUAGAAAUUUAAAAACGAAACUAAAGAUCAUAGGCUUCAGUAUGUAGAGCAUUUACCGAAAACUCAAUAUUUUCGAAGGGGUUAACACAUAGGUUUUGAGAAAAAUUUAAAAAUAUGACAAUACUGUUUUAAUGCAUAGUUGAAUCCUUCACUAACAUAUGAUGAAUGUCAAAGAGGUUUGGAACCUUUGUUGUCUCCUUUUCUCUAAAGAAUAACGAUUUUAUAAUGGUUAUUCCACCAAUUUAGAGAGUACUUUGAAGUUUUACUAAAUUAAUUGAUAAAAAAUUAAAACAAUGCCCAUGUAUGAUGAGAGAGAGUUUAAUAUAAAUUAAUACAAAUGUAUAAUAAAUUUAAAAAUUUUAAAACAACACUAAAGAUCAUAGACUUCAGUAUAUAGAGAAUUUACCGAAAACUCAAUAUUUUCGUAGGGGGUUAGUUAACCCAUAGAUUUUGAGAAAAAAUCAAAAAUAAGAUAAUAUUGUUUUAAUGCAUAGUUGCAACAUGCACUAACAUAUGAUGAAUGCCAAAGAGAUUUGGAACCAAUGUUGUCUCCAUUUUUCUAGAGAAUAUCGAUUUUAUAGUGGUUAGUCCACCAAAUUUGGGAGUAUUACGAAGUUUUACUAAAUUAAUUGAUUGAAAACAAAAACGAUGCCCAUGUACGAUUAAAGAGAGUUUAAUAUACAUUAAUACAAAUAUAGAAUGUGUUUAGAAAUGUUAAAAGAACACUAAAUAUUUUAGGAUUCAAUAUAUAAAGCAUUUGCCGAAAACUCAAUAUUUUCGUACGGGACACAUAGAUUUUGAGAAAAAAAUUCAAAAUAUGACUAUACUAUUUUAAUGCAUAGUUCCAUCAUGCACUAACAUAUGACAAAGGUUAAAGAUGUUUGAAACCUUUGUUGUCUCCGUUUCUCUAGAGAAUAGUGAUUUUAUAGUGGUUAAUCCACCAAUUUAGGAGUAUUAAGAAGUUUUAUUAAAUUAAUUUAUAAAAAAUUAUAACGAGGCCCAUGUACCCUAAAAUAGAGUUUAAUAUACAUUAAUACAAAUGUAGAAUGUGUUUGAAAAUUAAAAAAAAACACUAAAGAUCAUAGGCUUCAGUAUAUAGAGCAUUUACCGAAAACUUAAUAUUUUCAAAAAUAUGACAAUAUUGUUUUAAUGCAUAGUUGCAUCCUGCACUAACAUAUGAUGAAUGUCAAAGAGGUUUGAAACCUUUGUUGUCUCCGUUUCUCUAGAGAAUAGCAAUUUUAUAGUGGCUAGUCAACCAAUUUAGGGAGUAUUAUGAAAUUUUACUAAAUGAAUUCAUAAAAAAUUAAAAAGAUGCCUACGUACCAUUAAAGAUGAUUUAAUAUAUAGUUUAAUACAAACGUAGAAUGUGUUUAGAAAUUUUAAAAUAAUAGUAAAGACCAUAGGUUUCAGUAUAUACACAUAGAUUUUGAGAAAAAUUCAAAAAAAGAAAGAUAAUAUUGUUUUAAUGGAUAGUUGUAUCUUGUAUUAACAUAUGAUGAAGGUCAAAGAGGUUUAGAAUCUUUGUUGUCUCCGUUUCUCUAGAGAGUAGCGAUUUUAUAAUGGUUAUUCCACCAAUUUAGGAAUUAUUAUGAAAUUUUACUAAAUUAAUUGAUAAAACAUUAAAACGAUACCCUUGUAUGAUGAAAGAGAGUUUAAUAUAAAUUAAUACAAAUUUAUAAUAAAUUAAAUAUUUUUAAAACAACACUAAAGAUCAUAGGCUUCAGUAUAUAGAUAAUUUUCUGAAAACUCAAUGAUUUCGUAGGGGGUUAACCCUUAGAUUUUGAGAAAAAUUCAAAAAUAAAACAAUAAUGUUUUAAUGCAUAGUUGCAUCAUGCACUAACAUAUGAUGAAUGUCAAAGAGAUUUGGAACCAUUGUUGUCUCCGUUUCUCUAGAAAAUAUCGAUUUUAGAGUGGUUAGUCCACCAAAUUUGAGAGUAUUAUGAAGUUUUACUAAAUUAAUUGAUAAAAAAAGAAAAAAAUGCCUAUGUACAAUUAAAGAGAGUUUAAUAUACAUUAAUACAAAUAUAGAAUGUGUUAAUAAAUUUUAAAACAACACUAAAGAUUGAAGACUUCAAUAUAUAGAGCUUUUACCGAAAACUCAAUAUUUUUGUAGAGGUUAACACAUAUUUUAAAACAAAAUUCUAAAAUAUGACAAUAUUAUUUUAAUGCAUAGUUGCGUCAUGCACUAACAUAUGAUGAAUGUCAAAUAGGUUUAUAACUUUUGUUGUCUCCGUUUCUCUAGAGAAUAACAAUUUUAUAGUGGUUAGUCAACCAAUUUAGGGAGUAUUAUGAAGUUUUACUAAAUUAACUGAUAAAAAACUAAAAGGAUGUCCAUGUACCAUGAAAAAGAGUUUAUUAUACAUUAAUAUAAAUAUCGAAUGUGUUUGAAAAUUUGAAAGCAACACUAAGAUCAUAGGCUUCAGUAUAGAGCAUUUACCGAAAAACUUUAUUUUUCGUAGGGUUAACAUAUAGAUUUUGAGAAAAAAUAAAAAAUAUGACAAUACUGUUUUAAUGCGUAUUUGCAUCAUGCACUAACAUAUGAUAAAGUUCAAAGAGGUUUGGAACCUUUGUUGUUUCCGUUUCUCUAGAGAAUAGCGAUUUUAUAGUGGUUAGUCCACCAAUUUAUGAACUAUUAUGAAGUUUUACUAAAUAAAUUGAUAAAAAAUUAAAACAAUGCCCAUGUACCAUUAAAGAGAGUUUAAUAUAAAUUAAUACAAAUAUAUAAUGUGUUUAGAAAUUUUAAAACAACACUAAAGAUCAUAGGAUUCAAUAUAUAAAGCAUUUAUCGAAAACUCAAUAUUUUCGUAGGGGUUAUGUAACACCCCCGAACCGUCCUAGACAUAUGGUCGACCAACAAUCAAACAAGAACAUGACCGAUCCAACACCCAGUGUUAGAGAUGAAUGAGCCAACCGGCCAGCCAACAAUCAAACAAGAACAUGACUGACCCUCCAACCCAACACCAUGGUCCGGAAGCGCUACGUGACGGGUUAGGGACGAUCCGGUCAGAGUCACAAAAUUUACCCCACGACCUCAACCAGUUCAUCCACUAACUCGUCCCGCUGCGUCAAGGCACAAGGCUUUGCAACCCGUACCUAGAGUUAGCGUUUUCCGUUAGAUUGAGGCCUAAGGCUUUUCAACCCGUACUACGACCUAACGUUGUGUUAGACCGGACUAGUCAAAUAUCAUAGUACUCAUGAAGCGCAUAAAAAACAAUUACUUUUAUUGAUUCAAGAAAUAUUCAUACAUUGAAUAAUACAAGACUGGGCUCGGCCUAAUGCCAAAUCGAGUCAACUUAACACAAUUCACAAUACCGUUUACAAAAGGCAUGAAAAUCUACUCCGGUGGUCCUAACGUCCAGCACCAAGCUAUCCGAUCAUCCUUACCUAAAGCGACCUGCAAAAAGGAAAACAGAGUUGGAUGAGUAAUCUAGUAUUACUUAGUGAGCUAGCGGCCUCUACCAACAACCUAGACUCUAACCCAAACAACCCAAAAUAACAAUCAAUCUAGCCCUAGCAUGCAAUAAAAGCUAAGGCUAAGCAAACCGUUACUAAGUUAGACUUGGCCUCCUGCCAUGAUCUAGCUUCAAGUAACGGGAACCUGCAUUAAAAAAAAGUCAACAACCAAUCCCUAGUUAACCAUAUAUACGCCUGAGUUCUAUACUCAUGUAGUGUUAGACACUUAGACUAUGCAAGUAUCAUUAGCCGGUCGACCAACAAUCAGAUAAGAACAUGAUCGGCCAACCAAUGAUACCACAUAGCUUUAAUAUCAACUACCCUUCACAAGCAAUCCCUCAAACACAUACAGGGCAACGUCAGGCCUACAAUAACCAAAUACACACCAAGCCUAAUCCGGUACCUAAACCAGACUUAGGACUUAAUGUCAGAACCUGCAAACAAAUCAAUCAACAACCACAACCACAACAAUAAUAAGAUACUAACUACCAACGACUUGAUCUAACUCGUAACACCGUAUAUCGGUGCUACAUUAACUCGAGGGUUCCAUAACCCCUUUAUGACACCCUAACACAACACUCUAACCUGGGCCCUGGUGACUUCGUGUUCCUCCUCUCUAUCGGCAAUAUCAUAUCUUCCUACCACAAAGGCCAGAAGAAGGAAAUUUCAACCGACCGCGGCCCACAGUCCUUCGGGUCACCACGCGACAGCCCACAGUCCUUCGGGUCACUAUCACAUUACACCGUCGUGUAAUACUCAGCCAUAGGACAUGACCCCGUUCGUCUGAGUCUUCCCGAUCCAGCGAAUAAGGGGUUUCCUUGAACCCGCUGGGUACAAGGCCGAGGAAACACUAAUCACCCCUAAACAAGCCUAGUAUGGGCGGGUUACGCACAUACUGUCGGCACACUCACACAACACAAACUCAAUCUAGAACCUAACCAAAAGAUAAAGUUCCAGAUCCUAACUAGACUCUUGACUCAACAAGACUAACCAAUGGUACCAGUAGUCCGGCCUAUAUGGCCUAAGACCUUAGUACUAACUACUAAACAACAAUAUCAAUACUAAACAACUCAAUCAAACCGUUACCCAGAUAGUUCAGCCUUCUGCUACGAAACUAUCUUUAAAGAUAACGGGAACCUGCACUCAACCAUAUCAACACACAAGAAUAGAAAACAUGAUGCAUCCUAGCCCUAGUCCUAGUCAGGUUAUUAACUCAGUCUUAAUUCCAUUCAUCUCAGCUUAGCCCUUUCUAAACUGAGUCCGGUUCCGAAAAUAAAAUAACCCUAAGGACUCUACAAUUCAAUAGCGUGAUCAUUCUAAUCUAUAUGCGACUCGAUCUACCCUAAAUUCCAAAUGGAAUUCACACAAACCCAACUCAUAGUGUUCUAGGCGAGAAGCAGCUGGUUGAUCAGAGAGGACUUGGCCAAAACCCAAGGGACGUCUUGACUUGACUGGACUGAACUGAUCUCGACUUCGACAGACCUUGGCUUUACCAUGAAGAAACUGACAGGCAUCCACAGACUGAUCUGGACUCGGAAAGAACCUCUUUUAGCUUCUGGACAGUUCUUCGGACUUCCCGGCGGAGUAUCGAGCAGAACUUCGACUGAUCUGAACCCGUAGACCUUAACUAACUCCGGACAGCACUUUCGCUUGAUCAUCAAAGGAACUGACUGGCUUGGAUGAAUUCAUUUGGACAGAACCUUCCCUAGGCGCUGACUCGAAAUCAGUAGAGAACUGACCUCGAAAACACUCUAAAACUCUCGAAAUAGCUCGGAAUCACUUGCUUUCUUUUUCUACUUUUCUCUCACGUUUUUAAAUUAGUUUGGAAAGGUCUGGAUGUGUAGAAAUGAUCUGGGGUCGUGGGGUAUUUAUAGGAGACAGCAACCAAUCAGCUUCAGGUUGUAGCCGCCCGUGUGUCGUUCCGCAUGGCUCCGGACGCAUGCACGGCGACACCUCGUGCUCUACAUGUCCUUCAGCAUGGCCAGGACUCAUGCAGGGCGCCACCAAUCCUCCCAGAUGUCAGUCUGCAUGACUGGAACUCAUGCAAGGCGCCACAGUAGCUCACACAUGGCUGGCCGCAUGCUUCGGUUGCAUGCGCAGAGACACCUCGUGCUUGGUCGAUCCACCUCGUGCUUCUACAUGUCAGGCUGCAUGUACUGCUUCCAUGCACGGCGACACCUCGAGAUUCUAUAGACACUCAGCUUGCUGGACAGUUGACACCACGUUCUGAACACUCACACCAAGCCACCUCGUGCUUCUCGGUCCAUUCGUCUGAUUUCGGUCCUUCCGGAAAAUUUCUGACCCGCGAUCAAUCCCGAAUAUUUUUCUACUCCCAUUCUGAUGUUCUGAAUAAUUUUUAAUAAACUCUAGACUCCAUUAUAACCUUGACGGUAAUAUUUCCCGAGCCUCCGGCUUCUCCGAAAAAUAUUACAGAAUACCGAAAUUAGGGUUUCGUCCAAUUUCGGGUUUUCCCGUCGUGCUUCGAUCCCAUCGUGCUUUAUUCCCAUCGUACUUGAUUCCCGUCCUGCUUAAUUUUCGUCAUGCUUCCAAUGCCUUCGAAAUAAUAUUCCGCUGACACGAAGUUCCGCAGAAAACUUCGUACUGAAGAAAUGUCGUUCUUCUAAAACGUCGAGCUUCUAAACCGUCGUGCUUCCAAAAUUGUUAUGCUUCCAAAACUUCCGUCUCAUCAAUCUAGGACAUCUUCUAACUAUGGUCGAGCAACUUAUUCGACUCAUAGUUCACUCACGAUCACUUCUUCGCCCACCUCGUACUUCAAAACUUCUCGAUCGAUCCUUAUUGCCCGCGACUCGACCACCACAAAGAUACUCGACCAUUCUCUUUUUUUUUUAACGGGUUUCUACAUUCUCCCCCCCUUAAUAGAAUUCGUCCUCGAAUUCUUAGUUACGCAAUUGCUCAUCUUCACGAUAUUCUCCACUCGUCUCCAUAUAUCUUUACGCCGUCCACAAUCGUUCCUUAAGUGUCCUCCUCAAGGCCUAAGUGUCCUCCUCAAGGCCUCCACAAUCGUCUUCAGUUGAAUGAACGCUGGAUCAUCUCAUACUGUUGCUCUGCCUUAACACUCUGAUUCCCCAUGAUACGAACUUGUCCAGAUUCCUCAAAUCCUUCUCGAUCUCCCUUUCCCCAAAUACUGAUGAAGUCCUUUCCCAACAAUGUCUUGUUCUUCACCAUAUGACCAGUCCAUACCACAGCACAGUUUUCUGUAUCUGUCUCUCCUCUUUCGCUCCGGGUUUGGGUUUGGCCUCGAACUCACUCCACUUUAAGGUUUUCAUCCCUUAAAGUUACGAUCAACGAACACACUUACUCGCUGCAACUCAAAAGAACACCUCACACGCAAGUUAGUCAAAAACUAAUCCAACAAAUACUAACAACAACCAAAUCGCAAUGCUAAUCAAACAACCUAGCAUUGCUAACCAGAAACCUAACAGUUCUAGAUUCCACUAUCUCAAUCCUAAUUCUUAAAACCACAAAUCUUAUCGCUGGACGUGACCGGAUUCCCUAAUGCCUUUUGUGACUCUUUUUGACUCGAUAAAUAUUUGAAAACCGAUUAAAUCAUGAGUUCCGGAAGCAUGGACGAAACCAUGCUCUGAUACCACCUCUGUAACACCCCCGAACCGUCCUAGACAUAUGGUCGACCAACCAGACAACAAUCAAACAAGAACAUGACCGAUCGACCUUCCAACACCCAGGGUUAGAGAUGAAUGAGCCAACCGGCCAGCCAACAAUCAAACAAGAACAUGACUGACCGUCCAACCCAACACCAUGGUCCGAAAGCGCUACGUGACGGGUCAGGGAUGAUCCGGUCAGAGUCACAAAAUUUACUCCACGACCUCGACCAGUUCAUCCACUAACUCGUCCCGCUGCGUCAAGGCACAAGGCUUUGCAACCCGUACCUAGAGUGAGCGUUUUCCGUUAGAUCGAGGCCUAAGGCUUUUCAACCCGUACUACGACCUAACGUUGUGUUAGACCGGACUUGUCAAAUAUCAGAGUACUCAUGAAGCGUAUAUAAAACAAUUACUUUUAUUGAUUCAAGAAAUAUUCAUACAUUGAAUAAUUCAAGACUGGGCCCGGCCUAAUGCCAAAUCGAGUCAACUUAACACAAUUCACAAUACCAUUUACAAAAGGCAUGAAAAUCUACUCCGACGGUCCUAACGUCCAGCACCAAGCUAUCCGAUCAUCCUUACCUAAAGCGACCUGCAAAAAGGACAACGGAGUUGGAUGUGUAAUCUUGUAUUACUCAGUGAGCUGGCGGCCUCUACCCGCAACCUAGACUCUAACCCAGACAACCCAAAAUAACAAUCAAUCUAGCCCUAGCAUGCAAUAAAAUCUAAGGCUAAGCAAACCGUUACUUUUAUUGAUUCAAGAAAUACUCAUACAUUGAAUAAUUCAAGACUGGGCCCGGCCUAAUGCCAAAUCGAGUCAACUUAACACAAUUCACAAUACCGUUUACAAAAGGCAUGAAAAUCUACUCCGGUGGUCCUAACGUCCAGCACCAAGCUAUCCGAUCAUCCUUACCUAAAGCGACCUGCAAAAACGACAACGGAGUUGGAUGAGUAAUCUAGUAUUACUCAGUGAGCUGGCGGCCUCUACCCUCAACCUAGACUCUAACCCAGACAACCCAAAAUAACAAUCAAUCUAGCCCUAGCAUGCAAUAAAAGCUAAGGCUAAGCAAACCGUUACUAAGUUAGACUUUGCCUCCUGCCAUGAUCUAGCUACAAGUAACGGGAACCUGCCUUAAAACAAGUCAACAGCCAAUCCCUAGUUAACCAUAAAUACGCCUGAUUUUUGUACUCAUGUAGUGUUAGACACUUAAACUAUGCAAGUAUCAUUAGCCGGACGACCAACAAUCAGACAAGAACAUGAUCCGCCAACCAAUGAUACCCCAUAGCUUUAAUAUCCACCACCCUUCACAAGCAAUCCCUCAAAUACAUACAGGCCAACGUCUGGCCUACAAUAACCAAAUACACACCAAGCCUAAUCCGGUACCUAAACCAGACUUAUGACUUAAUGUCAGAACCUGCAAACAAAUCAAUCAACAACCACAACCACAACAAUAAUAAGAUACUAACUACCAACGACUCGAUCUAACUCGUAACACCGUAUAUCGGUGCUACAUUAACUCGAGGGUUCCAUAACCCCUUUACGACACUCUAACACAACACCCUAACCUGGGCCCUGGUGACUUCGUGUUCCUCCUCUCUAUCGGCAAUAUCCGAUCUUUCUACCACAAAGGCUAGAAAAAGGAACUUUCAACCGACCGCGGCCCACAGUCCUUCGGGUCACCGCGCGACAGCCCACAGUCCUUUGGGUCACUGCCACAUUACACCGUCAUGUAAUACUCAGCCAUAGGACAUGACCCCGUUCGUCUGAGUCUUCCCGAUCCAGCGGAUAAGAGGUUUCUUUGAACCCGCUGGGUAAGAGGCCGAGGAAACACUAAUCACCCCUAAACAAGCCUUGUAUGGGCGGGUUACGCACAUACUGUCGGCACACUCACACAACACAAACUCAAUCUAGAACCUAACCUAAAGAUAAAGUUCCAGAUCCUAACUAGACUCUUGACUCAACAAGACUAACCAAUGGUACCAGUAGUCCGGCCUAUAUGGCCUAAGACCUUAGUACUAACUACUAAACAACAAUAUCAAUACUAAACAACUCAAUCAAACCGUUACCCAGAUAGUUCAGCCUCCUGCUACAAAACUAUCUUUAAAGAUAACGGGAACCUGCACUCAACCAUAUUAACACACAAGAAUAGAAAACAUGAUGCAUCCUAGCCCUAGUCCUAGUCAGGUUAUUAACUCAGUCUUAAUUCCAAUCAUCUCAGCUUAGCCCUUGCUAAACUGAGUCUGGUUCCGUAAAUACAAUAACCCUAAGGACUCUCACAUUCAAUAGCGUGAUCAUUCUAAUCUAUAUGCGACUCGAUCUACCCUAAAUUCCAAAUGGAAUUCACACAAACCCAACUCACAGUGUUCUAGACGAGAAGCAGCUGGUUGAUUGGAGAUGACUUGGCCAAAACCCAAGGGACUUCUUGACUUGACUGGACUGAACUGAUCUCGACUUCGACAGAACUUUGCUUCACCAUGAAGAAACUGACAAGCCUCGACAGACUGAUCUGGACUCGGACAGAACCUCCUUUAGCUUCUGGACAGUUCUUCGGACUUCCCGGGGGAGUAUCGAGCAGAACUUCGACUGAUCUGAAUCCGUAGACCUGAACUAACUCCGGACAGCACUUUCGCUUGAUCAUCAAAUGAACUGACUGGCCUGGACGAAUUCAUUUGGACAGAACCUUCCCUAGGCGCUGACUCGAAAUCAGUAGAGAACUGACCUCGAAAACUCUCUAAAACUCUCGAAAUAGCUCGGAAUCACUUGCUUUCUUUUUCUACCUUUCUCUGACGUUUUUAACUUAGUUUGGACUGGUCUGGAUGUGUAGAAAUGAGCUGGGGUCGUGGGGUAUUUAUAGGAGACAGAAACCAAUCAGCUUCAGGUUGGUGGGCGCCCAUGUGUCGCUCUGCAUGGCUCCGGACGCAUGCACGGCGACACCUCGUGCUCCACAUGUCCUUCAGCAUGGCUAGGACUCAUGCAGGGCGCCACCACUCCUCCCAGAUGUCAGGCUGCAUGACUGGAACUCAUGCAAGGCGCCACAGUAGCUCACACAUGGCUGGCCGCAUGCUUCGGUUGCAUGCGAGGAGACACCUCGUGCCUGGUCGAUCCACCUCGUGCUUCUACAUGUCAGGCUGCAUGUACUGCUUCCAUGCACGGCGACACCUCGGGCUUCUGUAGACACUCAGCUUGCUGGAAAGUUGACACCACGUUCUGAACACUCACACCAAGCCACCUCGUGCUUCUCGGUCCAUUCGUCUGAUUUCGGUUUUUCCGAAAAAUUUCUGACCCGCGAUCAAUCUCGAAUAUUUUUCUACUCCCAUUCUGAUGUUCUGAAUAAUUUUUAAUAAACUCCAGACUCCAUUAUAACCUUGACGGUAAUAUUUCCCGAGCCUCCGGCUUCUCCGAAAAAUAUUACAGAAUACCGAAAUUAGGGUUUCGUCCAAUUUCGGGUUUUUCCGUCGUGCUUCGAUCCCGUCGUGCUUGAUUCCCGUCGUGCUUGAUUCCUGUCCUGCUUAAUUCCCGUCCUGCUUCCAAUGUCUUCGAAAUAAUAUUCCGCUGACACGAAGUUCCGCAGAAAACUUCGUACUGAAGAAACGUCGUUCUUCUAAAACGUCGAGCUUCUAAACCGUCGUGCUUCUAAAAUUGUUAUGCUUCCAAAAUGUCUGUCUCAUCAAUCUAAGACAUCUUCUAACUAUGGUCGAGCAACUUAUUCGACUCAUAGUUCACUCACGAUCACUUCUUCGCCCACCUCGUACUUUAAAACUUCUCGAUCGAUCCUUAUUGCCCGCGACUCGACCACCACAAAGAUACUUGACCAUUCUCUUUUUUUUUUUAACGGGUUUCUACAGGUUAAUACAUAGAUUUUGAGAAAAAAAUUUAAAAAUAUGACAAUACUGUUUUAAUGCGUAGUUGCAUCAUGCACUAACAUGAAGGUCAAAGAGGUUUGGAACCUUUGUUGUCUCCGUUUAUCUAGAGAAUAACGAUUUUCCAGUGGUUAAUAUAAUGAGCUAUUUAGCUUAAUUAAAAGAAGGGGUAAUUAGGUGAUCAUGCAAUUGGGUAACUGGUUAUCAUUAACGGCUGAUAUUACGUUAUUGGCCUCAGAGGAAUAUUGUUUGAGGAUAGCCUUCUCGAUUAUCAGCUUUGUAGGUAGGUAAGGAGGUCAGCAUGUUCAGAUUUUGUGUCAGAGUUUUGUCGGGGUAGAUAUUUUAUUGAGAAAAAUCAGUUAACGCUUUGAAGUUGAAAUAUAUUGGAUUUAAAUUGGUGCGUGUGAUUAUCGGAGCGGAGCUUGGCCAUGGCAAGAUGGAGCAAAUCCGAGGAGUAAUGCAGCGAAUCAGUGGAGCUCGUCCGUGUGACUAUCGGAGCUUGUCCGUGCGACUAUCAGAGCUUGGCUGUGGCAGGAUGGAGCAAAUCAAUGGAUGUUAUGGCUGUGUUGUCCGUUUUACAGUGAAAGGCGGCGAGUUAUAGGCGACUCAAUGCAACUUGUUUAAUGAAACUAAAAUCCAAAUUAUUUCAAAUAUACCUUAUAUCUAUAAAGUCUUAAUAAAAAUGAAAAGCGUGAAAGAUCAGGAAAAAAUAAAGAGAGAUAGCCAUUUUUGACCCAUAAAAGUUGCAGGUUGCAAGAGAAGAAGAUGGUACUGAAAUUACCAUUCUGCCAUCUAUUAAAAAAAAAUGAAAAAUAAACUAAAAGGCUCAUAGAAUAGCUCGAGGCCUGGUUUCUUGAAAAUGGAGAGAGUCACCUACCAUCUAAGCCAGUGCAUAUUGUUAAUGUUAGUAACUCCCUAGGAGUUAAUAACAAAAUAUAGAGACAGUUCAAAAUGAAAGAAAUGGUUUUUAGAUUACUUGGACUCUCGGCGAAUGUACGGAUCAAAGUAUUGUUAACAAGGUAUUUUUAUAUGAAUCCAGAUAUGUAACUACGUAUACAUUUACGAUUUUUUUGGCGGAGUACUAACCGGAUCAUUCGAAACAAUAAACUCGAUUUUUUUUAUUCUCUGAAAAAUAAACCGGAUAAUUUAAAAAGAUACAAAAACGGAUAAUUCAGCGAUAAUCCGGAUUAUAACGAUAAAAUCCAGAAAAUAGUUCUCUAUGUUUUAAAGCGGUAAUCGGGAUUAUAGCGGUUAUAUUAGUAAAGCGAUAAUCCUGAUUAUAAUGGUAAUAGCCAAAAAAUAGUUUUCCAUAUUUGUGAAGUUAAUAGGAAUGAACCGGAUAAUACAUUAUGGCACCAAGUCAAGUAAUUAGUCGAGAUUUGAAUUCAGAUACCUACAAGUAAAACCGGUAUUUUUAUAGUAUUUCGGAUACACAAUAAAUGGAAAUAUAUAUGCAAGUGUCAGGUCUACCUGCAGACCUAGCAGUAGGGUUAGUCUCGGGAUAUUGAGCUUUCAACAGUAUCGUAUCCACUCACCUAAUUACAGUUUGUUUUAUGUAUAUUGCAAACUCUCCCAUACACAUUUUAAUAUACAUAACAUGCAUACACUUUUGGAUAAUGUGUAUUAUAACCAGAUAUUACAUAUACAUAACAUGUAUACACUUUUUAUCCGGUUUUAGUUUCUGAAAUCUGGUUUGUGGUUAACGUUUAUAUUCUGGAUAAAGUUUUCCAAAACCGGUAUAUAUUAUAAAUAGUUGUCAGGUUAUAUAAGUAAUUUCAGAAGGAUUAAAACCGGAUAUUAACAAUAGUAUCUCGAUAUUUGGGAAAUGCAAGUAUAAACUCAAUGAUAGUUGGAUAACAACUACACAUCCACUUAGUUAUUAGGAUAUGAUAUUAAAUACAGAUACAAUUGUCAUACACAAUCACCAAACCACAAUUUUCAUGUUUUUCCCUUGUGUGUCCUUCUCUAAUUUUCGAGGCAUCUGUGUAAGCUGUUCAAUCUUGGUAAAAAAGUUGAGCUCUGUUUGAUGAGUCUGAGUCAUAUCUAGCUUCAGAGCCCUUCAAAAGGUUCGGUCCUUUUAUCUUUCCCAAUCAUAUAGAAAUUCUGCUGGUCAAACAAAACCACAAAAGGUUCAAACUUUAGCAAAUAUAUGAAUUCACGAGAACAACUCAAUCAUGUUGAAAAACAGUCUUAAUUUGCAAAAAAAAAGAAAAAACAUUAUUAAUCUGAACAAAGUAAAACAUACCAACUCACGUAGUAACCCAGCUGAAAACCGUCAAGGUGAAGAUGCUUCUUAGAAAACUAUGCAGCUAAAGAACCACCAUGCCCAUCAUAAAUCGGAAAAGAGCACACCUACAAUAAAGAUAGAUACAAACUGUAAAUCUUUUUCAGAUCUGUCUUUAAGAUAAGUGAAUCUGGGAGAGAGAACCUGAGGAAAAAACAUGAGAGUAGAUUGAGUAGCACAAGGGUCUGAGGAAGAGAUAGACCCAUGAUCUCAGGAGGAGAUGCGGAGGAAGAAGACAUGGGUUGUUAACGAGAGUUAAUCUCAGCACAUUCGUUGUCUUCGAACAGAGAUGGGUUGUGGUUGGCUUCGAGAGUCUCUCGCGUUUUUGUUGCCCAUAUCAGAGAGAAAGAGAGGAUACAGACAAAAGGUAAUCUAGUGCCUGUGAAUGGACAGAACAGGACCGGGUUUAAAGGUCUUGGAGCUGCUUGACGGUGAGGUUGUGUAUUUGAUGGCGGUGAGGAGGUGGCAAUUAUCGAGAUGGGACUUGACGGAGUCUAUGGUUUCUUCUUUUUAGAAACGAAACAUGGCGGAUCUGAUGAUAGGGAGAUGAAUGUAGUUUGGGGAGUUGAAUCUAAAACUGGAUUUGUAGAGGAUAACACGAAUAGAUCUUGAAGAAGAUUUUUUUUGUUCAAAGAUCUAGAAGAAAUAAGAAAAUAAAUUUAACCAGGGAGAGAGAUAACAGUUGAGAUGGAAUAAUUUCAAAAUUCAAUAUAUGUUUAG